rnacentral:lncRNA from 1 species
GAACUCCUUUUGGCUUGCAUGGUUUUCCUGCAGAAAGCUUCAGGGCUGAUAGUGCAGUGGCAAGACUUCUUCAGGUGAAACUGUCACUGAUGACUUCUGAACCCAUUGUGAUGUUUUGGGUGGUACUAGCAGAGCAGAUGGAACCAGCAAUGUAAUGUUGUAGUAGUAGUAACUAAGAACUGGAGCAGAGUGACUGAGGCGCGGGUUUCGCCGGAAAUGGUUCGAUUUCAGGCAUUCGAAAACACCCUUUCGGUUGCCAUGAUUUUGCUAGAGAGUUGCACUACCCUACCCCUGCUGCAUCUCUAGCUAAAGAGUCGACUUGUUCAUGAGUCAAGUAGGUGUCUCGCUGAAGUAGCAGCAGUUGUAAAGCAGUGAUCAGCUGUGAGUGUAUUUUAGGGAAAGUCUUCAAAGCCCUGCCCAAAUGCUCUGUGGAUUUAUUACAUUGCUCAGCUUGUGAAGUACUUGGUGUAUGCUGGAAUUCAACUCGGCUUUCUGUUUUUGUCUGCUCCUGAAAUCAAUUUCUCGUUGCCUUCUCCCAGAAUAGCAUAGUUUUAGCGUGGGAUGACCAUCUUGUGGCUCAUGGCGUCGAUGGAGAACCAUCACAGCCGAACGGGAGUUUGCACAAGGGUGUUUAUGAAGGGAUUAGGUAUAGGAAGUAGAUUUUUACUCUCAUUCCCUUGUUUGGUGUAUGAUGAGAAUUGGCCUGGGAUAAAACUCUGCUCGCAAAUUAACAGGAUACCCUGGAAUGAAAUCCGUGAGAAUUGGCUUCUUCAACUCCCAUUCCCCUUCCCACUUCCACUCCCUGUAAUCAAAUAGUGGACUUUUAAUCUCCUCACCCCCUCAACUCCCAUUCCCCAUCUCUAAUUCCCUUGAACCAAUCACGUUGUCAGAGUUGUGAAAAACAAAGAUGUUAGUUUUUCGAAGCAAUAUAUGUUUUUUAGUUGGCGAACAAAUAUAUUUUUCUACGAUGUUUGUCAGAGGGGCAAGAUUUAUUCAUCUUUGAUAGAAGUACUCAAAUGCGUUUGCUAACCGGAACUUGAAAUUCUUUUGAGCGUCAAUCAUUUUCCGUUCCGCGCGAGGCCAAAGGUGCAGUCUGCGCGGAUGGUGUGAGGAACGUCGACCACGACAAGGCCGAGCCGUGCACGAGUAGGAACCACUGAUAGCGAGUCCGGAAAGGUGCUGGCGGGAGGGGGGGGUGCCAGAGUUCAUGUAGUUGGUAGGGGUAGGGGGGUCUUAGAGAGAUGGUCACGGUGGCUUCAAAGCAACAACGGUAGGGAAGAUUGAAGGGAGGGCGGGGUGGCACGUGGCAGCCCCCGCCGACCGUGGGAGGCGAAGGGAGGCGGUUGAGGUGGGGUGGGUAGGCGAUUGCAUAAGGAAGAAGAAGACGAGGUUGAAGAUGAACAGUGCAUGGUAUGUCUUCGGCCGUUGGAUGAAAAUCUAGCGGCCCCUAACGGAAGUAGCGGACGCAGAUGAAUUUUUCAGGUGCCUGAUGUAUAGGCACUCCCAUACUCAAAACCUUACUUCACCCUUCUUGCCUUACGCGCCACAACCACCUUCAUCCUCCCUAUUUUUGUUUCCACCAUCGGAUUAAUCACUUUCUCAAAACUCUCCUGACUCUGUGAAAACCACCAUCAUAACCUCUAACUCGUCAUCGCCUAAUCUUUGCCUCACUACUAGCUUCAACUCGAGGUGAAUCUUGUCUCGCCAGUGCACCGGAUAUGAAGCCGAAAGAGGAAGAUACCAAAAUUAUGUUUUUGCCCUUUUGGGGUUGAGGUGCAUUAUUUAGGAUUUUUUAGGGGUUUGAUUGGCCAAUAGUUAGAAUUGUAUAGACUUGGAGAUCUUCACCCAACGGUCUAGAUCCAUCCCUCUUUAUAUAAAUACCCCAAAUCAAAACCCUAAUUUCGUCCUACCCGCCUUACCCACAACCGCCGCCUUCUUCCUCCUUCGUUUCGGCAGCCUCCUCAUCGAAUCAACCGCUUCCCACCUUACUCACGCCCACCACCUUCACCGUCCACGGCUCCGGUGACCUCCACCCCCAGAUCAUGAGCUUUCGCUAAAACUCCCCCGACUCCGGUAAGCCCUUUUGCCCUAACCGCCAACUCGUAGAUCUUCAUCCAUGGACCCGGAUCCGCCCCUCUUCAUACAAACACCCAAAAAAAGACCCUAAUAACUUCGUCUUUCUCGCCUUACCUGCGACCGCCGCCUCCAUCCUCGGGUCAGACGUUCUAUCCAAACUCCCCGUGCUCCGGAACCCCUCCACCCUAACAUCUAACUUGUCGUCGAGGCGACUCUCAUCCCUACCGCCGCCGCCGUUUCCACCACCGCCGGAUUCGGAGAAGAAAGGAAGAGGAGCACAAAUUUAUUGUAGUAGACAGAAAUUCCAUGAAGUGCCCAGUUCGGAAAUCAAUAAUGUUCUUCCGAUUAUGAUGAUUACUGGCCGGGCCAGCUGUCCGAAACGCUCCCCCCCGUCUUCUCUCUCCUCUUGCCCGGCACGCUCUCCAACCCAAAGCCAGACCGGUCCUCCGCUCCUCCCACCCCCCAACCGCUAACCCUACCCGCCGGCGGCGCGGCGGAGAUCCGACUCCGGGAGGGCGCCCGAUCCCCCGCGAGCCAGCCAUGCCGCACGCGCGCUCCGAUCUGGUGAGCUCUCGCUCCCGCUCUCUCUCCCGUCGUCAGAUCCGCCUCACCUGCCCGGGCGCGUCGACGCCGCCGCGAGGCGGGCUUGAGGCCCCUCGUCUCGCCGUCGGCGAUCUGCCUCUACUGGGCCCCCGGAAUUUUGUCUCUUUCGCCCGUGCGCGGCCGUUUGGGGGGUGUGGAUUACAGCGUGGUUUUGGCGUUUAUGGCGAUAGCGCCCGCUGGUAGCGUGUGAGCUAGGCGAGGGUAGGGAGAGCUUUUGGGAUUGCUCCCGUAGACGUGCCGGUGGUCGAUUCCUAGAGAUCGUCCUGAAAUUUGCGAGUUCUGUUGCAUAGAAUGGUGAAUUUCGUGUUGAGCGGAAGGGUCGCCGCGGCGGGUUUUUGUUCUGAACUUGAGAAAUAUGCUGUUCUUAGUGUGACCCCUGUGCAAUUUCCUUGUGAGCAGGGCUUGGAUGAUUCGCCGGCAGAGUCGUCGAGCUUCCGCAGCCCCAGUUCUUUCCCCAGAACAAAGCGUACAAAGUGGUCUGACAGGGAACCGCUUGAUUGUUCCGCCUCGGCUUGCAGUGGUGCACGCGUGAACAUGCUUGACCGGUACAACCUUCCGUUGAUCCUCUCUGUUUGUUUCGUCACAUUGUUAUUUCCUUCCCUUUUUUACUUAAUUAAAGCUGGAGCUGAUCGCUGGCUCUGAUUGACCAGGUGUUCGGAGAGGCGUCAGAUGGCUUCCUGUAGCGGCGACCAACCACAGAGCUCAGGCAUGUUUGUUGCCACGCAGGGGAAUGUUUGUCCUGUCAAUAACGGCGGUGGGAUCUAUUCGCAGUCUGGCAUGGGCUAUUCAAAUGGUCAAAAUGGGACAUAUGGUGCAUAUCCGCAACAUCAGCCCUUUGAAGGCUGUAUGUAUGUGAAUGAGCAUGGCCAGAUGUGUGGGCCUUACGCACCCAAGCAGCUCUAUGAGGGGCUAUCCAGUGGUUUCUUGCCUCAAGAUCUUGCUAUUUAUGCUCUUGUUGGUGGGCAAAUGCUCAAUCCUGUAGCCUUGAGUUCUCUAGAGCAGUUCCUUUCACAAUGGAAUUCUGCUGGCGCGGUCACCACGCCAAAUGAAUCGAAGGAGAAUAAGACAGUGGCUCGUACUGAUAAAAUGGCGCUUCCAGAUGUAUGCCGAGCACUUUUUACCUAUGUUUCUGCACACCGGCCAGCCGCUUGUCUACCUCCCUGAUUUGUUUAGCUUCUGUUCUCUCACUAGGCUCUCUCAAGCGAUGAGUCAUGCUGGAUGUUCGAGGACAGCGAUGGUAGCCGUCAUGGGCCACAUUCUCUUGCUGAACUUUCUUAUUGGCUUCAUAGCAGCUAUCUCCAGGAUCUUUCUAUGGUAAAAAAUAUUCAGUAAUCAAAAUCAUGUCUUGUAAAUCCCAUCCUCUUGAGUUAUGUUGGUAUAUGCUUUAUCCAUUCGAGCAACAAUUCAUUCUUGUUACCCUGUUACUGGCUUACUGCAAUGUUUCCAUUAAAGUUACAUAAUGGCAGGUCUGCAAUUAUUAGAAGGCAAUUACAUAUCUGGUCAUAACUAGCCAAAGCUCAAGAAUAUUAGUCUGGUACAUACACUAUUUAUGCUGCUGGUUUUGUGAAGACCUCUUGAAAUUCGUUGCAUUAUUGGCUUGAGUGUCCUUGCACCUAUGUGUUAGAUUAGCACCACUUGUAAACCGUUUGGUAAAUUAUUUCAUUUACAUUUCUCUUCUCGCCUUGUCAAGUGCAAAAUACUGGGUAACUCAGUGAGGUUGAAUAACAAAUUGAUAGCACAAGCUAUUUUCUGUGUACAAAUGGUUAAAUUCACUAAACGUCAAUGCAACUUCUAUCUGUAAGUUUUUGUUGUUCUCCCAUGAAUCAAGUUAAACAAAAAAGUUGACGUGCUGUGCUAGUGCUACUAGAUCCUUUUUAUAAUACCAUACUUACACAUCUUGCGUGUAGCUGUGAACUAUUUUCUUUAUCUCAUUAUUAGUCUGCAAUCUGAAUGAAGUCCGUUUUUAUUGUAGGUUUACCAUGUUGAUAGCAAAUUUGGUCCAUUUACACUUGUCUCAUUAAUUGAUUGGUGGAGUGGAGGUCACACCGAGCAUUCAGAAGCUUCAGAGAAUGAUUCUGGGUCAGCCAGUGACGUGAUGGGUGACAUAGUCGAUGAUAUUAGUCAUCAGCUCCAUGCCGGUAUAGUGAAAUCAGCCCGCAAGAUUUUUGUUGAUGAAAUUUUCAGCUGUGUGCUUCCAGAAAUUAUCGCCUGUAGGAAGACUGAGAAGCAACUAGCUGCAAAAUCGAAACUCCUAGCUGUUAAGGUGUGUAUUAUUUGGCACAAAGUUUUUCUAAUAAGAGCACCUCUUUGUAUGGUCCUUCUUUAGUUUUUCAUAAUCUCCCCCUCAUGGUUUUGACAUUGGCAGCCUGACAGCAAGAAGGCUUCAGCAUUAAAGGGCAAGGCUCAUGCAAAAUUUACUGAUCACAAAAAAGGAAACUCAUAUAAUACAGUACGAGCAACUUCUCCCGUGGCUGUUCAGUCAACUGCGGUGCAUGCCAAAUUUGCUGAUAUAUUAUCAGCAGUUUGGCAAACUCUUUAUUACGAAUCCAUGAAGAAUAUCUGGGAUGGGAUACUGUAUGAUCCUGUUAUGGACUACUGUGGUGCAUGGAUUAAGAGAAAUCACCAUUCAAGUCUUCCUUGUACGAGUAUUCCUGGUGGGUCUGAUAAUGGAAACAAGCAAGAAGCUGACGGAUUGAAGGUUUUGUCUCUGACACCAAGUGUAUCUAUUUCUUGGAGGGGGGCAAUAUGUCGUUCAUAUCCUUUCUUUCGUCAUAUAUAACGGGUUCUUAUACUUCCAUGUCUUUGCAGGUAAUAUGUGAUUCAGAAGCUAUCGAGUGCGACAUGGAUUUCCCACCUGGAUUUGGGCCAACAUUGGAGUGUGCAAGCCCUGUCUCUCCGCCGUUGUUAGAUAUUGGUUCUUGCGAUGGCAAAAAUAGUUGGUGGCGUGAAUCAAGUUCCACCAUAUAUUUUGAUCCCUCAUCAGGAGUCCAGGUAAUGCUGGCAAAUGAACUAUACGUGGCAGCAAAGGAAACUUUGUUUCACCAUUUCAGGAAGGUUAUUGCAGAGGAGAUAACAAACUGGUUGGGCUUUGGACUUGAAGACAUCACUGAUCAAGUGAGAUAACAAUGAUAAAUAAUUUCUCUUAUGACUACUGAGAUUUUGAAAUUUACAUGAUUCAUGUUGGACAUGUGUAUUGCAGGAACUAAUUCGUACUCCUGUUCAUGCACCGGACUCGCCUAGUUCUGCUGGAAUGGACAUUCAUGAAACACCCCCCAUUCCUUCUGAAAUGGCUCAAGAUAAAUUAUUGGAUAUUGCUAAAAUGACUACAGAUGCAAUAACCAGUCCGGCUGAAAUGGCUCUAGAUGCAAUAACCAGUCCGGCUGAAAUGGCUCUAGAUGCAAUAACCAGUCCGGCUGAAAUGGUUCUAGAUGCAAUAACCAGUCCGGCUGAAAUGGCUGUAGAUGAAGUGUUGGUUACAGCUGAAAUAGCUACUGAUACUGUACCCAUUCCUGCUGACAUGGUGGCAGGCGCAACAUCAUCUGUAUCUGAUGUGGCAACAGAUAAAAUGCUCACUUCUCAUGGUAAACGACCAUUCUUCUAUUGCAUUUUGUCUUACCUGAGCUUGGUUACAUUAUUUUAACCCCUUUAAUUUGCAUGCAGUGGAGCAUCAAUCCCCUUCUUCAUCUUAUGCUAGUAUAUUUGAAAAGCUGGAUGUAUCCGAGGCAGCUGAAUUGGAUGAGAGUUUUGAUGAGGUGCCUCCUGGUAUGGAGACUGGCUCAGCUUCUGUGCUGGUCAUGGACAAAAACAAAUACCGACCUUCAAAACCAACCAACUCUAUGCCCGGAAUUUCUAGAUACAUUACCGUGGCUAUCUGCAGGCAGACACUGCAUAAGAAUGUUAUAGAAGAGUGGGCAUCUCUCCUGUCAGAUACUAUCAGUGAGUGCCUUGAUUCAUGGUAUACCAAGCAGACUGUUGUGCCUAAAAACAUCGACGAAUCAUUGAGACCUAAUAAAGAAUAUGCGUACUACAGAAAGAGAAAGUUAAGGAACAGCUGUGAAGCAGUGUCAUCCAAAAAAGCAGUGAGAACUCCAACGGAUGAGCAGCUUUCCAAGCCUCUACGUGAGCUUGUUGAGCGCAAGGUUCAUCUUAAAAAUGUCCAGGAACCAAGGAAGGCCGGGAAGUCGAAAAAGUCCUCCAAGAGUCGUACCAAAACUCUUGAUAAUGUUGUAAACACUUUGAAUAUCGAACAAGGCUUGAAGCGGCUUUCCAAUGAUGUGCCAAAGACCUCCAUGAGUCGUACCAAAACUCUUGAUAAUGCUGUAAACCCUUUGAACAUUGAACAAGGCUUGAAGCGGCUUCCCAAUGAUGUGCCAAAGGCCUCCAAGAGUCGUACCAAAACUCUUGAUAAUGCUGUAAACCCUUUGAAUAUCAAACAAGGCUUGAAGCGGCUUUCUAAUGGUGUGCCAAAGGCCUCCAAGAGUCGUACCAAAACUCUUGAUAAUGCUGUAAACCCUUUGAAUAUUGAACAAGGCUUGGAGCGGCUUUCCAGUGAUGUGCCAAAGAUCUCCAAGAGUCGUACCAAAACUCCUGAUAAUGUUGUAAGCCCUUUGAAUAUCGAACAGGACUUGAAGCGGCUUUCCAAUGAUGUGCCAAAGAGUAAGCAUUUUAGUCUUGUUUGCUUCAUCCCCUGUAAAUUUGCAUAGAUUUAUCACAUGCAUCAUCUUUCUUUUCUAGGACAAAGGACUUCUCAUCUUACUAGGAUGCCUCUGGUUGAUAACGAGGUUCCUUUUGAGAACGUUAGUGUGCCCACAAAGCUUGCAAAGAAAAGAAAGAAUAAGAACAUGUCUACUGACUCCAGUCAGAAGGCAAAACCAUUGAUUUUGUGUCCAGAGUCAGAUGGUUGUGCAAGAGCUUCCUCCAAUGGGUGGGAGUGGCGUAAUUGGGCACGCACCGCCACUCCAUCAGAAAGGACUCGUGUGAGAGGGUACCGCGUUCGGAGUAUUCUUUCAACUUCAGCUAAUAAUGUGUGGAAAAACCCACAAGUUAAAGGUACAUCUGCGCGAACAAACCGCGUUAAGUUACGAAACCUGUUAGCUGCUUCUGAAGGCACCGAGCUACUGAAAAUUACCCAAUCGAAGGUAAAAUAAAUCAUUGCAUGUACACAAGUUUCUCUUGCCAUGACAGUUUGAAUGACCACUGACUCUUACCUUUGGCAUAUAGGCAAGGAAGAAGCGGUUACGUUUUCAAAGGAGCAAGAUUCAUGAAUGGGGUCUGGUGGCCCUUGAGUCAAUUGAUGCAGAAGAUUUCGUUAUUGAAUAUGUUGGUGAACUGAUUCGCCGGCCGGUAAUUUUGUUAUCUUGAAUCAACAAUCCCUUCAUCAAUGUAGUACUCCCUCUGUUCACUUUUGUAAGUCGUUUAAGACAGCUGAAAUUGAACUGUUUUAGGUGCUGUCUUAAAUGUCUAAAAGGUCUUAUAAAAGUGUACGGAGGGAGUAGUUUUUAAGAAGCUUAUUGAUAUAUCUGUACCAUACAGGUCUCAGACAUACGUGAGGCUCAAUAUGAGAAGAGUGGAAUUGGAAGCAGUUACCUUUUUCGCUUGGAUGAUGAUUAUGUGGUAGGUGUAGAAGAUUAUUCUUAUCUGCCUUUAUCUAAAAUGGUGUGCUGCAUACGUGUCUUUAUUUCUGAUAUUUGCUUCUUAGACAAUAGAAGAAUUGGAUAAUGUUGAAGCAGUACAGAAAAUGAUGGAGCUAUGUGACAAUAUAAUAAUGUAAAGCAUAAAUGUGAUCUUUUAAUGGGUUGGGGUCCUUGUGAUGCUUGGUAGUCUCAAACCUUUGAUUGAAAUCAUGUUUAAUCUUUGCCAGUUUUUGUGACUGCACCUUGCGCAACUCUGUUCAUUGCCUCCAUUUUUUCUUAAUUUACACAGGUUGAUGCUACAAAGCGUGGCGGUUUAGCAAGAUUUAUCAACCAUUCGUGUGAGGUAAACUGCUUAACAAUAAACAUUCAACUAUGGUUUCUGUAACAUGCUGAAUAGCAGUCUCGUUAUUUCCUUGCCAGCCGAAUUGUUAUACAAAAAUAAUUACUGUUGAGGGCCAGAAGAAGAUUUUCAUUUACGCAAAGAGGCGUAUAUAUGCUGGCGAAGAAUUGACGUACAAUUACAAAUUUCCAUUGGAGGAAAAUAAGAUACCAUGCCACUGUGGUUCCCAAAGGUAAAUCGCUUAGAUAUUUUACAUGACAUCUUCUGUUUUUGGUAAUUUUGCUGCUUAUGAGCUUAUUCCCAUAGAAGUUAAUGCAUUUCUUUUUAUAGUUUUUACUGANNNNNNNNNNNNNNNNNNNNNNNNNNNNNNNNNNNNNNNNNNNNNNNNNNNNNNNNNNNNNNNNNNNNNNNNNNNNNNNNNNNNNNNNNNNNNNNNNNNNNNNNNNNNNNNNNNNNNNNNNNNNNNNNNNNNNNNNNNNNNNNNNNNNNNNNNNNNNNNNNNNNNNNNNNNNNNNNNNNNNNNNNNNNNNNNNNNNNNNNNNNNNNNNNNNNNNNNNNNNNNNNNNNNNNNNNNNNNNNNNNNNNNNNNNNNNNNNNNNNNNNNNNNNNNNNNNNNNNNNNNNNNNNNNNNNNNNNNNNNNNNNNNNNNNNNNNNNNNNNNNNNNNNNNNNNNNNNNNNNNNNNNNNNNNNNNNNNNNNNNNNNNNNNNNNNNNNNNNNNNNNNNNNNNNNNNNNNNNNNNNNNNNNCCCCCAACACACACACACACACAGAGGAUUGGUUACUGCUCUGAUCGCUGUGAACCUUCAUUCUUCUUUUAAACUUUCAGUAUUAUGUAAGUUUCAGUAUGACCCAAUAGCGAAUAAAGUACAAAACAAUUGACAGCUGGAAAUGACACUCUCACCAGGAACUAAUACUCCUGCUACCCACUUUGAUUAGCCAACUAGAUUUUAAACUAUGAUCUACAUACAUAUGAAUUCAUAUGUUGCUAAAUUGAAUGACGUCUUUUUUCUCAUUGAUUUUCUUUGUCGUGCUAUUUCCUGUAAUUUGCUUGGGAUGUAUUCUGGAAUUCUACGCUUGCCACUGACCGUCCCACCAUCAUGUGGACCUGAGCCCAAAAUAGCCAGUACUCAAACUCAAUUUUUUUGGAGCUUGGGAGUGCGCGUAGAAUAAUUGUGUGUUUAUUCAUCUGAUACAAUAUUUAUGCUACCAUUGAACUUGUUUUAUUUUAAUCUUAUCCUUAUUUUUUUGAGAUAGUUGUUUGUGCCAUUUUUUAGGAUAUUUCUCUUUUACUCCUUCACUUGCUAACUAUGUGCUGGCUGUUUAGGUGCCGUGGUUCAAUGAACUAAGAAGUCAAGCUUAUUACUGAGGUAAUGCUACAGUUACAAGUAUUUCCAUGUUAGGCUCAGAAGUUAGCAUUUGCAUUAUACUUCGUCGUCUGUUAAGCUAUCAUUCUUAUUGGUGAAAAGCUGAAAGCCGACAAUAAUCUGCUCCAAAGAAUUUGAUAUGGUAUUCCUCGAUUGCAAGAAAAAAAAUGUAGCAUAUCCAUAUCAUCAGUAGAUAUUCUUUGAAGUGGCAAAUCAUUGUGUUCCGUUAUUGUGUGCCCUAAAUUUAGGUGUUAGUAUUAUCGUUGGGUUAGAAUUUUUGCCGGAGUUGGACAGGAUAUAUAAGUUUGAUUAUAUGGAACUGCAAAUGCUCAGCUGAUUGCUACAAUGAACUUAAUUUCCAGGAGAAUGGGCUAUGUUGUCCCCUUCUCAGCGUUCCUCUUCUAAUACAAACUACAUGCAUUUCGGUGUGGGUUCGAGAAAUCUAGGUCAAUGGGGAAAUAAUCCGAUUGGUUUAGCAAUGGUUCAGUCCCCUCAUUCAUUUUAUAUCUCUGUUUCUGAGAUCAGUUUAACUCCAUUACUGAAGCCGUAUGGGGGUGUUGUGCAGUCAGAUAAUCAAAUGCAAUUCUGUCAUAUCAUGUUAUUACAGAGACUAGUUGAACGCCCGUGCGUUGCCACGGGAGGAUAUAAAAUAAUGAUGAUUUAUCGAUCAAAUCAUGGAAGUACUCAAUGUUUGAUGUGCUUACUUUGGAGUUCAAGGUUAUUUGAUCCAUUUAGUUAUAGCGAAUGCAUUGUUUAUUGAACUGUAUCAUAUAAGUGCUACGAGAUUGAAGCGUUCAAAAAUAUAUUUUUGGAGAACUUUCAAAAAGUUAAAUUACAUCUAAUACUUUAGUGACAAGACCAUUAUUUUCAGAAUUCAUUUUCUUGUAUAAGUCGCAACAUUUUCUUGGCGUUGCCGACAAAAGCCUUAUUGAAGCAACCUGUCGCAUGGUGUAGUUGGGAGUGUAGAACAUUAAGGUUCUACGGUCCAGGUACAUCAUCAGAAGUAAAGAUUAGAGGCACGUGCAUGACGUGGGAAAGAAAAUUUAAUCACUCAAUUUGAGACUUAUAUUUGAAACAAAACAAUCAGAUAUUAAGUGAUAACAAUAAACUAAUACCCCCUUCUUCCAAAAAUGUAUAGUAUUCUCUCCUUCCCAAAAUGUAGGGCCCGCUUGCCCUUUUAUGUUCUUCGUCACACAACUUUGACUAUUAUUUUCACUUAGUGUAUGGCUAUAAAAUUAGUAUACACACAUGAAAUAAAAUUAUUUUUCAAGAGAAAUACUACCAUACCUUUUAAACAUGUUCAAUCCACGUACUUUGGCAUGUACAACAGGUCAAAGUCGUGUCCUCCAAAUAAGUGCUUUACAUGUUGGGAAGAAUGGAGUACAUAAAUCAAAAGUCUGCUUCAUGCCUUCCUAGCUUUAAUACUUACAGGUGUAUGGCAACUCCUUGAAUCAUAAAUCAGGGCUUCUGACCAAUAGAAUCAUAUACGAAAUAUUUCAUAUGCUUGGCUACAAUUUACACAAUACAACAAUGAUACAUAGUGUUCAAGAUAGAUGGUUUCUGUAGCAAAUAUAAGUAGAAGGUAAAGUGUUACAUUCCAGCCUCAUGACUGCUUAAGUUAGUAUUCCAGUGUGAAGCUGGCCUCCUCAUGGCUACACAACUCUUUGAUCAUGUUCGCUAAAUCGUGAAAUCAAGAAGUUGAUUUUCUUUUCGCCUGACCUCAAAAUAUUUGCACAAAAUCCGUCAGUUAAUUAGUGAAUCUGGACCUUGAUCAUCAUACCUACGAAUCUGGGAGUAAAGGAAAGUACUUGCGAACGUUAAUAUUCUAAUAUGAAAGCUUAGUACUCCCUCCGUCCCAUAAUAUAAGAACGUUUUUGACACUAGUGUAGUGUUAAAAACGUUCUUAUAUUUUGGGACCGAGGGAGUAGUUUAUUAGCAUGUCUACAAUAAGUACCAUUAAUGAAAGCUUAGCAGAGGUUAUCAUGUUCGUUUUGUUGCGCUUGUGAAAGAUUCCAAAACCAUAUUUACAUCAUGAUAAACUCAUGUAGAACUACAUAUUGAACACUGCCACUUAUCUAGUAGUGCUAAGAGUCAUUUAUUCAAAAUGUUCGACAAAUAAAUGAUACCAAAAACAUAACACGUGAGAUCAUAGAUUAUUAGUCUGCAACAAGUCCCCUCUCCAUUUUUAGGAAGCUCGGCAAUAUGGAAUGAUGGAGCAGUCUCACAACCUGCAAAAGAUUGCUAGAUAAAUAUAAGAAUUUUCAGUUUAAAGAAAACAUACAAAAUACUUGAUCUUGUAGCUAUUUUUGGUCUCUAGGAAACAAAGACCUUUGAUGCCAUAAGUGUAUAGAGAUAUAUGUGAGAUCUUAAUAUUACAUGAUAAAUUUUGUAUCUUUAUCAUUCAUAAAAAUAACUUGCAGAAAAUUACCAUAAUCUAUUUAUUAGACCAUGCUACCCAUUUAUAUUCUCAUAUUUACUGAAUAAGCAGCAGUUGUGUUUACUAUACCACAAAUCAUAAUAUCAAAGUGUAGGAACAAACUUGAUUUUUGUUGAACAGAAUUUUUUUUUACUUUGUUCUUUGUCAAACUCUCCACCUAGAUUUUUCAUCUUGAUUUGCACAAGUCGUGCUUAGGGCUAUAGGAUACAAGAGGCAAAAAGGUUGCUUGAAAAGUAAAAAUACAAGAGGCAAAGAGAGUAGUGUACAGGAGGAAGCACAUCGCAUAUGAGGGAGAGAAGGGGAGAGAUGAACAUGAGUACUGCCUGUCCAGAGAGAGAGAGAGAGAGGGAGGAAGGGAGGGAGGGAAGGCGGCCGGCAUGAUGGCGAGCAUGACGAUGAACGAGGUCAGGUAGUGUGGAAGUUCACGUGGAUAGGGCAGGUGCCGAUGGCGCGCGGGAGUGCGAUCGGAGGCGACGAUAGGGUAGCAAUUUCCUUCGCCCUAGCAGAUCGUGCAUGUGUAGAGGUAAGCGGCCCACGGCAGUUAGGGAUCACAUAGGCGAGACGUGUGUGUGUGGGUUGGGUUGUUUCCUUUUUGUUCCGGAAAAAACCGGUGGGGAUCGGUGGGGAUGGGAAAAACAAUGGGAAGGGGGAUCGCACGUGGUAAGGAGGUGGAACCAUCAUGAUAACGGCAGAUCCCUGGGAUGGGAAAAAUGAUGGGUUGGGGGAUCGUACGUGGUAAGGAGGAGGUGGAACCAUCAUGACAACGGCAGAUCCCCCUUUAAUAGUAGAGAUGGCAUGGAACACGGAAUGUCAACGAGUUACUUUGUAGUCCAAGCUCGCACAAUUGCCUGCCUUCUUGUUAAUAUUUCUGACAUAAAGAUCCCGAUUGAUAAAAUCAGUUAUUUUAGACUUCAGCAACCUAUAUACUUUGUAGGAGUGUAAUGUAACUUUUACCUGUAUAUGGAUGACCUUCCAUAUGUUCAUAUGGUUGAGUACUGACCUACUUACAUGUACCUUUAGGCUUGAUCCAGCACCAGCAGCCAACUCUAUGGGCUAAUGCCAUCAUUUUUAUUUCCAUUUCAUUACAUAGGGAGGACACAUGAUUAAGUAUAGGGCACAUGAUUAUGUCUGCAUUGCUGGCAACUUUGGAGUUUCUUUUGAAUCUUUAACUUGAAAACGACUUGCCGGAGAUCUAGAGUUUUUUAUUGUCUUCCUUUUGUCCCUGGGCAGGAUUUUACACUAAAGUACAGGAUGGUGGAACAUGCUGUUUUGGGGAGAUUGCAGUUUCUUACCCUGUGAUGAAGAACGAACUACACUAUUUUAGGCUAGAUGAGCUAAUUCAGGCUAUCCAGAGUAAGGCACAAGCGCCGACUAUUGGUUGCCAGCUCGCCAGGAAGACUGCAACUGAGCUUUCUCCGUCUGGUCUGUUGAGAGUGAAGAGGAGUUCAGCGUGUGCGGAGCUAGUGGAUGGUUGGUUACUUGCUGACAAGGUUAAUACUAAUGUUCUUGCUCAUAUCUGGAUAGAAUUGGAAAACCCACAAUCUUGUACAUUGCCAAACAGCCCAACACUAUGAUUAAUUGCAUUUGACCGAUUGAAAGAUAUAGAGAUUACAUUGUGGUUAUUGGAUGAGAAGUAAAUCUAACUAGUAGCCUGUAAAAGAUGAAACACAGAAAGGCAAGCAGUAAUGAAGUGUUUCCUUCAUCUUGUGAGGAUUAUGCUCUUUUGCCCCAAUGCUAGAAUUUCACGAUUAACUUGAAUGAAGUGUGCAUGGCAGUAUGGAAGGAAAUAGCCUUGUGGCUUGCUUGCACAUGCAUGGCACGGAAUCUCCUUUCCUGCUUGAUGGGCCUGUGGUGUGAUGCCUUCUUCUUGUAUCCCCUACCUACGGAAGAUGUACCUACCAACAUGGCCAGCUUUUGCACCCGGAUCAGCAUGAAUCAGAUUUGGGCCUUUUCUUUGCUUUGGCUUUAGUUGCUUUGAGCAGGGAAACACUGUCGCUUGGAGCUUUUUGAUUCCGACCCAUUCUCUUGGGAUGGACAAGAAGUUCUCUCCCAAUCACAAGAGAAUUAGUCCGGCUCAGAGCCAUUGCACACAUGUUUAAUACUCCCUCCGUCCCAAAAUAAGUGUCUUGAGCUUAGUACAAAUUUGUACAAAGUUGAGACACUUAUUUUGGGACGGAGGGAGUAUGUUAUAAAUCACACUACAAAUUGUGUUUUUGGGCGCAGUUAUAUCCUGUCUUUUGGUAAGCCGUGUUGUUUAUUCAUUCAUGGACCUGCUCGUCUUGUUGCAGGUACAUACAUACAUAUAUCUCUCUGUCAUCCGUGGGGUUUGUAUGUAGACACGCCCUGUAUGAAUGUGAAUGUAUAUGCUUCCAUCCACAAACUAUUCGGAACCAGUGUGGUAUGUGCUCAUCUCCUGCCUGUAUUAGCAACCAAUUAUUUCCCCUAAUUGCAAUCCUUAUAUUUGGUCUGCUUUCUGUGUUAACCACAGGACGGCGUUCUCGCAGGUUGCUUGAUUUCUCGCCGAGACAUAUGCAUAAUAAUCCAUCAGUGUAAGUAAGUGCGUUCUUAACCUGUUUGCUUGUGUAGCCCCAACCCGUGAUGCAGGUGUGCAUGCUAAUCUCACUGCAAAACCGAACAGGAACGGGGAAAUAAUCCAAAGCAAGCAAGAAUAUGAGGAGGCCCGCAGGUCUAAGGCUCGGCAUAUCCCAAAGAAAACAAUGGGUAAUUCGAGUUUGGUGUGUUGCUAAAUCAGCUGGCUUUGCCAAGGAAAAAAAAAUACCCCGGUGUUGCUACUUCUAAGUCGACUGAGAUUCUCUUAGAGAAGCGCAACUUUUGGUGAAAAAUAAAAUGUAAGUCGCGCUAUUUCACUAAAUUGAAAAUGCACUCUUCUGAACUGAUCCGCGACUUCACAAAAUCUCAGUCGACUUAGACAUAGAUAGACCGACCAAAAAAAAAAGGAGAUCCUAAGCCAGGAAUCUUGCCCAUGAAUAGCCAAGCCAAUACAUAGUUAUGGCAUGCGAAAAAAGACCAAGCUUUGGCAAUGAUUCAAGCAUGUACCAAACUUUUAGGCCCAGCCAGCAGGAGAAAAUUCAUGGUUAGUUUGGGCACAGGCAGAACACGUACGCCCAUUGUUACCAUCUUUCCAUGGAUGCUCAAGCUCAGUGAAGCCACAUGGCUCCUCUUGGCAUUUUGGGGUGUGACGUGAGCGUGCAAUCAUUGUGGCUAUGUUAGAUUUAUUGAUCCUAUUUUCCACCAAACUAACCAGUACUCCCUCCUUUUUUAUUUACUCUGCAUAUUAGUUUUGGUCAAAGUCAAGCUUUACAAACUUUGACAAAGUUCAUAGAUAAAAAUAUUAACAUAUACAAUAACAAAUCAAUACCAUUAGAUUUGUCGUUGAAUGUACUUCCACAUCAUAUAGAUUUGUUAUGCUAAAUAUUUAUAUUCUUUUCUAUAAAUUUGGUCAAACUUUACAAAGUUUGAUUUCAGUCAACUCUAAUAUGCGCAGUAAAUAAAAACGGAGGGAGUAUUUUCACUGUCAAAAUACAUAAAUAACCAGUAUAUUUUUCAUAGCAGCUUUAACGACCAGCCGACGCAGGAAGUUCCUUUUUUUGCAUGACGUGGGAAGGGUGAGCCCCCAAAUAAAGUCAGUAGCAUGACCGAACACACCAAACCCUUGCGUCACACUGUUGGUAUAUGGCCUCUGGUUCUCUGUCCCGUUAGCCUUGGCCCACCUGUUCGUGCAUGCUGUAGACUUCCAGAACAAAAUCAACCGUGGAGAAAAUUUAUGUUAAGUGGAGAAAAAAAAAUACAUUUUAAUGGUACACUGUAAAUAUAACCAUGUCCACUGGAGGUGUGGAUAAAUGUUGGAUCAUCCACCGAACGUCAAUCAUCUAGAAGCAUUUGCAACCGUAUGAUUUGUAUUUGGGCGCCUAGGAAACGCUGAUCUGCCUUGCCGGGCCCAUUCCAUGGACCAAAGAUUUAUUUGUGCGAGGAAAACUCAAAGAAAUCCGGGCCCAAUCGCUUGGACAAGAGAGAGCAAUGAAAGUGAACACCAAACCCAAGGAGAUCUGUGGAUUAUAUUUUGGUUUUAUUGUGGAUGAUAUAGUAUACUAUAUAUAUACACACGUCUAAAAGCAGCAGAUGUUUGUACGCUAAAUCCUGUACUAACAUGUGGUUUCUCUGAUACAAAAUCACAAUUAUUAGUAGUUGUUUUUUAAAAUAUAUUUUUGUGAUACUAGCCAUUUCAUGUCAUAUAAACAAAAAACAUAUUAACUAAAUAAUCCUUUGUUAAUGUCCUGUCUUUAUUAAGCCUACUAGUAGGUGUAACAAGUGGUUUUGUGUGUCACCGGCUUUGAGCUCGGUCGGAAGAGCGUGGGUGGCAGCACAGGGAUGGGAAAUCCCCCGUGCUCUCCUUUGGUCGGUUCGAAUCCGGCAGGUCGGCAAUUUCAACUAAAUAAAAUUAAAAUUGACCUCCCGAAUAUAGUUUUCUUGUGUCUGUUUUGCUAUGUGAUCAGUCCUGAUUAAUAAUGCUCCCUCCAAUCCAAAAAAAAAGUGCCGUGACUUUAGUUCAGUUAAGAAGUACUCUUUCCGUCCCCAUGGUUUACCUUUUUAAUCUUUUAACCCAAAUAUACGUAUUUCGAGGAGGAAAAUGUUACCGAGCAUGCACCGCAAGGAUGUAAAGCUUCAGUGAACCCCUGUUUUAUUUUUCCUGUAAAACUCAGGCCACAAAGUAAUUGUAUUGCCAUUUUAAGACUUGUUUGCAUUCUUGUAUGUAACUGCUGUUAUAUAAAAGGCAAACAGUGCGUGUCAGAGCAGAUAUAAGGUCCUGUGUCUGUGUGGCUCGAGAAAAAAAAAUUCGUUUGCACCUCGCGCGGUCGUGGGCUCUUGGCCGUGCAAGUGCAAGGUCACCUCUUCUCAAGAGAACACUGAGGUUGUGUUUGGCAUUUUGUCAGAUCACAAAAGUUCUGCUUGCCCACCAGAUUUUGCUAUUUCAACGUUUGUUUUACUCGUGCCUAUCCUCUUAUAUGGCUAAUUUUUUUGUAUAUAUUCUAUCUUAUAUUUUUUGGUCAGUGCUAAAGCUGUUGCCUUGUGAUCAUGAGGUCACAGGUUCAAGUCGCCUUGUGGUCAUGAGGUUACGGGUUCGACUCAUGAAAAAACCUCUUGCAGAAAUGUAAGAAAACCCGCGUACAAAAUAUCCAAAGUGGUUGGACCCUUCCCUGGACCUUGCACAAGCAGGAGCUACGUGCAUCAAACUGCCCUUUUUAUUAUAAAAAAGAGUGCAAUACAGUUCAUCAACCAGGAACCGAGUUUGAAGUACAAGAGAUUGCGACUUUCUCUAUUGUUUUAUUGCAGCGAACUGCUACAAGAAAUAUGAUCAAGUUCACAGAAAGAAAAAAAUUUGAUGGAAAAUACAUGGCAUAACGUAUGUAAGAGCAGGUUUCGGAAAUGGACUUUCCUGCGCGAUGAGCAUUGGUCUUCACUCUUCGACAUCUUUCUUCCCUGUCCUGCUGCUUUUGGAGGCAUGCAAAUUUAGAGUUGCCAUAUCCGAGCCUUCAUAAUUUUCUUACAUACGAGACCUAUAUAUCAUUAACUACAUACUUAUUCUUCAAUUGGACUAAAAUUGCAUACUCAAAUAACCAAUAAUAGUGGACCAAAGGGCAAAGGUCACAUGUAUCAGAGAACGUCGGUGGCGGCGGCGGGUUCGAUGCCGCCGGUCACAAAUGUGGCGAGGGCGAGCACGACGGUGAGGGUGAAGAUGACCACGAGCACGCUGGCGAGGAUGAUUCCAACGACGAUGAUUUCAGGGACAACUCGAUUUUGAUUCCGGCAAUGCUCGAAAUUACAAUACGCGUUUAGCCAUCAAGUGAAAAUUUUGGUGGACGUUCCCCGAUGAUGAGGGGAGGGUCACUGUCUCUUGCCCUUCGAGAGCAGCACCCAAUCCGCCCGCAUGGAAGGAAGUGGUAGCUGUGGGCGACAUGAGGGAAGUCGAGAUUGUGGGUGAUGACCUUUUCAUAGCUACGAGUGGCAAGAAACGUGGCAGGAAUGCCCGCCAUUAAUUCGCUGUGGGCUACGCCAUUAAUUGGCAUGCUUCUUGGUGUCACGGGCACCUAGCUGUCUCCGCCGUUGCCAAGGAGAGAAGAUGGACCACACGGGAGGCUGAGGAGGGAGGGCCACCUCCCGCGCGAGUGGUUGGCAUAUAGAGUGCCCUCCAAUCCAACGCUCCACAACCUCCGAAUAUGAAGGAUCGCGGGCUCGAUUUGGAACACCCUCUAUAAAUUAUGAUGAUCAAGGUUGGAUUCUGACUUUGCUUGAGUGUCCUUUUGGGCCAAAAGUGCUAUAUCGGCGGCUAUUAUACUGAUCGACCUGAUAUGGGACACAACUAGAGUUGCUCUUAGGGAAGGUACACUGCAACUUUCCUUCUCCCCUGUCCUUGUCCAUCGUCAGUCCAUAUGAUCAUCGUUGCGCUAACGCUUGGUGCACCACUCCAUUCUUGGUACUUCGAUGCAAACGGGCAUCACAAUUGACUAUCCUCACUAGUAUUGUUCGGUGGUCAUCUAUCGUCACAUUUGUCUCCCUGCGGUAGUUAUAUCCCUCUAUUGCUAAAGGGUGUUCACAAAUUAUCAUAAUUUCUAGGAACAAAGAGUUUAAGCUAGAAAGGCCUUUUUCGAUGGAAAUACCAUGGCUUGUCAGUUUUAACUAGCUAAGAUGGAGGCGAUUGACUCCCUUUGGACCUCCAUGUAAUUUUAUACUUUGUUGGGGUUGUUUGUAUUGUUGGUGUUGCUAAUAGAUCUGAGGGGUUUUUUUCGCAAAAAAAAACUUGAUUGGUUAAAUUCCGCCUAGUAAAAAAGAAGGAUUAUAAAUUUCUAAAAUGGUAGAUGAAAACAUAGAAGCCACUGCAACCCUCCAUAAACGAGUAAUCUGCCAAUGCAAAUGUUUUCUCAACUUGUUUUUUUAUGGUAUUUAGAAAUGUCAGAUAUAAAAAUUCACCUUUUUUACCCGCAGGAAACCAACGUUGCUUUGUUCACUCGAAACACCCAGAAAUACUACUUUUUAUAAAAAGAAACAUCCAUAAUGUUGACGAAGAUAUGAGCAUGUAGUAGUAGAUUGAUUUUUUGGCCCCUUUCCUGAAUAUCCUAACGGCGGCAUUGCAAAGGAAAGAAUGAAUAUUAAGCAUGAGCUACUUGAUUGUGACUAAACUAUUUAAACCUACUCGAUUGGUUAGCACUUUGAAAGUGGAGAAAGAAGCAUCACACCCACCCAACUCUGAUUCGUGCCGACCGUUCGUCGCAUCAAACCGGUCGGCGGCGGUGCUGCCGAUUAGCGCCGUCCAACCCCCUUCUUCAUUCUCCCUCACCGCACGCACUCUUCUCCAGACUAGCUUCCAUGUCUCUCCCCCACCUCGCCUCGCCCACACUCCUUAUGGCGUUGGCUGGAUUAAUUGACCCACCGGGGAGGCUAGACUCGGAGACCGGCUUGUGUUUCGUGCGCGCCCAAGCUUUGGUCCGAUCCCUCUUCACGCACGAUGUGCCGUGGUAGUGCUUGAUGAACCCAUUUCGUUCUAGGAUCAUACAUGAGUUCAGCGAGCCAAUGUUUUUUUCCUUAUCAUUCGUCGUCGAGUCCAUAUGUUUAAUUUGUGUCCAACUUAUUUAUUAACCCCACUAUUAAUUAGGGCGUCGUAUCUUAUGCAUCCGGGGUGGUUCGUGAAUCCCUGUAUCCGCAGUCUCCCCGACCGGCCGAUCGCCAUCCCACGCACGCAAUCAAAAUCGGAAGGAAAUUGCAAAUACACGCCCGCAGCAGCUCUUAGUUAAACCUGCUUAUUUGCUAAUAACCCCUCGGCCAAGCUAAUCCCCGCUUGUCUUCCUCCCAAUCCAAUCACACUCAAUCCCUCCAUGGCGGCACGGACGACGGAGCCAUGAAUCCUUGGACGGCAGCCGCGCAUGGGCCACCUCCGUGUAUGUCCGCCUCAAACGGCUCCAUGACCUGGUGAUCCCAACGACGAUGGUCGUCCCUCGUUGGCCUGCCUCCACGCCUGUUCGCCUCAAAUGGCUCAACGCCCUCGGGGAUCCGUUCGGCGGCCACGGCGGGAUCCACCACGAUUUGGCGUAGCACCGCGCCCGUCCACCUUCUUGCCGGUCACCGACGCAAGUCCGCCACCGGCCGCAACCUGCAGACCAUCUACUGCACCGCGCCUGCAUCCAGCCAUUUGCUGCUCCACCUGACGACGUCCGCCUGCUGCAAGAGACUCGUGUAGGAAGCGAGCACAACCCGUUGCAUAGCAAACAAGGACCACGUCCUGAAUUUUAUUGUUCCUGUUUAAUGUUUCAAGUACUUGCAGAUUGUAGCUUGUGAGCUUAUUCAUUGCAGACUAUAGCUUGUGAGUUCAGAGACAAGUGAAUGUAGCUUGUUGUGAAUGCACAAUUCAGAAAUAAACAAAUUUCUUAUUGCUCAGUUCCCGAUGAUUUGUGGUGUUAUGCGAUAUGUGAUGCAAUACAGCUGAACAAGGGCAUAGUAUAACUUGGCGCUUAUCAUUCCUCUGCAUUCCUAUUUGUCAUUUACAUAUUGACAAACAAGAAAAUGUUGCUUUUGCUGCAACCUUCCCAAACUGUCAAUAUUCUGAAUGCCCACCUGUUUAAUUUUUUUUCAUGAAUGCUAUUGUGGAGGUUGACAUGGGUUUGCCAACUGAGUUUGCUCCUUGCGUGAUUCAUAUGCUGUUGUUAAACUUUCACACCUGAAACAUACUACUGCUGGUAAAUACAUCUGGUAAUAAUUGACGACUCAAUGAACUCGAUGCUUUUACUGUUAUACAACUGAAUAAAGGGAUGAACGCUACAGGCUGACAAAGUUUCUUCUAGAUUAAUCCCUUGGGUGAUAGCUGCUGAUUGUUUGCAUCAAAGAACAGAGGAUGCUUCAGGUUUAUGUGAACAAAAUGUAUGCUGGUGCUCUUGCUGAUUGCUACACUCCAUUCAAUACACAUCAAGUCAGGGUAAAUAAAAGGAAGACAGUUUCACAAAACACAUAAUUCAAUCAAUUACAAUAAUCCAGUGCAUGGAGGAAUAAACAUUAAUAACUCAUAUAAAUUCAUGUGUUCUAGUAGACUAGGGCCAUCAUAGAACACCAUUUGGCUUCAUCGGUCGCACAAUCUCGGUCCCCUUGCCUUGAACUUUAAUCUCCUUGCUCUUCUCAGACCUGAAUCCUUCCCUAUUGCACAUGAAACACUUUGUCCGAACCACAUCAUUGUCCAACUUUUUUUGCUGUCCAACACGAACUCCAAAACCCGCAUGAUGUGCAUGACUUGUAGAACUCCUCCACGGCCUCAAGGCCUUCAAAUGUCAUCCCUACUGGCUUCAACUUCUCGUCACAUCUCUGCGUAAAAGAGGAGCACUAAAAAAUAAAUAAUGAAUGACAAUAAUCAUCAUCAUGCAUAUCUCUUUGAACUGAACAGGGACAUGGCAAACGAAAAUUUAUUAAACUCACAAAUAGAAGAAUGCUUUCUUUCUUUCUUGGGGUAGCAAAUUCUCCCUCCUUCACUUGAGUUUCCAGGCUUUUGCCUAAUUCUAUAGCUGCACUGCACAUGCAUCAACAUGGUUAGUCUCUAGAUAACAAGUAGUACGCAUGUACAACACACAAAUAGUCUGGGUCAUACACAACCUGGUCAUUACCUGAAGCUCCAUGUACAGUACUGAAAUCUGAUUCGUAUUCUGCAGUAGUAGUAUUUUCUACAGCCAUAACAGGAAACUGAGAUGGGCCUCCAACCGGCUAGAUGCAGAGGCAUACUCAGGAUCAGCACUUGAACUAUGGAUCACUGCUGAUGCAUAUUGGACAUCCAUAACAGCAGGAGCCGCCAAAAGCAGUUGCGGCGUAUCACGUGACAAAGAUUUUUCCAUCCUGCCGAAAGGGCGUUCGGAACCAGAGAUGCAUCCCGCAUGGCCGUAGCGGAGAUCGUCAGGGCAGAUGAACUCUGUCGUCGCGAUUGUCCGUCCAGAUGCAUGCCGUCCCGGCCGUGCCUGCCAAUGGGAUGCAUGUUGCGGCCGUGAUUAGGGAUUGGGAGGAAGACGAGCGGGGAUUAGCUUGGCCGAGGGGUUAUUAGCAAAUAAGCAGGUUUAACUAAGAGCUGCUGCGGGCGUGUAUUUGCAAUUUCCUUCCGAUUUUGAUUGCGUGCGUGGGAUGGCGAUCGGCCGGUCGAGGAGACAACGGAUACAGGGAUUCACGGACCAUCCCGGAUGCAUAAGAUACGACGCCAUUAAUUAGGUCGGUUUCCUACCACAAAUAUGUGUGAGAAUUAAGCUGGGUCAUGAUAAUGAGGCUGAGUCUAUAUACAGUAGUUCAUAAUUAUUACUAUAACAUUGUUGAACUUUCUUUAUUUACGAAAAAUGUUGUCAAUCUAUGAGCUUAACGAGUCAUAAUUUUUCCUUGUUUUUCGUCAUUGAAUCCAUAAGUUUGUACCUGCAACUAUCCAUUUAUGAAUAUAUUUUCAUUUCCUUUGAAACAUGGUUUCCAAAUAUUUCUACACAUGCUUUCUGAAAUGGCAACUUUCUUUACUGUUGGUGAUAAUAGAUACACGUUUGAUCAAAUAUUUUAUUCUACUUAUUUAUUAUCUCCACUAUUAGGUCAUUUUUCUAGCACAAAUAAGUGUCAUGAUUAAGCAAACAUUUCAUUGUUUUUUCUAUUCCUAGGAGAGAUACUCUGUUUAUGUAGUUUUGCUACUUUAUGAGAGAGCCCUUUCUUCUUUUUGAUACAGUUGAUCCUUUAACCUUUUAGAGCGUGAGGUUUUGUUGCAUGGCUGUAGUUUCUAUUUGCUAUGUAUACUGGAUACCCCCAGUGAAUCUCUAUGUUAGUAUGGUGCUCAUGCUUUAGUAAAAUAGCAGGGUUUACAUAGUUCAUAAUUAUUACUUGAACCUCAGUGCGCUUUUCUUCAUUUCUCACGAAAUAUGAUGUUGAUUCUUAUCACGAUAAUCGUUUCAUGAUAACAGGUAGUGGUGUACAUGUUGCACUCGUUGAACCAAUGCUUCAUACAACAUUGCGUUAUACCUGGGCAUUGUCUCCAAAAGUAUGUUGCCUAUCAGACAAGUGGCAAAAUCAUCUUGCUCAUGGUGGGUUGACUUCAUACGUAUGCAACGAAAGUCUUGUGUACAUUGCACAAAAGAUUGGUUAGGUAAAUGGAAAUCCUUGCUCUUUGAGGAUUGACUCCCCACAGUAAGGUAGUUUUUCUCACUUUGCUCAAAAGUAUGGAUAGCACGAUCCUCGCUUCUAGAGAAUUGACCCCUCCGCAAAAGCGAGAAGAUUUUGCUCACUUUUCUUAUAAUCAAGGAAAAAUCCUUGAUCACUUAAGGAUGCUAAGGGUCAAGACAAUCUUGCUCAUGGAGAGUUGACUUCCCACGAGCGCAAGGUAAGUCUUGUGCACAUUGCAAAAAAUUUGCCCAGUCAAAUGGCGAUCUUUGCUGUUGGAGGAUUGAUUCCCCAAAGGUAACAUGUUUUUUCUCACUUUGCUCAAACAUACGGCUAGUUAUGAUCCCCGCUUAUGAAGAAUUUCCCCUUCACAAAAGCGAUAGCAUUUCACUCACUUUUCUUGUUCAAGGAAAUCUUUGAUUACUUAAGGCUACUCAGGCAAUCCUUACUAGUGGAGGAAAACAAAUUUUCUUCUUCAUCAAAAACAAUGAUUGGCUUGUUUACUUGGCGCAAAGAUAAGGCUAUGCAAGAGGCAAAUCAAUUUUUGCUACGUAGAAUAGCAUAUUUUACUUCUAAAACUGAAGGCAGAUGCUGGUUAAUUAAUACAAAUGUAAAGCUAAGCAAGGGGUAAGGGGAUCGUUGAUAGUGAAGGAGAGCCAUUUGGCCCUCCCUCAAAGCCAAGGAAAAUCUUGCUCACCUGAGGCUACUCAAGGGGCAAGGCAAUUCUUGCUAUUGGUGGAAAGCAAAUUUUGCUCUCCAUCAAAACCACUGAUUGCCUUCACCAUUUGGUACAAAAAGCCUAUGCAAGGAAAAAAUCAUUGCUGCUUAAUGCUACUCAAGGGUGAGGCAAUCCUUACUAGUAGGGGAGAGCAAUUUUUCUCUCCCUCAAAACUAAGGAUUGUCUUGCUCACUUUGGAGGGUGGGUGAGUAACUCUGCCUAUGCUAUAUGUAGCCGGUCCCAAGCCCAGAUAAAAAGAGGAGGGGCCGCCAUACCAUUUAUAUUUUUGUAAUGUUCAUUGUGUCUUUUUGUUUUAAAACAUAAAAGCAAGUAAUUAGAAAAAAGAUAACCCCUUUAGGAAAUGCAACACAUUUUCCAUUGUUUAUAGUUGGAUUGCCUUGAUACUAGGACCUGGUUGCCAACUCAUUUUGUGCCUUUUGACCUACUCUUACACAUUUUCCUAUCUAUUGUUGAUGAAUGAAAUGCUAGAGCUCAUAGUGUAUAGAAUUAAAACUUUUGAAUUCAUAUGGUUGUAGCUGUACCUCUUUCUCUUGCUCUACACCGGCAAGCACUGAGACAAAGCUCGUACUCUUCGCUGACGCAUUGUAUUUUUUCAUGCUUUGGAUAAUUUUUCCCUAUUUUAUGUUCUGUUUUUUGCUUUGCUGUCAAUUCAAGAGCCAUUACUAGCUUGGGUAUUAGCUAGCUCAUGAGAAACCACUAUAUUUCCUUCUCAAAGGAGCUUCUAACACGCUGCUAAGAAAAUUCUUUGUACCAUAUUUUAGACUCAAAAGUAAGAUAAAUAAUGGACCAAUAUUUGCUCGUUUCCAUAUUAUACCAUGCGAUGCAAUUAAAUUGUAUAGUGAUGCGUCUCCAACACUAGCACCACCUAAUUAACAUCCAUCCAUAUUGCUCUGUCUUUUGGAGCAAAUGAAGCUUUCUCAUGGUUAGCUCAUCGUAGAGGAUACAUGUGAACAUAUGGUUUGGUAAUUGGUACUUUAGAAGUUUAGGAGUCUAUAUAGUUUGGUAAUUGGUACUUUAGGAGUAAUAGUUUUUCUCUGAUUGACAGAUAUGGUUUGCUAGCAACUAACUGAACAAUCAACUGCAUAUUUGUUUUUAGUAUAAAAACUUCUGCUUGGUGGUAUCAUAUUGCAUCAUUUGUCAAUUCGGUGAUGUGCAUGUUUUUAAUCUGUGUCUAACUAAAUUCUUGUGUAUUUUACCUUUUUCUCACUAAUAAUGUCAUGUGGUUUACAAGAUCUGGCCCAAGAGACAAAAAGGUGACUACCAAUCCUUUCAUCAUAUUGUACCAACUUCAUUUAAUCCUUCAUCCAUCGCUUCUUUGUGUCGAUGCCUGAAGUUAUUCUUGAAUGCUUUGUCAUGGCGCUCUAGCUUGUUACUUGAGUUCCUAGGUAGCUAUUGUGCUGAGCUGAGUCUUUUGGACUAGAGUUGUCUCCCCUUUUUGCCAUCAGUGAUUGCUGCUUCAUCAAUUUUUCUUGCUAGGUUGACCACAGGCUAGAUACUAAUCCUCGGGUAAGAGCUGAGAGGUAGAUUCUCAAAGCUGAUUUUUUUGCCUUUGAUAUUUCAAGUUCUCAAGGCUAAACAAUCAUGUGAUUUUGUGUUCGUAAAGUAAGGAAAUGCAGAAACUGACAGGCUACAAGGCAUCAGAGUUGAAGGAUUGCAUUAUAGCCAUACAAGAUUUGCUGCUCAAUAGAAAGGGUCCAUAUUUACCAGCAAUUCGAGACAAAAGUAUAAGCAACACAGGGUAUGCGCAACUCCAUCAAUUAUGUGACAUUUCUCUAAUAUUUUAAUGCUGGUAAUGUUAGUCUAAUUCUCUAAUCAUUUGGAACAAUUCAAAUGUGUAUCGAUGAUGCUUCCUCUUGUAGAUGCUGGAACAAUUAUGCAUUUUAGAGUGCUGGAAGCUAUUAAGAUGUUGGAGGUUUUAAAGCCUAACCAAGAUAUUUUCAAAUUCAUUAGGAGCUAGUCUAUCACCAAAGGCUAGACAUCCUCUUCUUGUGUAGAAUUGUAGUUAUGUACAAUAUCUUAGAACAUUAUGCCUUGUUGGUCUGUUUGGCCACAUAUUUGUAGUGUUUAUAUAUGGUAAAUCAUUGCCUUAUCCGAUUCUUUUUCUUCUGAUAUGUUACAUUUAUGUGCGCUUACAGUACCUACAACCUACCUUUCUACCAGUGGGUUGUACUAGACAUAUGCCUAAAUAUCGUAGCUUGCAUAAAUAAUCAUGAUGAUGCUUGUUUUUCGCUAUUUAAGUAUCAUCAUCUCUAUAGCAUGCUAGUGUAACAUUCUUUGUUGAAUCAAAAUCCUAGAGAUCUAAGUAAUUUCCAACGAAUGAUCUGAGUCAUUUUAUAUGAUCUAUGUUUGAUAAAUGAAAUGCUGGAACUCCUACUUUUUGGAAUUAAAAUCUUUUGAAUUAACAUAUUGUAGCUUUAUCUCUUCCUCUAGCUCUUCACUAGCAAGGGUUGACAUAAGUUCAUACUCUUUGUCGAAGUACUGUGGAUUUUUCAUGCUUCUUAGUAGUAUAAUUCUGUCCUUGUAUUUAUACUCUAUUUUUGCUUUUGUGUCAAUUCAAGAAGCAUCACUAGCAUGAAUACUAGAUAGCUCAUGAGAAAUUAUUCUUUUUAUUCUUAUCAAAGGAGCUUAUGACACACUACCUAAAAAAACUUUUGUAUCCGAUUUAAGACUCAAAGUAAGAUAAAUAAAUGGACCAAUAAUUGUUCAUUGCCAUGUUGUACUGUACAAUGCAAUUUAAUUGUGUAGUGUUGCGUCUCCAACAGUAGCAUCACCCUAAAUCCACCUCUGCUGCUAUGCCUUUUGGAGCAGACAAAGCUUUCUCAUGGUCGACUCAUUGCAGAGGAUACAUGUGGAUAUGGGCUAACCUUUUGCUUUGAUUUCAGUUUGAUUGUUACUUCGAGCCAUUCUGCUUGCAGUUGAAUCUAUUUGAUUCCACAUGGUUUGGUAAUGGGUGCUUUAGGAUUCUAGUUUGUCUCUGAUUGAUAGAGAUGGUCUGCUAGCAACUGACUGAAUAAUCAACUACAACUUUAUUUUUAAUAGGAAAACUACAACACCAUGGUAUCAUAUUAUGUCAUGUGUUAAUUUUGCGAUGUGUAAAGUACAGUGUUAGGGCCUACUAUAAAUGUAAAAAUGGUUAGUUCAUUACUAUAAUUUCAAAGGGUUGUAGCCUUUUUGAGGGACAUAGGGCUAUAGUCAUGUAUUACCGACAUAUUGACUGACAUAGUGUUGUAAAGUUAUCUUCGGGGAUAGAUAGUACUGUAUGCCUUACAAUAUAUUGUGCACUAUAUCUCAAUGAUCUUACUAAAGGAGCAUAUACCCUACUACUUCAUAGCGAGCUUUGAUUCUUUCAAGAAAAUUACAUGAUAUAAUGGGACCAAUUAGCCUUUUCAGUUGUUGACCAAGCGAUGCUUGAAAGGCUGAAGCACAAGCAAACAUGAAGUUUACUUAAUUUUGAAUGCACAGUGUACCCAAGUUCGGUUGGACCAGCUUUGCCCCCGCAGUUAGUUAGCUGUUCAUCUUUGAGCUUGAAAGGUGAAUUUUGCUCAGUUUGGGAAUAACUUGAGCCACCUACCACUUUUGUCUCCCCAAGAAUGGUUUGUGAACCGAUAUGAGUCAGUGAUGUUGCAUUGUUAUUUUGGGUGUGAGCACCUACUGUGUGGUACCCAGUCACCAUUUCUGCUCAAACUGUGAGGCACUAACAUUGUUGUUUAUCUCUCUCAAUUCAGUUUCUGUUUUCAUCUCUUUGUUCUUCCCAUUUCUCCUUUUCUUAACUUGCUUGUGUCCGAGUUCAUUCUGGUCAUCUCCUUUGUUCCCUGGAUCUUGUUGAUAUUCUUUGUAGCAGUUCAUCAACAUCGCUACAAAAGGGGAACAUGUUGUCACAACUCCAGUUAGGAGGAAUAAUCCCCCAAAACUUUCAAAAGUGAUAGCGCCUGAACCAUCGAGUGUGCCAUCAUUUUCAUGGCUAUUUUGAUCUAUCCAUUUCUUUUCAAAUUGAAUGAUAGUAUCUCCCCCUGUUAUGUUGAGUAUCGCCCUUGACAUCUCAGCACAUAGUGGAGAAUUCUUGGGAAGCGCCUAAUUAGCAAAGAUAUAAUUGUUAUAAGAUGCGCAUGCUAACAUAUUAUGUCCCACUAACAACAUCGACUCAGUAAAAUCCUAAUUUUUUCUGCUAUAAUAUGCAGCUAAUAUGAUGGUUCUAUUAUUUAGCAGUACCAUACCCCUCAUCUAAUCAUGCCAAGAGUUGCUUAAAUAGCACAAAAUCCAAUAAACUCCGUUAGACUUAGUUUGUGAUUGUUGUGGAGCAUUAUGUACUUACUUUUAAAGUUGGUGUAAAAAGGUUGUGAAAAGUCUAUUGAUAUGUUUGGUAAAUCAAAUUAGAGUUAGAUGAAGUAUUAUCAAUAGUUGAUAUCCCACAUGAGAUCUCAUAUGUUUUGAAAUGCAAAUAUGCUAUUUGAUUUAGAAAAAGAGAGAUAGUCAAACACCUAGGUAUCCAAAAACAAACGAAUCGACGUAGAAUAUUUAUCAUAAUGCACGACAAUUCCAAAAAGAGCCUCAAUGUGAUGAGUUACAAAUAUUAGCUCAUGUUAAUGUUUCCUAUAGUAAACAUGUGGAUCUAUGUUGUUAUAUGUGAUUGUUUCACCAAGCGUCUUGUAUUUGUUGUUGUGUAUUAUAGCUAGAUGUAUUAAAAGGGGUAUUGUGUUUAUUUUGCUAUUUAUUUUCUUAUUUGUUGUUACCGAGUUGGUUGCAACAAUUCUUGUCGUAAAAUUUCAUCAUUCCAUUGGGACGCUAUUAGAUAAUCAUACUAUCUAUUUAUCUUUGAUUUUUGCAACAUAUAUUUAUAUAUUUACAAGUAUGAAUUUUAAACUGCAAUCUUGUGAUGAUAUGGUACUAGAAGAGAAUAGUGAGUUUAGUUAAACUUACAAAUGCAAAACCUGCACUCUUGUAAAUAGGCCCCACCAUUGUGUAACCUUUGUUGUACUUUGCGAGAAACAAUUUGAUGUAUGGGACGUCCAGUACAACCGCAACAAUGCUUCCAUUAGAAAGAGCACUAUAGAAAUCUUCAAGUGUUGCAUAGGCCCUGAGCUUAGAUGUAUCGAAACCAAUUUCCACUAGUAGACCCUCUAUAUAAGAACCUUGGUGGAACCCUACAUAUUCUCCAUUCUUUUGGAGUUCCUGAACAUCAUUCACUGUUGGUGAAAGCUUAUGUACCGUAAGCAUUGAUGCAAAGCUUGCUGUAUAACUUGCUGCAAGUACCAGAAGUACAACCAUCCAUACACGCAAAACAAUUCUAGGUAGAAAGCAUUCCAGCUUUUCCUCUGCAGAAAUAACAAUCAUUCUUUAUUAAGACACAACAGAAAUUUGAAAGCUGGAACAAUGCAAUGCACGACAUUUCAGGACUUGCUAGAAAGUAUGUGCAAAUUUCUUUAGAUGAUUAAUUCAAGUUAUGCCAUCAAUUUUUAACUAAUUCAAACAUCGGAUAAUGUCUACAAAUUUUCUCUGUAGUGAAGUGCAAUUAAGAAGAACAUGUGCAUUGCUGAAUUUCUUUUCAGAAAAUACAAACUUGGAUUAGUUCAUCCCCCCUAAUUCUUCAUAUUGUGUUUAUUGAGCAUUAUUAAGUAGAAAGAUCAAGUUUUUGUGUUGUUGAAUUCUUAAAAUAAAAUUAGGUACGAUAGAUUCCUAGAGAAGUUUAGUCAGCUCAAUAGCAAUCUUUCAAUGAUUACUCUUAUUUUGAUAUAGUGCAAAACAUGCUUUGUCUAUGCGACUAAAAUACUUUUUCGAAAUUCUACCAAGAUCUAAGAAACUGUAACAAUACUCAACUCUCUUCAAAAAUGGUGAAUAUUGUAGUCGCCAGUUGUUUGAGCGAAAAGGGACCAUGCACAUGUUCAUUGCCAUUUAGAUACUCCAGCAGCCAAACAACAACUCCUGUGUACAUAAAUAAUAUGAUGCUGCCAAUCCACAUCUCAGUGCUCAAUGGUUUCAAGAAAAGCCACACAUCCUUCAUGACGUUUUCCUUCACUGGAACAAUCAUCCCUACUCCGGAUUCUGUGUAUGGUACAGUGAAGUCGACAUAUAAUGAUCUGUUGUAUCUUAUAGUAAUAUCUGCAACCGCUAUAUCAUAUUCCUGUAAUGACACUAGUCAGACUUUUAUAUUUGAGAAAAAAGUGAAUAACUAUAUUUUAUGAUUGACUAAACAAUAUAAGCCCAGUUGUCAACAAAGAGAAUAUCUUAGCAAUACAGACUUUUGGUUUGCUUUGGGAAAGAAAACUAGAGUGAGCAUUUAUGGUUAGCCUCCUUUUUUUCUAUACUUGAAGUAAUUGUGGCGUGAAAGUAGAACAAAACACUGGAAUGAAAAUGCAGAACAAAUUCAAUACAUGGUAAAAUAUUUGAGCUACUAGAGUUAUUUCUUCACAAUGAAAUGUAUGCAACUUUAGUUUUUUCACACGACAAAUUGAGAAAUUUCCUUUUGUAAAGUAUUUCUUACCUGAAGAUAAACAUGAUAGACAAAAUCGUUGUAGCUCCCUGUAUCAGUUGUGUCGAAUUCUAGGUACUCAUAGGAAAGUGGAAAAGGUAACCUUUUUACCGCCUCCUCAAAUAUAUCAAUGGUAAGGCCGCUCACUAUUGUUGCAUUUUUGACAGGAUCUUUGUAUGUCUUUAUAAACUCCGGAAUUUUGCUUGAGCGCACACCAACUCUAAGCUUCUUGCCAACGGCAGGAAUUUCCCAGCCCAUUGGUAUUUUGGUUGACUCUCCGGGCCAAAUUACAGGAUUUAGAUCAUGCAUUGGCUGUUGUCCUGUUUUUUUGAAGCCAUCUUGCUUUAACUGUCGUGAAAGUCCACUUUUCACAGUCCAAAACCCAAUUUCUCUCCAACCUCUUCCAACAACAUUUAUUAUCUGAAAAACAUAAGCUUUAUGUUGUUUUUUGUAUGUAAGGUCAAACUCACCACUGAAACCUUUGAACUUAUUUUGUACAAUUGUCUUUAAGAGUUCACGACCCUUAGUGGAAAUAGUCAUGGAUUCCAAGCAUGUGGAGUUUUUAAUGGACAAUAGUGGAUUAUUUGUGGUAUUGGAUACUCCAACCUUUUCUGCUGCUCGUGCCAAUGCCCAUAUUGCAUCAUAGCCCCAUAGCCCAACAAUGCUUAGUUUAUUGGAGGGUGAUUCAUCUGGGUUAUCCUGCAAGUACAUUUUGUUCCACCUUUUGGAUAAGUUAUCAAGUUCUUGCGAUCUAGAAACAUGAUACCUUACUCCAAGCACACCACUCAUUGCCUCAAUGACUCUUGGAUUGAGUGUGUCCAUGAUGUUUGCCACUCCACUUGUGGUAAUCCACGCAAAUCCUUGGUUCAUCAUCCCUAGCUCUUUCGCCUUCAUAAAAAGAAGGGAAGUCAUAGUGGAUGACAUAUGAACAAUAAAUACCCUUGUUUGCAUUGCCAUCAACUCAUUGAGUUUUUUUAUAAUGGUCUCACUUGUUGCCAAUGAAGGGAUGACACUGCGAUAUGGAACACGAACAUCAAUUUUUUGAAGUGCAUCAGUGAGGUAUGGUACAAUGCCUCUCCCAUAGUCAGUGUCAUCAUAUACUGCCACCACUUCUCUCCAUCCAUAGGCUUGUAUGAGCGAGGCAAUGCUAUUCACCUGUGCCGAGUCAUCCGGUGUCGCUCGUACAAAAUAUGGCAUACUAUCACAAGUGAGAGAGGGGCUUGUUGCUGUGAAUGAUACUAUGGGGACUUGGGUUAUAUUUCCAAGUUUGGAUAUGAACACAACUUCUGAUGAUUUCUGGGGACCAAUGAUGGCUUGCACUUUGUAAUUCUCUAGCAAUUCAAUAGCUUUGGGGAGGGCAGAACAAAGAAAAUGAUGGUCAAAUAAUAUAUAUGGAAUAAUCUGUAGUACUCAACAACAUAAUCAACUAUUUCAAAAUUGGAAAAAGGUUACCAAAACUUAGUUUUGGACCUUCCAGUUUUAUGAGUCAAUAUUCUAAUUUAAAAGCUUGCCUCUAUACUCCCCAGACAUAGCACAUAGCCAAAUAAUGUCACAAGAAGCUGAUAUUUGACAACACAAACAUGUCCAAGGAAAUACAAAAUCUGAACUCUUAUUAGGAAACACAAUAGGGAAAGAGACCCUACUACUUUUCCACAUAUAUUAAAAAUAUAAGGGUAAUAGGGUAACACCCAACAACUUCUUACUCCCUCGGAUCCAAAAUUAGUGUCGCAGUGUUGAACCGGGGUUAGUUUAAAACUGCGACACCUAUUAUGGAUCAUAGGUAGUAUUUGUUUUCCUCAUACUUGGAUGACCUGUAUGGACUUGGUUAGUGUUUUAUCUAUAAAGUGGGGCGAAAGCCUAUUUUCUGAACAAAUAGUGUAACACCAUGGAGAGAUAUUUACUCCUUCCGCCCCAAAAUACAUUCCAUAUUCGUUAGUCAAACUUCAUAUAGUUUGAGAUGUCAUUCUUCAGUGUCCCCCUUGUGCUCUGUAGGGCAACUCAGGCGGUGAGUUAGCUAUAUCUAUAAAGCAGGGUGAACGCCUAUUCUCUAAACUUUAUAAAGUUUGACUAAGUUUAUAGGGAAAUUAUAUCGGCAUUCACAAUACCAAAUCAAUAUUAUUAGAUCUAUAGUGAAAUAUAUUGCCAUAUUGUAUUUAUUUUGUAUUGCAAAUGUUUAUAUAUUUUGAAUAUAAUUUUAGUCAAACUUAACAAAUUUUAGCUUAAGACAAAACCAAUAUGCAAUGCAUUUUCGAACAGAGGGAUUACAAGCAUAUUGUAUUCAAAAUGCAAGAUACAAGUCAAAAGUAUGAACCCGCCCACUCAGAAAUGCCAGAUCCAAGUUUCUGAGGUAUUCUAACUAUUAGCAAACUUAUACAAAAUGGCAUGAGUAAAAUGUACUCAUUUCGUUGCACUUUUUCUAUGAAAAUGCACCUUGCAUUUCGUUACAUAGGUAGAAAGAACUCAUGUAUGUUGUUACCUCUCAUCUCACAACUGGUUCUAGAUUGUUAUGGAUGUUGGUUGCUGUGUAUUUUGACUUUUCGAUUUCAAACCUCGAACUUAAAUUUGAUAUUACGAUAUUCUAUUGAUAGUACAAAAUUACAAUCAGAAGAAAAUGCAUUUAAAUAGAGAUCUAAAUUCCAAUUGCAUCUAGAUUAUAUAACAUAAUCCAUGUAUUAUUGCAUUAAUUGUUGGUUGGUGCAUGUCUUUGUACAUGACAAGUAUGCCAUACGUUUUCCAUCGAGGUACUAAUUUUCUAUUUCCUAUGGAAUUAUAUCAUUAACUUGUGGAGCUUUUUUUAGCCGAAACAGUAGAACAAUUGUUCUACGAUAUUUUCAUAUAUAAUAAAAGUAUAAAUACAAAGUCACAAGUAUAGAUUAACCAAUGCCCGCUCUAGGAAACAUAAAUAAACAUAAUUAUUCUGGUCCUAACAUGUGAGUAACCCAGGUCCUGAUCUUGUCUAUCUUCUUUGGUUUAGCUCUUAGUUCUGAUGCCCAUAAACCCUCUUUGAGGUAGAACUUCCAUGUAUUGAGAUGAGGUGGUGCAUAUAUGAAGAUUUUGUCAUUCCUGACCGACCAUAAUCCCCAGCAGCCCAUGAUGAUUAUGUCGAAAGCAAUCUCUGAUGGCAAGGUGUUCAUGGCUAGUGAGAUUUCAUCAUGAGAUGAAACCCCUCUUUGUUUAUCUGGAAGAAUUGGAUCCCAACAUGCCAUGGCAAAUGGACAGUCCCAGAAAAGAUGCAGGGAUGUUUCUUCAGUGUGGUGUGAGCAUAGAGCACAAUUGUAGUCUGGCAGGUACUUGUUUUUAGCGACACAUUAACAACCAAGAGGUUCUAGUUUUUUGCUUAUAAAUUGAGAGUGUGGAGAGCUUGAACAUGUUUUAAUUUCAAUUUUGAGGCCAUACUAUAAUAGGGGAUUGCUUGAUUGAGUCAGUUAGGAGAAAUUAAUAUGUCACUCAAGAAUGGGGUUUCAACUAGAAAUAAACCACCUUCUUAAUUAAAAAACACCUUUUCUGUAUUGUGGUUUUCAUACAUAUUGCAUCUAGUCUAAGAUCUCUCAACUGUUCCCAACUAAACGGGAAGCAUCGGAAACAUCAUAUUUUCCAAUUAAAAAGAGAUGAUGGCUCGGUAGUAAAUGAUGCUGGAUUCAAACAUAACAUCACCAACUAUUAUAAGGGUUUGUUUGGUUCGUCUAAGCACAACAAUAUUAUGAUGUCUAAAGCUUUUGGGGAAGAUAUCCCUCAACUUUUCGUGGCAGAAAAUAAAUUCCUAGUGCUCCUUGCAUGAAAAGUGGGGUUUGGGAUGCUGUCUCUUGGAUAGGACAUAAUAAAGCCCUUGGACCGGAUGAAUUGCCGGCCGAGUUUAGGUAUUUUGGGAGGCAAUCAAAGUUGACUGAUGGAUCCGUUCCAUGCAUUUCAUAGCAAUGACCUACCACUGUGUAAUCUCAACUUUGGGGUGAUUAAAUCGCUUUCAAAAUUUAAAGAGGCCAUGUGAAUUCAGAGGCUUAGUAGUUUGCUACUAACAUUUGGCAAAAUUAAAAGCUGCCAACAUUUGGCAACCUUUAUGAGAUUGACAAUGAAAAGUGGUACCAACCAAUCUCUAGCCAAAAUUUGGCAGAUGCCAAAAUCUGGUAUGUCAACUUUUGGCGUCAAACCAAGUAGGUACUCAACACUUCAGACACAUUUGCAUGCUAAACAUGAGGUUCAAAGUAUUCACUAAAAUGGCAACACAUAGAAUAUUAAUCAGGCUGUUGAUCACGUGGUUCGUCCAACUCAAAUGAUAUUCAUUAAGGGUAGAAACAUUCUUGAAGAAAUUCUAUUUCUUCCUGAGACUGCUCGCGAACUCCAUCAUAUACGAGAGGAGUGAUUUUUAAAAUUGAUUUGACAAGGAGUACCAUAAAUUUAAGUGACCUUUUCUUCUCCAGACCCUCUAGAUGAAAGGAUCUUCACCAUCUUGCUGCAAGUUGGUGAAAAGGUUUAUAUCCGAUGGAAGUGUUGGCACCGAUGUUGCAAUAAUUUAGAGCCAUAUUCCUAAUAAAAAGGACCUAUGUCAGGGGAGUCCUCUUUCCCUCUCUUUUUUAAUGUAGUUGACCCAGAGAGCCAAGUCAGCGGAUCUUAUUAAUGGGAUGGUGCUUCAUGUGGUGGAUGGCGGAUUAUCUUUCUAUAAUACACGGAUGAUGCCAUCGUAUUUAUGGGUCUUGACAUCCUAAAGGCAAUGAAAGAUAACCCUAAAACUAGCUUGGUACAUUUGAGCAAUUAUCUGGUUUAGAUACUAUUUUCAUAAAAGUAAGAUAUUCUACUUCAACGAGCCGCAUGAAGCAGCUGAUCAGUACACUAGAAUGAGCGUCUAGAAAUGACUAGUAGUUGGAUAGUCAAGCAAUUUAUCUUUAGGGGAUAGGCUAGUCCUGAUCAAUUAGAUUCUUAGGCAAAUGUACAUGUACUAGAGACUAACGCGCGCUUCGCCGCGCCGUUCUUCACUCGUGAAAUUAACCUUUUUAUAUUUAUAGAUUAUUGUGAUCACUUGUUUUGUUUUGAUUUUUUCUGUGUUGGCUUUGUGUUUUAGUUUUCUAUUGGUGGUGUUGUUUUGUUCGUAUAUCGUGUUGGGUUGGUGUUGGAGUAUUUUUUCAAAAGAAGGGAGAAGUUAUUUGAGCAUAUUUGUGAAAUCUUUACACAUUUUGGCCUUGGUGUCAGCCCGUUGGUGAUUGUUUGAGCAUCUUGGGAGAUCUUAUUUCAUGUUAAACCCAUGGAAUUGCUACAGUCACACUCACAUGGGCCAGUACACGAAGUUCUUGCUCGCUCCGCUUGGCUUCCUGCACCUUUCGCUCGUUUAAUUUUUUUCCCUCACCCCACUGCUAGCUCAGAAAAAAUCGCCUAUCUUUUUUUAUUUAAAAAGGUUAGUUAAAUUAAAUGAUGUUUAAAGAACUUUAAAAAUAUUAUACUUUAAAAAACCAUGAAUUUUAGAAACAUUCAUGAAUUUAAAAUAUAUUCAUGACUUAAAAAAUGCUCGCAAAAUAAAAAGUUUUCAAAUUUAAAAAAUGUUCACAAACUUUAAAUGACCAUGACUCUAAAAAUAUCCACACAAAUUUAAUCAAUAUUAAUGAAUUUGAAUAUUUUAAAAAUAUUUUUAUGUUUUUUCAAGUAGAUAAGUUUUAAUAAGUGCUCAUGAAUUAAAACAUGAAGAAAAACUAAAAAAGAGAAGAAGAAAUAAAACUAAAUAACACACACUUAUGCGUGGGGCCUUAGUGACCCCACAACCCUUGAAGCACCAGAACGCUUCAAUUUAAGGGAGCUUAGUAUCUCUAUAGAUACGAUCUCUUUCUUAGGCCAAUUUUUAUAUCUACGAAGUACGGAGUAGUAGCAAAUAAAAUCCUUUGAUAUUUCUGAAUCCUGACAACGUGACAUACUGCCUAGUGCAUGCACACAUACAUACCUGCUGAUGCGGCCUUGAUGUCACUGCCCAUGGAGUCCCUAAUGUGGAGAACAAGCUUGGUGCUGUAGUUCCGGUGGGCCGCGUAGAAGUCUUGAACGGCCAGCAAAACGCUGGCUCGCGCCACCUUUCCUACCGGCGAUCCCAGGUCGAGGAUCACCCCGACAUGGAAUCCAUCUGCUUUGCCGGUGGUGUUCUGGGCAAUGCCGAAAUCGACAGCGAGUAACAGGAAGAGGACGAUGGCUCCGCUUGCUCUCUCCAUCACACUUUUCUUGUGCUGAGAUGCACUAAUUGCACCCUCUUAUAUAUAGGAGUAUGCAUCAAGGAUGACGCUGGUGGUCAAACUGGGAGUAGCGACUGACUGGAGUGAAUUGCAGAAAACCACCACAUUUGGGAUUAGCUUUGCGAAAAACUACCUAGUUCCUAAUUAUUUGCAAAACGCACCGCAGAUUUAGUAAACUUGUUGCAAAUAGCACUGAUGAGGUGAUCUGGCCCCUUUGAUCACUUUCUGACAAGUGGGGUCAGAUUGUAAGAAGCUGACUUGGCAAAGUUUUGACAUACAGACCCCUGGAUCUAAAAAGAAAAAGCAAUCAGAGCCCCCUGCUUCGACCCCGUCUGGAUCGGGAGAGUCAGAACCCCCGAGCUACCCACCCCCUGCGCCACUCCGACGACCUCGUCGCCGGCGACCACCGCUGCCCUGUCUACCAUCUCCUUCCUCCUACCUUUUCUUUUCUUCUCCACCGCUGCCUCGUCUACCAUCGGCGACGGCCGGAAAGGCGAGAGGGUAAGGCCGCGUUGGCCGGGAUUGACGACGCGGGUUGCCAUGGCUGUGGAUCUCGCCGUCGCGCGCACGGACCCGUGACGCGCGCAGAGAGAGGAGAGGAGGAGGCGUUCCCCGGCGAGGCCGACCUCCUCGGCGCAGACGGCCGCGCAGUGGAGGAGGUCCCUGCGAAGAGCUCCUCGACAAUACCGGUCAGGUCGGGCCCGUGCGCCGCCGCGUGGUUGGAGCUGGGCGGUUGGUCGGCCAUGGCCUCGGCCGUGCUUGGAGAGCAGCAGGGGAUACAGGUCGCCACGGAUUCCGAUGCCGUCGACAUGGCCGUGGUUGCCAGCGGCUGGGCUAGGUAGGGGCGACGUGCGGGUCAUCCCAGAGGAGAAGGAAAGAAAAAUGGGAGGAGGAUGGCGGGGCAGCGGUGGUCGCCGGCGUGCUUGUCGGUUGCGGCGAGGUCGCCGGCGUGCUUGUCGGCUGCGACGAGGUCGCCGGCCCUCCGCCCAGCGCGUCGCUCCAGCGUCGCCGGCCAAGCAGCGCGGCGGAGGCCAUGAACCCGACGCCGAGCGCGCCUCUGCCUGAGGGGUGGGGGCUGAUUGCUUUUCUGUUUUAGAUCAAGGGGUGUGGGUGUAAAUUUUUUGCUCUUACAAUCUGCACUUGUCAGAAAGUGAUCAAACGGUCCAGAUCACCUCAUCAGUGCUAUUUGCAACAAGUUUACCGAGUCCGCGAUGCGUUUUGCAAAUAAUUAGGGACUAGGUAGUUUUCCGCAAAGCUAACCCCAAAUGUGAUGGUUUUCUGUAAUUCACUCGACUGGCUGAUUUGUGACAGGUUAGUUGUUUAACCUUGGUCACUGGACUUUGGGGUGUGUUCUAUUCGCGGCCAAACUACGGGAAAUUCAAGCGGAGUUGCCUCUGGAUAAAUGAAUUCUCGCAUGCAUGAGACGACAAGAGGGAUCAAAGAUACACGGUACGAAUCGGUCCAUGGUACCUGUGCGCACACGUUCAACGCGGAUUGACUUUGAUCCUUAAUUUGUCUGCGCAUACGAGUGAUCUUUUUAAAUCUGUGCAAUCACUAUAAAAGUCGUCAAUCAAGAAUUAUAAGUUCCUAAACACCAUCAGAGGUGGGCGACGAUUGGGAGGAACCGAUACACCAUGAUGCCAUGAAUCACUUAAAAAAUAAACGUAUCCGUUCCGUUGCAAAGAACCUUGAACCUGACCUCGCGGGGGUAGAUGUGUGUGAUGUGAAUGGUGUUGGUCGUCCCGUCUACCUUUACACACAUAGGACAUGAUGUUUGGUGAGGCAGACCCGGUGCACAAUUCUAUCCAAUGUCCAGCACAGGUUCUGGAGGGCCAUGUGAACAGCUUGAAUUUGAGAGGGGCCCACAGAUUCCACGCCAACAUGUGCCACUUGCGAGCAAGACCAUGCCAUUGAAGACCGGGCGAUAGCCUAUCACGCAGGAGUGCAACUGAUGUCCUAUAAGUGCACAUGGUUGAGUUGUAGCCUUUUCGAUGUAAAAGCAUCGAUUCAAGAGAGAGCUUUAGAAAAUGAUAAUUAACUCGUAUAGAGGUUUAUCAGAAUGUAGCUAUAAGCUAAUUGCGAUCCAAAGCAAAAACAAUGACGAGGUGAAAAUACUGCAAGAGCGCGUUGCUGGGAACCGUAGCGUGCAAUUUAAAAAAAAUUCCUACGUCCAAGCAAGAUCUAUCUAGGAGAUGCAUAGCAACGAGAAUGGGAUAGUGUGUCCACAUACCCUCGUAGACCGAAAGCGGAAGCGUUUGAUAACGCGGUUGAUGUAGUCGAACUUCUUCUAGAUCAAACGGAUCAAGUACCGAACGUACGACACCUCCGAGUUCUGCACACAUUCAGCUUGAUGACGUCCCUCGAACUCUUGAUCCAGCAAAGUGUCGAGGGAGGGUUCCGUCAGCACGACGACAUGGUGACGGUAAUGAUGAAAUGAUCCAUGCAGGGCUUCGCCUAAGCACUACGAAGAUAUGACCGGAGGCGUAAACUGUGGAGGGGGACGCCGCACAUGGCUAACAAUUGUUGGUGUGUGUUCUAGCAGUGGUCCCCCAUCAUAUAUACAGGUUGGAGGGGAGGAAAGGCAGCCAAGGGGGCGCCCCAAGUAGGAGGAAUCCUACUUGGGCACCUCCCAAUUCCCUCCCCCCUUUCCUAUACCUAUUCGGAGUAGGAAGAGAAGAGGGGGAAGGGGGAAUCCUAUUCAUUUUUCCUUUCAUGCUUCCCCUUUCCUUCUCCAAUUUGGCCAGCCCAUAUUGAAGGGGGGGGGGGGCACCAGCCUCUUUGUGGCUGGUGUGUUUCCUCGGUAUUGUUGGAUGAAGCGGCCCGGACCAACCUUAUAUGACCACGUUCAUGAGACCGGUUCCACCGACAGACAUGCAACUAGUUUUGCAUAAAGGUGGCUGGCGGGUGUGUGUUUCUCCAACUCUAGUUGAAUCAAAUUUGACCGCGGCCGGUCCUUGUGAAGGUUAAAACAACAAACUUGAUAAAUCACCGUUGUGGUUUUUGUGUCGUAGGUAAGAACGGUUCUUACUAGAAGCCCGUAGCAGCCACGUAAAACUUGCAACAACAAAGUAGAGGACGUCUAACUUGUUUUUGCAGGGCAUGUUGUGAUAUACGUUAUUGUAUGAGAUGAUCAUGUUUUGUAAAAGUUAUCGGCAGCUGGAAGAAGCCUUAUGGCUGUCGCUUUAUUGUAUGAAAUACAACCGCCAUAUAAUUGCUUUACUUUACCAAUACGCGGUAAUGAUAGUCGUAGAAGCAAUAGUUGGCAAGACGAUGACGCUACGAUGGAGAUCGAGGUGUCAAGCCGGUGACGAUGGAGAUCAUGAUGUUGCUUUGGUGAUGAAGAUCAAAAGCACAAGAUGAUGAUGGCCAUAUCAUGUCACAUAUUUUGAUUGCAUGUGAUGUUUAUCUUUUUGCAUCUUAUUUUGCUUAGUACGGCGGUAGCAUUAUAAGAUGACCCCUUAACUAAAUUUCAAGGUAUAAGUGUUCUCCCCGAGUAUGCACCGUUGUGAAAGUUUUUUGUGGUGAGACACCACGUGAUGAUCGAGUGUGAUAAGCUCUACGUUUAAAUACAGCGGGUGCAAGUCAAUUUUGCACAUGCGGAAUACCCGGGUUAAACUUGACGAGCCUAGCAUGUACAAACAUGGCCACAGAACACUGGAGACCGAAAGGUCGAACGUGAAUCAUAUAGUGGAUAUGAUCAACAUAGAGAUGUUCACCAUUGAUGACUACUCCAUCUCACGUGAUGAUCGGACAUGGUUUAGUUGAUUUGGAUCACGUAUCAUUUAGAUGACUUGAGGGAUGUCUAUCUAAGUGGAAGUUCUUAAGUAAUAUGAUUAAUUGAACUUAAUUUAUCAUGAACUUAGUCCUGAUAGCUUUUGCAUAUCUAUGUUGUAGAUCAAUGGCCCGUGCUAUGUUCCCUUGAAUUUUAAUGCAUUCCUAGAGAAAGGUAAGUUGAAAGAUGAUGGUAGCAACUACACAGACUGGGUGCAUAACUUGAGGAUUAUCCUCAUUGUUGCACAAAAGAAUUAUGUCCUUGAUGCACCACUAGGUGUACCACCCGCCCCAACAACUGCAGACAUUGUGAAUGCCUGGCAGUCGCGUGUUGAUGACUACUCGUUAGUUCAAUGUGUCAUGCUUUACGGCUUAGAAUCGAGACUUCAAAGACAUUUUGAACGUCAUGGACCAUAUGAGAUGUUUCAGAAGUUGAAGUUAAUAUUUCAAUCAAAUGCCCGAGUUGAGAGAUAUGAAGUCUCCAACAAGUUCUAUAGCUGCAAAAUGGAGGAGAACGAGUUCUGUUAGUGAGCACAUACUCAGAAUGUCUGGGUACCAUAAUCGCUUGACUCAGCUAGGAGUUAAUCUUCCAGAUGAUUGUGUCAUUGCCAAAGUUCUUCAAUCACUGCCACCAAGCUACAAAGGCUUCGUGAUGAACUACAAUAUGCAAGGGAUGGAAAAGACUAUUCCCGAGCUCUUCGCAAUGCCAAAGGCUACGGACGUAGAAAUCAAGGAGCAUCAAGUGUUGAUGGUUAACAAGACCACUAGUUUCAAGAAGAAGGGCAAGGGUAAGAAGGGGAACUUCAGAAAUAAUGGCAAGCAAGUUGUCACUCCCGAGAAGAAACCCAAAACCGGACCCAGGCUUGAAACUGAGUGCUUCUACUGCAAAGGGACUGGUCACUGGAAGCGGAACUGCCCCAAGUAUUUGGCGGAUAAGAAGGAUGACAAAGUGAACGAAGGUAUAUUUGAUAUACAUGUUAUUGAUGUGUACCUUACAAAUUCUCGUAGUAGUGCCCGGGUAUUUGAUACCGGUUCGGUUACUCAUAUUUGUAACUCGAAACAGGAACUACGGAUUAAACAAAGAUUGGCUAUGGAUGAGGUGACAAUGCACAUCGGGAAUGGUUCCAAGGUCGAUGUGAUCUCCGUCGGCACGCUAACUCUACAUACCUUCGGGAUUAGUUUUAGACCUGAAUAAUUGUUAUUUGGUGCCAGCGUUGAGCAUGAACAUUAUAUCUGAACUUGUUUACUGCGAGACGGUUAUUCAUUUAAGUCAAAGAAUAGUGCUUGUUCUAUUUAUAUGAAUAAUAUCUUUUAUGGUCAUACACCCUUGAAGAGUGGUCUAUUUCUGUUGAAUCUCGAUCGUGGUGAUAACAUAUUCAUAAUAUUGACAAAAGAUGCAAAGUUGAUAGUGAUAGUGCAACUUAUUUGUGGCACUGCCGUUUGGGUCAUAUCGGUGUAAAGCGCAUGAAGAAACUCCAUGCAGAUGGACUUUUGGAAUCACUUGAUUAUGAAUCAUUUGAUAAUUGCGAACCGUGCCUUAUGGGCAAGAUGACUAAAACUUCGUUCUCUGGAACAAUGGAACGAACUAAUGACUUAUUGGAAAUAAUACAUACCGAUGUAUGUGGUCCGGUGAGUGUUGAGGCUCGUGGCGGGUAUCGUUAUUUCUGACCUUCACAGAUGAUUUAAGAAGAUAUGGGUAUAUCUACUUAAUGAAACACAAGUCUGAAACAUUUGAAAAGUUCAAAGAAUUUCAGAGUGAAGUGGAGAAUCAUCAUAACAAGAAAAUAAAUUUUCUAUGAUCUGAUCGUGGAGGUGAAUAUUUGAGUUACGAGUUUGGCCUUCAUUUAAAACAAUGUGGAAUAGUUUCACAACUCACGCCACCGGGAACACCACAUCGUAAUGGUGUGUCUGAACAUCAUAACUGCACUUUAUUAGAUAUGGUGCGAUCUAUGAUGUCUCUUACCGAUUGACCACUAUUGUUUUGGGGUUAUGCAUUAGAGACAACUGCAUUCAUGUUAAACAUGUCAUUGUCAAAAUCCGUUGAGACGACACCGUAUGAACUGUGGUUUGGCAACAAACCUAAGCUGUCAUUUCUUAAAGUUUGGGGAUGCGAUGCUUAUGUCAAAAGGCUUGAGCCUGAUAAGCUCGAACCCAAAUCGGAGAAGUGCGUCUUCAUAGGAUACCCUAAGGAAACAAUUGGUACACCUUCUACCACAGAUCUGAAGGCAAGAUCUUUGUUGCCAAGAAUGGAACCUUUCUAGAGAAGGAGUUUCUCUCGAAAGAAGUGAGUGGGAGGAAAGUAGAACUUGAUGAGGUAAUUGUACCUUCUCUCAAUUUGGAAAGUAGCGCAUCCGAGAAAUCCGUUCCCGUGAUGCCUACACCAACUGGAGAAUAAGCUAAUGAUAAUGAUCAUGAAACUUCAGAUCAAGUUGCUAUAGAACCUCGUAGGUCAAGCAGAGCACGGUCCGCACCUGAGUGGUAUGGUAAUCCUGUUCUGGAAGUAAUGUUACUUGACCAUGAAGAACCUACGAACUAUGAAGAAGCUAUGAUGAGCCUAGAUUCAGAUAACUGGCUUGAGGCCAUGAAAUCUGAGAUAGGAUUCGUGUAUGAGAACAAAGUGUGGACUUUGGUGGAUUUGCCCGAUGACCGGCAACCCAUAGAGACUAAAUGGAUCUUCAAGAAGAAGACUGACGCUGAUGGUAAUGUUACUGUCUAUAGAGCUCGACUUGUCGCAAAAGGUUUUCGACAAGUUCAAGGAGUUGACUACGAUGAGACUUUCUCACUCGUAGCGAUGCUUAAGUCUGUCCGAAUCAUGUUAGCAAUUGCCGCAUUUUAUGAUUAUGAAAUCUGGCAAAUGGAUGUCAAAAUUGCAUUCCUUAAUGGAUUUCUUAAAGAAGGGUUGUAUAUGAUGCUACCAGAAGGUUUUGUCGAUCCUAAAUGUUCUAACAAAGUGUGCAAGCUCCAGCGAUCCAUUUAUGGACUGGUGCAAGCAUCUCGGAGUUGGAAUAUCUGCUUUGAUGAGGUGAUCAAAGCAUAUGGUUUUAUACAGACUUUUGGAGAAGCCUGUAUUUACAAGAAAGUGAGUGGGAGCUCUAUAGCAUUUCUAAUAUUAUAUGUGGAAGACAUAUUGUUGAUUGGCAAUGAUGUAGAAUUUCUGGAUAGCAUAAAAGGAUACUUGAAUAAAAGUUUUUCUAUGAAAGACCUAGGUGAAGCUGCUUAUAUAUUGGGCAUCAAGAUCUAUAGAGAUAGAUCAAGACGCUUGAUAGGACUUUCAUAAAGCACCUACCUUGAUGAAGUUUAUGAAAAAGUUCAAAAUGGACCAGUCAAACAAAGGGUUCUUGCCUGUGUUACUAGGUGCGAAGUUGAGUCAGACUCAAUGUCCGACCAUUGCAGAAGAUAGAGAGAAAAUGAAAGAGAUUCCCUAUGCCUCAGCCAUAGGUUCUAUCAUGUAUGCUAUGCUGUGUACCAAACUUGAUGUGUGCCUUGCUAUAAUUUUAGCAGGGAGGUACCAAAGUAAUCUAGGAGUGGAUCACUGGGCAACAGUCAAGAACAUCCUGGAGUACCUGAAAAGGACUAGGGAUAUGUUUCUCGUUUAUGGAGGUGACAAAGAGCUUGUCGUAAGUGGUUAUGUCGAUGUUAGAUUUGACACUGAUCCGGAUGACUCUAAGUCACAAUCCGGAUACGUAUUUUUAUUGAAUGGUGGAGCUGUCAGUUGGUGCAGUUCCAAGCAGAGCGUCGUGGUGGGAUCUACGUGUGAAGCGGAGUACAUAGCUGCUUCGGAAGCAACAAAUGAAGGAGUCUGGAUGAAGGAGUUCAUAUCCGAUCUAGGUGUAAUACCUAGUACAUCGGGUCCAAUGAAAAUAUUUUGUGACAAUACUGGAGCAAUAGCCUUGGCGAAGGAAUCCAGAUUUCACAAAAGGACCAUACACAUCAAGAGACGCUCCAACUCCAUCUGAGAUUUGGUCAAGGAGGGAGACAUAGAGAUUUGCAAAAUACAUACAGGUCUGAAUGUGGCAGACCCAUUGACUAAGCCUCUUCCACGAGCAAAACAUGAUCAAUACCAAGACUCCAUGGGUGUUAGAUUCAUUACAAUGUAAUAUAGAUUAUUGACUCUAGUGCAAGAGGGAGACUGAAGGAAAUAUGCCCUAGAGGCAAUAAUAAAUUUGUUAUUUUAUAUUUCCUUAUUCAUGAUAAAUGUUUAUUAUUCAUGCUAGAAUUGUAUUAACUGGAAACUUGAUACAUGUGUGAAUACAUACACAAAACACCAUGUCCCUAGUAUGCAUCUACUUGACUAGCUCAUUGAUCAAAGAUGAUUAAGUUUCCUAGCCAUGGACAUGUGUUGUCAUUUGAUGAACGGGAUCACAUCACUAGUAGAAUGAUGUGAUGGACAAGACCCUUCUGUUAGCUUAGCAUAAUGAUCAUUCAGUUUUAUUGCUACUGCUUUCUUCAUGUCAACUAUAUAUUCCUCCGACUAUGAGAUUAUGCAACUCCCGGACACCGGAGGAAUGCCUUGAGUGCUGUAAAAUGUCACAACGUAACUGGGUGAUUAUAAAGAUGAUCUACAGGUAUCUCCGAAGGUGUUUGUUGGGUUGGCAUAGAUCGAGAUUAGGAUUAGUCACUCCGAGUAUCGGAGAGGUAUCUCUAGGCCCUCUCAGUAAUGCACAUCAUAUGAAGCCUUGCAAGCAAUGUGACUAAUGAGUUAGUUACAGGAUGAUGCAUUACAGAAUGAGUAAAGAGACUUACAGGUAACGAGAUUGAACUAGGUAUGAAGAUACCGAUGAUCAAAUCUCGGGCAAGUAACACACCGAUGACGAAGGGAAUAACGUAUGUUGACAUUGCGGUUCGACCAAUAAAGAUCUUUGUAGAAAAUGUGUGAACCAAUAUGAGCAUUUAGGUUCCAUAAUUGGUUAUUUACGGGAGAGGUGUCUCGGUCAUGUCUACAUAGUACUCGAACUUGUAGGGUCCGCAUGCUUAACGUUCGAUGAGAUAUGUAUUAUAUGAGUUAUGUGUUUUGGUGACCGAAGGUUGCUCAGAGUCCCGGAUGAGAUCACAGACAUGACGAGGAGUCUCAAAAUGGUUGAGAGGUAAAGAUUGAUAUAUUGUAAGGUAGUAUUCACACACCCGAAGGGUUCCGGAAUGUGUCGGGUACAUAUCGGAGUACCGGAGCGGUUAGUGGAACCCCCCGGGGAAAGAUAUGGGCCAUAUGGGCCAUAGGAGGGAGGCAAACCAGCCGACAUAGGUGUGCCGUGCCCCCCCCCCCCAAGUGAGGAGUCUGAAUUGGACUAGGGGAGGAGGCUGCGCCCCCCUUUCCUUCUCCUUCUCCCACUCCUUCCCCCUUUCCCCCUCCGAUAAAAGGAAGGGGGGCUGAAUCCUACUAGGAGCCCAAGUGGGACUCCUCCCACUUGGGGCGCGCCUAGGGCCGGCCUCUCUCCCUCCCUCCUUUAUAUAUGGGGGGGGGGACUAGAGGACACAUAAUUGUUUCUAGCCGUGCCUCUCGACCAUUUCAUGACUCAUCGUCAUGUCCGUGAUCUCAUCCGGGACUCCGAACAACAUUGGGUCACCAAAUCACAUAACUCAUAUAAUACAAAAUCGUCAUCGAACGUUAAGCGUGCGGACCCUACGGGUUCGAGAACUAUGUAGGCAUGACCGAGACACCUCUCCAGUCAAUAAACAAUAGCGGAACCUGUAUGCUCAUAUUGGCUCCCACAUGUUCUAUGAAGAUCUUUAUGUCAAACCAUUAUGACAACAUAUGUUAUUCCCUUUGUCAUCGAUAUGUUACUUGCCCGAGAUUUGAUUGUUGGUAUCUUCGUACCUAGUUCAAUCUCGUUACCGGCAAGUCUCUUUACUCGUUCCGUAAUACAUCAUCCUGCAACUAACUCAUUAGUCACUUUGCUUGCAAGGCUUCUUAUGAUGUGCAUUACCGAGAGGGCCCAGAGAUAUCUCUCCGAUACUCGGAGUGACAAAUCCUAAUGUCGAUCUAUGCCAACCCAACAAACACCUUCGGAGAUACCUGUAGAGCAUCUUUAUAAUCACCCAGUUACAUUGUGACGCUUGAUAGCACACAAGGCAUUCCUCUAGUAUUCGAGAGUUGCAUAAUCUCAUAGUCAAAGUAAUAUGUAUAUGACAUGAAGAAAGGUAUAGCAAUAAAACUGAACGAUCAUUAUGCUAAGCUAACAUAUGGGUCUUGUCCAUCACAUCAUUCUCCUAAUGAUGUGAUCCCGUUCAUCAUAUGACAACACAUAUCCAUGGUUAGGAAACUUAACCAUCUUUGAUUAACGAGCUAGUCUACUAGAGGCUUACUAGGGACACAGUGUUUUGUCUAUGUAUCCACAUAUGUAUCAAGUUUCCGAUUAAUACAAUUCUAGCAUGAAUAAUAAACAUUUAUCAUGAUAUAAGGAAAUAUAAAAUAACAAUUUUAUUAUUGCCUCUAGGGCAUAUUUCCUUUAGUCUCCCACUUGCACUAGAAUUAAUAAUCUAGUUCACAUCGCCAUGUGAUUUAACACCAAUAGUUCACAUCACCAUGUGAUUAACGCCUAUAGUUCACAUCGCCAUGUGACCAACACCCAAAGGGUACUAAGGAGUGAUCAUGUUUUUCUUGUGAGAGAAGUUUAGUUAACAGGCCUGUCACAUUCAGAUCCAUAUGUAUUUUGCAAAUUUCUAUGUCUACAAUGCUCUACGUGGAGCUACUCUAGAUAAUUGCUCCCACUUUCAAUAUGUAUCCAGAUUGAGACUCAGAGUCAUCCAGAUCGGUGUUAAAGCUUGCAUCGACGUAACUCUUUAUGAUGAACUCUUUAUCACCUCCAUAACCGAGAAAUAUUUCCUUAGUCCUCUAAGGAUAAUUUUGACCACUGUCCAGUGAUCUACUCCUGGAUCACUACUACACCCUUUGCCAAACUCAUGGCAAGGUACACAAUAGGUCUGGUAUACAGCAUGUCAUACUUUAUAGAACCUAUGGCUGAGGCAUAGAUAAUGACUUUAAUUCUCUCUCUAUCUUCUGCCCUGGUCAGAUUUUGAGUAUAACUCAACUUCAUACCUUACAACUCAGGCAAGAAAUCCUUCUUUGACUGAUCCAUUUUGAACUCCUUCAAAAUCUUAUCAAGGUAUGUACUCAUCGAAAGUCUUAUCAAGCAUCUUGGUAUAUCUUUAUAGAUCUUGAUGCCCAAUAUGUAAGUAGCUUCACCGAGGUAUUUCUUUGAAAAACUUCUUUCAAACACUCCUUUAUGCUUUCCAGAAAAUUCUGCAUCAUUUCUGAUCAAUAAUAUGUCAUUCACAUAUACUUAUCAGAAAGGCUGUAGUGCUCCCACUGACUCUUUUUGUAAAUAUAGGCUUCACCGCAAGUUUGUAUAAAACUAUAUGCUUUGAUCAACUUAUCAAAGCGUAUAUUCCAACUCCGAGAUGCUUGCACCAGUCCAUAGAUGGAUUGCUGGAGCUUGCACACUUUGUUAGCACCUUUAGGAUUGAGAAAACCUUCUGGUUGCAUCAUAUACAACUCUUCUUUAAUAAAUCCAUUAAGGAAUGCAGUUUUGACAUCCAUUUGCCAGAUUCCAUAAAAUGUGGCAAUUGCUAACAUGAUUCAGGCAGACUUUAAGCAUCGAUACGAGUGAGAAAAUCUCAUCGUAGUUAACACCUUGAACUUGUCAAAAACCUUUUGCGACAAUUCGAGCUUUGUAGAUAGUAGCACUACCAUCAGCGUCCAUCUUCCUCUUGAAGAUCCAUUAAUUCUCAAUGGUUUGACGAUCAUUGGGCAAGUCCACCAAAGUCCACACUUUGUUCUUAUAUAUGGAUCCUAUCUCAGAUUUCAUGGCCUCAAGCCAUUUAUCGGAAUCUGGGCCCAUCAUCGCUUCCUCAUAGUUCGUAGGUUUGUGAUGGUCUAGUAACAGGACUUCCAGGAUAGGAUUACAGUACCACUCUGGAGCUGCAUUGCUGCUUGAUCGGUGGGGAGGAAGGUCUCAAAGUAUGGGGCAAAGGAUCAAGCGCUUUGACUUUGCUUUGUCCCCCGGGAUCCACCACAGGUUGGGUUUGAGAGCCGGGAUAUACAUCCCAUAUACUGGAUCAACUAAAGACUCUGGGAUUCCAUCAAGCCACUACUACAUCGAUUUUGUUAGGAAUCGAGGAUCUUUUAACAAUAGCCUCUAUUGCGGAACGUGCUCUGGUUGACCUACGAGGUUUGGUAGUAACUCGAUCUAAAGUUUCAUGAUCAUCAUCAUUAGCUUCCUCUCUAGUUGGUGUAGGCAUCACGGGAACAGAUUUCACUGAUGUGCUACUUUCCAAAUCGAGAGAAGGUACAAUUACCUAUCAAGUUAUACUUUCCUUCCACUCACUUCUUUCAAGAGAAACUCCUUCUCUAGAAAGGAUCCAUUCUUAGCAACAAAGAUCUUGCCUUCGGAUCUGUGAUAGAAGGUGUACCCAACAGUUUAUUUUGGAUAUCCAAUGAAGAUGCACUUCUCCGAUUUUGGUUCGAGCUUAUCAGGUUGAGGCUUUUUCACAUAAGCAUCGCAACCCCAAACUUUAAGAAACGACAGCUUAGGUUUCUUGCCAAAACACAGUUCAUACGGUGUCAUCUCAAUGGAUUUAAACAGUGCCCUUUUUAAAGUGAAUGCAGCUGUCUCUAAUGCAUAACCCCAAAAUGAUAGUGGUAAAUUGGUAAGAGACAUCAUAGAUCGCACCAUAUCUAAUAAAGUACGGUCACGACAUUCAGACACACCAUUACGCCAUGGUGUUCAAGGUGGCGUGAGUUGUGAAACUAUUCCAUAUUGUUUUAAAUGAAGGCCAAACUCGUAACUCAAAUAUUCACCUCCACGAUCAGAUCAUAGAAAAUUUAUUUUCUUGUUAUGAUGAUUCUCCACUUCACUCUGAAAUUCUUUGAACUUUUCAAAUGUUUCAGACUUGUGUUUCAUUAAGUAGAUAUACCCAUAUCUUCUUAAAUCAUCUGUGAAGGUCAGAAAUAAUGAUACCCGCCACGAGCCUCAACACUCACCGGACCACAUACAUCGGUAUGUAUUAUUUCCAAUAAGUCAUUAGUUCGUUCCAUUGUUCCAGAGAACGAAGUUUUAGUCAUCUUGCCCAUAAGGCACGGUUCGCAAUUAUCAAAUGAUUCAUAAUCAAGUGAUUCCAAAAGUUCAUCUACAUGGAGUUUCUUCAUGUGCUUUACACCGAUAUGACCCAAACGGCAGUGCCACAAAUAAGUUGCACUAUCACUAUCAACUUUGCAUCUUUUGGCAUCAAUAUUAUGAAUAUGUGUAUCACCACGAUCGAGAUUCAAUAAACCAUUUACAUUGGGUGUAUGACCAUAGAAGGUUUUAUUCAUGUAAAUAGAUCAAUAAUUAUUCUCUGACUUAAAUGAAUAACCGUAUCGCAAUAAACAAGAUCUAAUCAUAUUCAUGCUCAACGCAAACACCAAAUAACAUUUAUUUAGGUCCAACACUAAUCCCGAAGGUAGAGGGAGUGUGUGAUGGUGAUCUUAUCAACCUUGGAAUCACUUCCAACACACAUCAUCACCUUGCCCUUAACUAGUCUUUGUUCAUUUUGCAACUCCUGUUUCGAGUUACUAAUCUUAGCAACCAAAGCGGUAUCAAAUACCCUGGGGUUAAUAUGAACACUAGUAAAGUACACAUUAAUAACAUGUACAUCAAAUAUACCUUUGUUCACUUUGCCAUCCUUCUUAUUCGCCAAGUAUUUGGGGUAGUUUUGCUUCUGGUGACCAUUCCCUUUGCAGUAGAAGCACUCAGUUUUAGGCUUAGGUCUAGCUUUGGGCUUCUUCAUGGGAGUGGCAACUUGCUUGUCAUUCUUGAAAUUCCCUUUCUUUCCCUUUUCCCUCUUCUUGAAACUAGUGGUCUUGUUAACCAUCAAAAAUUGAUGCUCUUUCUUGAUUUCUACCUUCGUCAAUUUCAGCAUCACGAAGAGCUCGGGAAUCGUUUUUGUCAUCCCUUGCAUAUUAUAGUUCAUCACAAAGUUCCUGUAAUUUGGUGAUAGUGACUAGAGAACUCUAUCAAUCACUAUCUUAUCUGGAAUAUUAACUCCCACUUGAUUCAAGUGAUUGUAGUACUCAGACAUUCUGAGCACAUGCUCACUGGUUGAGCUAUUCUCCUCCAUUUUGUAGGCAAAGUACUUGUCAGAGGUCUCAUACCUCUUGACUCGGGCAUGAGUCUGAAAUACCAAUUCCAACUCUUGGAACAUCUCAUAUGCUCCGUGGUGUUCAAAACAUUUUUGAAGUACCGAUUCUAAGCCGUAAAGCAUGGCACACUAAACUAUCAAGUAGUCAUCAUAUCGAGCUUGUCAAACGUUCGGAACGUCUACAUAUGCUCGUGCAAUAGGUCUGUCACCUAGCGGUGCAUCAAGGACAUAAUUUUUUUGUGCAACAAUGAGGAUAAUCCUGAGAUUACGGACCUAGUCCGCAUCAUUCCUACUAUCAUCUUUCAACUUAUUUUUCUCUAGGAACAUAUAAAAAACAUAGGGGAGCUACAACGCGAGCUAUUGAUCUACAACAUAAUUUGCAAAUACUAUCAGGACUAAGUUCAUGAUAAAUUAAUGUUCAAUUAAUUAAAUUACUUAAGAACUCCCACUUAGAUAGACAUCCCUCGAGUCAUCUAAAUGAUCACAUGAUCCAAAUCAACUAAACCAUGUCCGAUCAUCAUGUGAGAUGGAGUAGUCUUCAAUGGUGAACAUCUCUAUGUUGAUCAUAUCUACUAUAUGAUUCACGUUCGACCUUUCGGUCUCCAGUGUUUCGAGGCCAUGUCUGUACAUGCUAGGCUCGUCAAGUUUAAUCUGAGUAUUCCGCAUGUGCAAAAGUGUCUUGCACCCGUUGUAUGUGAACAUAGAGCCUAUCACACUCGAUCAUCACGUGGUGUCUCAGCACAAAGAACUUUCGCAAUGGUGCAUACUCAGAGAGAACACUUAUACCUUGAAAUUUAGUUAAGGGAUCAUCUUAUAAUGGUACCUCCAUACUAAGAAAAAUAAGAUGCGCAAAAAGAUAAACAUCACAUGCAAUAAAAAUAUGUGACAUGAUAUGGCCAUCAUCAUCUUGUGCUUUUGAUCUCCAUCUUCAAAGCACCGUUAUGAUCUCCAUCGUCACCGACUUAACACCUUGUUCUCCAUCGUAGCGUCAUGGUCGUCUCGCCAACUAUUGCUUCUACAACUAUCGCUAACGCAUAGUGAUAAAGUAAAGCAAUUACCUGGCAUUUGUAUUUCAUACAAUAAAGCGACAACCAUAAGGCUCCUGCCAGUUGCCGAUAACUUUUAAAAAACAUGAUCAUCUCAUACAACAAUGUAUAUCAUAUCAUGUCUUGACCAUACCACAUCACAACAUGCCCUGAGAAAACAAGUUAAACGUCCUCUACUUUGUUGUUGCAAGGUUUACGUGGCUGCUACGGGCUUAUAGUAAGAAUCGUUCUUACCUACGCAUCAAAACCACAACGGCGAUUUAUCAAGUUUGCUGUUUUAACCUUCAAUAAGGUCCGGUUAUAGUCAAAUUCGAUUCAACUAAAGUUGGAGAAACAGACAUCCGCCAGCCACCUUUAUGCAAAACUAGUUGCAUGUCAGUCAGUGGAACCGGUCUCAUGAACGUGGUCAUGUAAGGUUGGUCCAGGCUGCUUCAUCCAACAAUAUCGCCGAAUCAAAACAAGACAUUGGUGGUAAGCAGUAUGACAAUCACCGCCCACAACUCUUUGUGUUCUACUCAUGCAUAUCAUCUACACAUAGACCUGGCUCGGAUGCCACUGUUGGGAAACGUAUCACGCAAUUUCAAAAAAAUUCCUACGUCCAUGCAAGAUCUAUAUAGGAGAUGCAUAGUAACGAGAGGGGGAGAGUGUGUCCACAUACCCUCGUGGACCAAAAGCGGAAGCGUUUGAUAAUUUGGUUGAUGUGGUCGAACUUCUUCUAGAUCCGACCGAUGAAGUAUGGAAUGUAUGGCACCUCCGAGUUCUGCACACGUUCAGCUCGAUGACGUCCCUCGAACUCUUGAUCUAGAAAAGUGUCGAGGGAGAGUUCCGUCAGCAUGACGGCGUGGUGAUGGUGAUGGUGAAGUGAUCCAUGCAGGGCUUUGCCUAAGCACUACGAAGAUAUGACCGGAGGCGUAAACUGUGGAGGGGGGCGGCGCACACGGCUAACAAUUGUUGGUGUGUGUUCUAGUGGUGCCCCCAAUUCUUAUAUAUAGGUUGGAGGGGAGGAGAGGCAGCCAAGGGGUCGCCCCAAGUCGGAGGAAUCCUACUUGGGCACCUCCCAAUUCGGUGUCCCCCCUUUGCUAUUUCUAUUCGAAGUAGGAAGGGAAGGGGGGGGGGGAGGGGGAAUCCUAUUCCAUUUUUCCUUUCCUCCUUCCCCUUUCCUUAUCCAAUUUGGCCAGCCCAUAUGGGGGAGGGGGCGCACCAGCCCCUUUGCGGCUGGUGUGUUUCCCCUCUUGGCCCAUAUGGCCCAUAUCUUUUGUUGGGGGUGCCCGGAAACCCUUCCGGUGACCCGAUAAGUACCCGGUGCUUCUCGGAACACUUCCAGUGUCCGAAUACCAUCAUCCUAUAUAUAAAUCUUUACCUAUCUAUCAUUUUGAGACUCCUCGUCAUGUCUGUGAUCUCAUCUGAGACUCCAAACAACAUUCGGUCACCAAAUCACAUAACUCAUAUAAUACAAAAUCAUCAUCGAACGUUAAGUGUGUGGACCCUACGGGUUCGAGAACUAUGUUGACAUGACCGAGACACCUCUCCGGUCAAUAACCAAUAGUGGAACUUGGAUGCUCAUAUUGGCUCCCACAUAUUCUACGAAGAUCUUUAUCGGUCGAACCGUUAUGACAACAUACAUUAUUCCCUUUGUCAUUGGUAUGUUACUUGCCCGAGACUCGAUCGUCGGUAUCUUCAUACCUAGCUCAAUCUCAUUACCGGCAAGUCUAUUUACUCGUUAUGUAAUACAUCAUCCUGCAACUAACUCAUUAGUCACUUUGCUUUCAAGGCUUCUUAUGAUGUGCAUUACUGAGAGGGCCCAGAGAUACCUCUCCGAUACUCGGAGUGACAAAUCCUAAUCUCGAUCUAUGCCAACCCAACAAACACCUUCAGAGAUACAUGUAGAGCAUAUUUAUAAUCACCCAGUUACUUUGUGACGUUUGAUAGCACACAAUUCAUUCCUCUGGUAUCCAGGAGUUGCAUAAUCUCAUAGUCAAAGGUAUAUGUAUAUGACAUGAAGAAAGCUAUAGCAAUAAAAUUGAACGAUCAUUAUGCUAAGAUAACAGAUGGAUCUUUUCCAUCACAUCAUUCUCCUAAUGAUGUGGUCCCAUUUAUCAAAUGACAACACAUGUCUAUUGUUAGGAAACUUAACCAUCUCUGAUUAACGAGCUAGUCUAGUAGAGGCUUACUAGGGACACAGUGGUUUGCCUAUGUAUCCACAUGUGUAUCAAGUUUCCGAUUAAUACAAUUCUAGCGUGAAUAAUAAACAUUUAUCAUGAUAUACGGAAAUGUAAAAUAACAACUUUAUUAUUGCCUCUAGGACAUUUUUCCUUCAUGAGCAAUAACUAAAGUAAAGAAUAAGAAAGUAAUGAAAGCAAUGAAAUAUGCAGUAUAGUUAUAUAAGACGUUCUCAGUAGGUUCGGAUUGACCACUAGUGUGUACAUUACUUAAUUAUGCAAAUGCACAAUUCUGAGUUUAGAUAACUAAUCCACUUUAUAUGUUUGUAUGUGUGGGUGGAGCCAAGUACAUAUACGUGCAUACUACCACAACUCCAUGUCAUGCACGCCACCAGUGUUCCUCCCUACUGGAUAGAGGCAACAACGCUUAAAGGGUCUCCCCAUGGACACAACUAAAUGUAGUCCCCGUUAUUCCCCUAUCUAUGUUCGACGAACAAGGGUGGUAGGUGAUACGUCUCAAACGUAUUUUUUAUUGUUUCAUGCUAUUACCAUACCACUUUUAGAUACUUUUGAUAACAAUUUAUAUUAUAAUUUUUGGACUAACCUAUUCAGUGCCUAGAGCCAGUUAUUAUUUCUGCAUGUUUUUGAUUUUCCAGAAAAUUCAUUUUUGCAAAGCUAAAUGGGGAUUUACAAGGAUUUAUUUUGGAAAAUAAGAGACCCAAGGGACCUGGGCCCACCUAAAGAGGAGCUCCAGUGCUCCAGAUGGUUGCCCCAGCAACCACCCUAAACCCUAACCCUCCUAGGGGCGUGAUGGACCCCUAGGAGCGGUGUAGGUCAGUUGGGAUUGCCCUUUGGAGGGUAGCUUGCCCCAAGAGUAGUGGAACCACCAUAAAAAUUUCAGAUUUUUCUGACUUUCAAAUCUUUGUAGGUCGAUAAAAUGGUGAAACCUCCUAGAUUUCAACGUGGAGAGACAGAUAGAAAGUUCCAAGAUCCAAUCUUAGGGGUGCCUCUCACCCCCGGGAGGCCAAGAACACCAUGGACCAGAGGGAGAAGCCUUCUCUCAUCUAGGGAGAAGGCCAAAGAAGAAUAAGGAGGGGUGCUCUCUCCUCUUCUCUUCCGGCGGUGCCGGAGUGCUGUCGGGGGAGCCAUCAUCACCUCAUCGUCUUUAUCAAGCAUCCGCCAGUACUAACAAGUUCAUUAAGAUAAAGUAUGAAGCCCUUACCUGUGAGGAUAUAAAGAAGAGCCAAAGAGGCAAAAGAAAAAAUGAGCCAAAGAUAUAAAAAAGAGAGAGAAUAAAGAGAGAGGGGGCACACUAAUAUAAUUUAUACACAUUUAUGCUUAUAGUAGUACCAUGUAUUUCAUAUAGGGAGUUUUCGUAUGUUUCAUCAUUAUACUAGUGGGGAUAUUUACAUUAUAGAAGUUGGCUUGCAUAUUCCAAUGAUGAGCUUCCUCAAAAUGUUUCAGGUCUUCGUGAGCAAGCAAGUUAGAUGCACAACCCAUUGGUUCGCUUGGUGGGAUUUCAUACAUUCGUAGAUCUAGUGUAUCCGUUGCAUGGCAAUCCCUACUCCUCGCAUCAAUAUCGACUGUAAGGCCUCUCCAUUGCCUAACAGCUAGCUGUAUUGGUGUGAGACUUUCUUUAUUUUUGACUUAUUUUAAAACCUCCAUCAUUAUUCUAUUUUCCAUCUAAGUGCUAAGGUCGCAUCUCACGUUCAAGUAUUGUGUGGGGGUUUAGUAGUUGACUCGGGGCGAGUGUAGCUCAAGUACUUGGUCUUGCGCCUGAGCUUGUUCAUGAUUUGAUUGUCAUUAUUUGAUGAAGACCGAUCGUACUAUUUUUCUAUGAUACACCUGCUUGCUUUUGCUUUUUGUAUGGAAACAUGUAUUUUAACAUCUUUUAUUCUUGGAAGGCAAUGGUUUGUUUAUCUAUAUGCUCUUUUAUUACUUGUUUAAUGUCAAACUAUAAACAAUUGUUGAAUCACUUUUAUCAUUUGAUGAUGAUUAUGUAAGGUAGCACUCAACAUAAAAAAUAUCUUUGUUUUAUCAUCAACCUACUUGAGGACGAGUAUGGAUUAAGCUUGGGGAUGGUAAUGUGUCCAAAUGUAUCUAUAAUUUUUGAUUGCUUCAUUCUAUUAUCAUACCACUUUUAGAUUUUUUUAUAGAAAUUUAUAUUGUUUUACUGGACAAACCAAUUAAUUCGGUGCCUAGAGGCAGGUGCUGCUUUCUGCAUGUUGUUGGUUUUCUAAAAAAUCCAUAGAUGUGGAGCUAAAAAAUACACAGGCAUUUACGAGGAUUUAUUCUUAAAUAAGUGACACAAGGGACCUAGACCCACAUGGAGGGGAGCUCCCGUGACUCCAUGCGGUUGCACCAUCUGCCCCCCCUCCUAGGGGCGUGGUGGGCCCAUAUGGGAUCGGUAGAGACCUAUUGGGGUUGUCUUUGGAGGGUAGCUUACCCCAGAAGCUUUGGAAUCUCUUUUCAAAAUUUUCUGACUUAUGGAUCACUGUGGGUUGAUAAAACAAUGAAACCUCCUAAAUUUCAAAGCAGAGAGAUAAACAGAAAGUUCCAAGAUCCAAUCUCAAGGGUGACUCUCGCCCCCGGGAGUCCAAGAAUACCCUGGACCAGAGGGAGAAACCUUCUCCCAUAUAGGGAGAAGUCCAAGGAAGAAGAAGAAGGAUGGAUGCCUCUCUCCCCCUCUCUUCUGGUGGUGACGGAGUGACGCCAGGGAACCAUCAUCACCGCCUCGUCUCCAUCAACAUAUACAUCACCUUCCUCCCACUCUAUAUGUUGGUCCACUCUCCCAUAACCCACUAUAAUCCCUCUCUUGAAUAUGGUUUUUAAUGCUAUGAAAUAUUAUCCAAUGAUUUGUUUCAUCGUUGUCAUGUGUGAGUAGAUCUUUUUUGUCCUAUGGGUUAGUUGGUGAAUUGCUAUGGUCAGUUUGAGUUGCAUGAUUGUUAUGUUGAUGUCCUUACAUGCCUAGCAUAUGAGCAUGCACAAGAAUAUGAAGAAUCACACCUUAGGGUUAGUAGCAUGUUGAUAGGACUAUGCAUGCGGUAGCUGGAGUGAAUGAAUACCUCUCCACACCAUAGGAAUUGAUGCAUAUGGGAUGAAGGGGGACCAAUAUAUCUUAAUGCUAGGAUUGGGUUUACCUUAAUGAACCUGUUAGUAUUCAUGAGUGCUCCGUAAUAGUUACAACCAUAAGUACGUAUGUGUCAUGGAGAUCUCAUGGCAGAUGCCAUAGGAUGGCUAAAGAGGGGGACAGACACAAGGGCACCGGUAGGCUCCAAAGGCGAGGUUGGUACGCGCGAGUGUGGGAUACAAGACGUACCCAGGUUCGGGGCUCUCCGGAGAGAUAACACCCCUAGUCCCGCUGAAUGUGGUUUAUAUGAAGUGGAUACAUGUUUGCCCCUAGAGCUGUUUUGGGGAGGAAGAAAGACAUGCCAGUUCAUGCGCUGCCUCCUCUAUGUGGGUUGAUGUGUGUGUGUGUGUGUAUGUGUUCUACUGAUGAUCGCCCUGUGCAUGGAGGCCUCCUGGGGGGUGUUAUAGGCCGACCCCCCAGGGUUAUAAUGGGAAUAUUACAUGGGCACGGGGCCCUGGUGUCAGCGUUUGGGAGCGGGCAGUGGGGGUCAUCGGGUUCGCCGGGUGCGGGUCUUGCCGGGUCCGCUGGGUGCGGGCCAUACCAGGGCCGCCUUGCGCAUGUACGACUGGCUACUGGGUACUGUGGCACACCUUGCUGGGUGUCAUGGGACAGUCAACACCGCCCUACUAUAGGACCGAGCCUCCAAGACAUGGCCCGCCCUGGGCGAGGACAUGGGGAGUGUUGCUGCCGCGCCCGCUGGGGCCGGUGCAAAGGAGGGCGCACUAUAGCCACGUCUAUUUGUUGCUGGGGGUUGACUUCUCGUGGACGGACGACAAGCGCUAGCCAGCUGGCCGGGUCACACUGGGCAGCCGACUAGGGGCUUCGCCAGCCCCGAUGUUUUUGAAAAGGAUCCAGGUUUCGUUGCCUGCCCAGGGGCCAUCCAACCAAAAGUAGUCCCCGAAGCUGUGAAGGUGCGCCGGAUCCAAGCAGGAGGGCCCUCGUAGUUUUACCCCCCUGAGGAGGCAAUUGGGUUGGUGGAGCUUGCGGCCGCCGGGUCCCGGCAACACCCACUGUGUGCCAGCUUUUGUAAGCCGGAUCGCAGCCUACCAUCCUGGACAGGAAACUGAAACACCAGCCGAGUCUUGAAGGGGAAGGACACGCCUCCCAUGGCUCAGUGAAGUGCCACGUUGUGAACAGCGGCCGACGAGGCCCUGUCAGGCCACAUGCGAGAUGUGACACAACAGUGGGUUGGGCCCCGCCACGCCGUGCCCUCGGCGCGCUCCAUGUAGUUAAGUCGUGGGGAAAAACAUGCCCACACAAUGCGGGGAAGUGGAAUCGUGGGCACAACUGAUCCCACUUCCCCACAUCCUGUCGUGGUUAUAAAACAGAGGGAGGGGCAUGGCUGAAAUGCCCUCACAUGCUCCCCUCGAUCUCCCUGCACCUUCCUCUUCUCCUUCUCUUCCAAAUCUCAAGCACGCCCUUGCUGCAGCACCCAGACGCCCCCCAUAGCGUCCGCUGCUAGUGGCUUCUCUCUAGAAAAAUAGAAAACGAUGGGAAAACAAUUACUGUUGGGAAAUUGAUAGAACUUCAAAUAAUCAUGAUGACAUCCAGGCAAUGAUCAUUAUAUAGGCAUCACGUCCAAGAUUAGUAGACCAACUCCUGCCUGCAUCUACUACUAUUACUCCACACAUCGACCGCUAUCCAUCAUGCAUCUAGUGUAUUAAGUUCAUGGAGAAACGGAGUAAUGCAAUAAGAACGUUGACAUGAUGUAGACAAGAUCUAUUUAUGUAGAAAUAAACCCCAUCUUGUUAUCCUUAAUAGCAACGAUACAUACAUGUCAUUUCCCUUUCUGUCACUGGGAUCAAGCACCGUAAGAUCAAACCCAUCACAAAGCACCUCUUCCCGUUGCAAGAUAAAUAGAUCAAGUUGGCCAAACAAACCCAAAUAUCGGAGAAGAAAUACGAGGCUAUAAUCAAUCACUCAUAUAAGAGAUCAAAGAAGGCUCAAAUAACUUUCAUGGAAACAAACAUAGAUCUGAUCAUAGACUCAGAAUUCAUCGGAUCCCAACAAACACACAGCAAAAAGCCUUACAUCACAUGCAUCUCCAGGAGACCAUUGUAUUGAUAAUCAAGAGAGAGAGAGAGGAAGCCAUCUAGCUACUAACUACAGACCUGUAGGUCUACAAACAACUACUCACGCAUCAUCGGAGAGGAACCAAUGGACAUGAUGCACCCCUCCGAGAUGGUGUCUAGAUUGGAUCUGGUGUUUCUAGACUGCGGCAGUUGGAAUUGAUUUUCGUCGACUCCCCUAGGGUUUCUGGAAUAUUGGGGUAUUCAUAGAGUAAAGAGACGGUUUAGGGGGCAUCCGAGGUGGGCACAAUCCACUUGGGCGCGCAUGGCCCUCCAGGCGCGCCCUGGUCGGUUGUGCUCCCCUCGGAGCACCCCUGUGGCACCCCGACUCAGAGAAACCGGAACACCCCGUAUUCCAGCCCAGAGAUCGAUGAGAAGUCUUCUGGAAUACGGCACUGCUUGACAUAGAACAAAUUAGCUCUUAUUACAAAGGAUAAAUACAAAGGCCUAAUGUUACAAAGGAUCACAUCAGCAUGGUGACACUACGCCUACGAUACUACACUUGCUCUAUGCUAGCAGCGGAACAACUCGUAGCAGCGGAAAUCUUCUAGCAGCGGAACAAUGACAAAGGUGGUGAACUCCACUCCAUAGGAACUCUGGAUGGGACAAGAUCUAGCUCGUAUGCAUGGAAACCUCAACAAACAAUCAAUCAUGGCAUCACCUACAAUCUGGCAUAACACGCCAGGUCAGUACAUUGAAUGUACUUGCAAGCUCACAACAACCAAAAACAUCAAUGCAAAACAACAACAUAGAAUUAAAUAGGUUAAUUAGAUUAGCAGCUACCAUGAUACAAAAACAACUACUAAACAGGAUAUGAAACUACUACCAUACUGAUAAACCAACAUCUCAAUGCCAAUAACAAUCUCACUCUUGGCUAACCAGCCAAGCAAAUACCAUCUCGACCACCUCGUGGUCCACAUGAUCACCUCGUGAUCAAAACAUCCACGUGAUCACCUCAUGAUCAAAAUAUCCACACGGUCACCUCGUGACCCCAUCACAAACUGAAUGAUCAUCCUCGAGAUCAUCCCAACAUCAUCAUCGGCAUCCUGCCAAACUAUUACUGCUCACACACAUCAACAUAUAAAUCAUAUAUAAGUCAUUCCGUCAUGUGCGUGUUGAUCGAAUGGUGUGACCUAGUACGAACUUGUGCCCAUGAACAAGACGCGACUAUCGAUAGUUUAAACACACAAUCUACAGAGGUUAGUACACUGUACCCACACCACAGAACCCAUGGGCUCGCACUCCCAUUCGGGUGGACCAACGGCAUUCCGACAAAACCGAUCUACUGCCAUGACACUCUCCCAGCCACUACGACCAACUCCCCUCUGGGCUAAGUCAUGGGUGGCCCCAUGCCUACCAAAGGCAUCCAACGGCCACCGUCGUGGCAAAACAUGGCCACCGUCGUGGGAAAACAUAAACGGUCCCAAACAGGGACAAGUACCAUAACAACAACAACGGGCACACAAGGCUUAUGUCCCCUACCUGAUCAGGGUAGCGCACGCCCAUAACCUUCCCACGUUGGAGGCACCAUCGAGAGACACGGCAAUAUCAUCGCAUUAGGGUCUCCCCAUAAAGGCAAAUGUGGUUGCAUUGGUCAGCUCGAUUUGGUGGCACCUAACCAACUUAAUGGCGGAAUUUACCGCAAAAAUAUAAUCGUGCUAACUGAUACUCCGAUACCAUCUAUCAACCUAUAAUCCAAGACAUAUCAAUAUCCAACAAAUAAUCCAAGCAUAAUAUCAUCAUACCAAAAUACUCCGAGGAUAGCAUAACACUAGCAUCAUGAUGAAUCCAAGACUGAUAUUACUACUACUUAAAUGUCAAGAACAAGCUAUCUAGCUAAGAUCCACAUGUAAACAUCAUCUCUGAAAUCAUUCUCCAAAACAUAAUGUCAACUAGCAUCGUGAUGAAAAUAAUUCUAGCCACUAAUAAUCCGAAGGCAGCAUGACAUUCCAAGUAAUACUCCAAAAUAUAAUACCAGAUUCCAACAUGAAAAUAAUCAUAGCAUUGGCCACUAAUAAUCCAACUGCAACAUGACAUCCAUCAAAUAGCAAGCAUAACUCAUAGUAAUCCAAACAGUAGCAUGACAAUAACAAGAUCAAAAACAACUCCAAGAAAAUGCCAUGCACAAAGUCAUGUAGCUAAAGCAAUAUUUUAAACAAGUUCAAAUAAUUUAAACCAUGUCACUGCAUUACAGUGAUGCAAAUGGAGGGUGUGGCUUGCCUGGGGUGGAAGGAUUCACCGGGAGAAAGUGCGAGAAACUCGCGGAAAGAAUCACCGGAAAACAUCCUCUCUCAGAGGGGGCUGAAUAAGGGCAGGGGCAAAAUGGUCAUUUUCAGAAUGUUGAAAUAUGGUGAAAAUGGAUCCAUCGGAAGUGGAUCGACGAAACAAAGAAGUAGGCUUCGGAAUCACCUCAUUUGGAGUUACGGUUGAAGAGUUGUGGCCGUUCGUUCAUUAGGCAGAAAAACUAACAGAAACUAUGCUUUUCUACUCUUAACUAACAAACAUUCACAAAAUAGGGGUUUCAGCCGGCGGCUGAAAAAGAGAAAGUGCCUUUUUAGAAAUGCUUCUUUGCUAUACUGAAAACGUAUUUUCAACAGAACACUUACUGUAAUACGAUUUCAAUAAGCGGAGACAUAGUCUGCCGAUUGCGCCUUCACUAAUCCAUGCUAGCAGGGCGGGGUCCACGCGUGAAGCGGCUGGCAGGUGGGGUCGCGCGGGGAAGCAGGGCUCACCAGGCCAGCUGGGAUGGGCGUCCUCCUCCUCCUCCUCGCACUCUAAUAGAGUAGAGGAGGGAGGCAGGAAAGGGGUGAUGCCGGCGAUGGCCCGGGCAGCUCCGGCUGUCUCCGGUCGGACAGGAGGCACUGGCCGACUCGGGCGGCUGUGCCGCACCCAGCCAGAGGGAGGACCGGCGUCGGGGAAGACUGGGGCAGAUGCGGCUUGGAGGCAACAGAGGAUGGGGCAACGACCGUUCUUGGGGCUGCGGCCAAACGUGGCUCCGGCGACAAGGCGAGUAGGUGGGGAUGGUCGCCGGAGUGCGGUGAUGGUUCUAGGGGAGCGGAGGGGGCGAGAGAAGCUCGGCAUGGUGCCAAUUUAGGCGAGCCGAGGCGGCGGCCAUGGAGGCAGAGGGGGGGGGAGAACUUUAGGAGCUCGGGGAAGGGACUAGGCGGGGCUCUAGGAAGAAGAGGGAGCUGAUGAAUUGCUCGGGAGGGCUUGGGGUUGCCUUAAAUAGGCAGAGGGGGAGGAGGCCGAGCUGUUGUUGCUGCGAACGCAUGUCUGCGCUGCGGAUGCGUGUGCACGCGCGUGAUCUUGGAGUUAGGCAACAAGAGGGAACAUGAGGGAGAGCUCACGGGGAAGAGGCGGCCAAGGGAGCGCAGGGAGGGAGAAGAGGGCGAGCUCUGAGCCAAACCGCCUCUGUUCGUCUGUGGGCACGCGACGGCUUGCGUCGAUGAGCGUUGGUGAAGAAGUGGACGGAGGGGAAGAGGGGUCCAGGGGAACGACGACGAUGAGAGGAAGACAAUGGACAUGCUCACGCGCGCGAAGACGACGAGAGGGAGAAGGGCCAAAGCACAUAUGACGCUCUGGACACGGCCUAGCGAGCAGAGCGUGUGAAUAUGCAUGCCAGCUACGGGGUCACCACCCAACAUGGCACGAGGCUGUAGGGGAUGUCAAACCUUGUAUGGUGGCUAGUCCUUCCAGAGUGAAGCAUUAAUGCAACUAUGGCUUGGUCUGAGGUGCUGUGGUUAAAUGGUAGUCAUCGUCUGAAGUUUACUCUAGUAAACUUGGCCAUGCACUGGUGAUCAACAGGAAAUUUGUUGGAGCCAAAGAGUUUGUCUAGGGUGUUUGGCUUAGGAAAGACUACGAUCCAGGGGAGUUUGAGGAGAAAUGAACCAAGGAUUAAUAUAAUUGCUUUGCAACUCCAUAUUUGGUCCAGAAACUUGAUCAACAUGAUGCACUCACAUGGAGUGAUGGAAUGGGAUGAAACUUGGCAAAGCCUCAUGAUAUGGACAUAUUAAGAUGCUGUAAAAUUUUCAUACCAACUGGAUUCACCAAAAUGGUACUUGCUUCACAAACAUCAUCUUUGUCCAGGAACUUGGAAUAAUUUUGGUGAUCCAAUGGCUCAAUGAAAUGAUCCCAAAUUUGGUGGAGGGAUGUUUUAUGGGUUGGAGCAUGAUCUAGUAAUAUUUAUCAGAAUUAUUGAAGCAAUAUAAAAUACACUUGCUUCACAACCUGAAAGUAUUGCCAAAAUCAAAGAUUUGAUCCUGUGCUCACAUAGAUGAUUGUAUGGAGCUGAAAUUUGUAGGAGGGUGUUAACAUGAGCAUAUGAAGGGGUGUGCAAAAUUUCAUCUCAUUUGGAUACUCCUAGCUAGUACUUCCUUCACAAAGCCUUCUGCCUGACAAAAACUUUGAAAAAUCACUGAAGGAAGUUGGCUAGGCAAAUGAAGAUGAAUUUUGGCAAGAGGCAAUGAUUUGGAUGAAAUAUCAUGCCCAAGAAGUUUGGGAGCAAUCAAUAAAAGAUAGGUGGCACUUCCUUCACAAAGUGCCAUCCAAGGCAGAAUAGAAAAUGGAAUAUUGGAGAAUUAUUUUUGAACUGGCCAAGGAAAUGUUUGGGCAUAUUUGAGCAAUAUAUGACCCAAAGGAAUUAUGAGAAUUAUUUGGCAAUUUUUGGAGGGACAGAAAUGUAGGUUGCUUCACAACCUAGGGCAAAUGAGGUUAUUCUUUUAAUGAAAAAGGAAUUUUCCCCAAGAAAAAGAGUAUUGGGAUUUGGGCUAGUAUGGAAAUGUCAUGGUCUUGGGAUGAGUUUGAUCAUGAUGAACCACUUGGGAGAGGAAAUGAGAAUGAUUUCCCAGGUGGCAAUGCCACAAAACCACUCCAAAAAGAAAAACAGAUAAAAAACCAAAUAAAUCAAAAGAAAAAGAAAAGGGCCAAAAGCUAGGCUGUUACAACUCUUACCCCCUUAAAGAAAUCUCGUCCUUGAGAUUUGGUUGCUCAGGGAAGAAGUAUGACUUGAGGACACCGUUUCCAACUCGGGUAUCCUUUUUCCUUUAUUUAUUGUUCCCCCGAGAAUUUCAUAUGAUCAACUUACCUUGCUCUAGGGUGGUUUGCUUCACCUUUCCCCAAAUUCUGACGGGUUUUUGCUCAGAUACCAAAUCCUUUUUCUGGCAUGAAUUUUCUCAUAUCUGCUGCGAUAUCCAAUGGAUCUAAGCAGAAUUUUUUUCUUUGGUCAUGAAAAACUUUUUACUUCUGCCAUGGGGUUGCUUCAAAUAAAUGCAGGCCUUCUAGUUUCAAUAAAUGCCGAGAAUCAUGGCCAUUCUACUAAUGGGAUCUGACUGCUCAUAGGUGGCACUGAUUUAUCUUGAUUUAUUUCCUUUGUUUGAGCAUGAGAUAUGUACCAAAGAUUCGACUGUCUUCUGUCAUGAGCGAUGUAACGGAAUAUGGAUUUAUAGCUGUGUCAUACCUCAAAUAUUAACACCUUGGGGGUCCUGACAGGAGUGCUGGCGGGAAAAAUACUUUUCAUGACCUGUUGUCCAUGCACUUGGUUCCACCAGUUAAUAUACCUGAUCUGAGCUGAUGGUUCGGCUUUUGACUUUCUCAUUUUGUUGGUAUACCCAUCUGUGGUAACUGGCUGUAAGCUGCUGUAAUACUAUCGUUGAAGUCAACUUGUGGAGGUUGUAAAUAAAUCUUGGACCAGACAGACAUACUUGGAUAUUCCAUACUAACCAUUUUAAGCGGGUCAGCGAGAUAUGAAACCCUUGUAAAACAUAGUAGGCCUUUGAGGGUUUGCCUUUGCGGAUCCAUAUGUCAUCAUGGACUCCAACUGACUUGGGUAUCCGGACCCUGAUGGUCAUGCAAAAAUCAUCAUACCUUUGUUGUCAGUCUCACGCUUUCACGGUCCUGAUUUUCUUUGUUAGGAUAUCUUACUGAAAUAACUUGGCCACACAUGUCCUUGAUUCUUCAUAUGACCAUGGACGUGGUUAGUGCAUUAUUCCUUGUGCUUGUUUCCUGGCCUGGGUCAGCACAUAUAUGACAUAUACUUGGGGCUUGUAGUUGUACAAAGCUCGUUGUUGAGACCAAUCAUAUAAUAGGGUGGCAAGAGUUUAUGAUAUCACCUUAUCAGUGUGAAAAUAUUGGCCUUGGUGACCACUGUCAAGACUAUUGAUUCUGUGAUGUCAUCUCCAGAUCUUGUCGAUCCUUGUAAUUCAUGAGAUGUAUCUCUGCUCAUCUUCCUUUGCCUGACUCGUGAGGUUGUUGAAUCCUUACUUUCCAUAGGUAUAUCUGCUCGAUAAUUGUCGUACCUCGUAUGAGUGACUGAUAUGACCGGGGAUGCAUGCUCACCAUAUAUAAGAAGAAUAUGCCACCAAACACUUGAUUCUUGGGGUAGGCAUUUAUCCUGACUAGGUGAUAUUUCUGACAAAAUUAUUGCAAAUAUGAUCCGUAAAUUGUACUAUCAUCUACUGCCAACUCACCGCAUAUUCUCUGAGGAGGGUGCAAUAGUGUGAUACUGGCGCGGACAGAGUGGCUUACGAGAGAAGCCAUCCAAGUAACUUGCUGAGGAGGGCUCGUUAGCUUAUGCUCAAAUCUUUUGUCUGGGUAUCGUGCAGAAGAAGGCUCUUUAGCUUACACACGAAGCUUGUCCUGAGUAUUGUGCUGGAGAAGCCUGGGUUCCGUACUUGAGAAGCUUCUCCUCGGGUUUGCUUGUUGGGAAAGAUUAAAUUCCUUAUGUCAGAAGCCUUUACUAGGGUAUCUUGCGGUGAAAUACGAGGUAUCAUGGGCCGGAAACUAUUCACGUAUCAUGGUGAGGAAAAUUGAGGAGCCUUGAAUCAUAAAUUUCUUCCGAUAGCAUAUGGAUGAAGACCGAGUUUCUCAUAUUCAAAGCUUCAUACUGAUAUGCACACUAAAAUCCAUACACACGCCCAUAAUAUUCUGUGGCUGAUUAUUUGCAUGAGAAAAAUGGUUUGACUGUCUUUCUUGGCCAUAACAUAUUCUGACUUUCUCCAAGAGUAUAACAUAUUUCAAACAUCUUUCAUUACUGAGCCAAAACUUUGUAUAUGAUCCAUACCUCUGAUAGAAAAUAUACCGUUUAUCUUAUACCUGACUUGUCUUGCUGCUGACUUGAUCAUUACUCCUGUGAGGAUUUUGUACUGAUGUGUUUAGCUGAGGUUCUUCCUAAUAUUUGAAAUCCUUAUUGCUUCUUCGAGUUCGGUGUCGGAUGAUGAGAAGCUCUUUAUAGGGGAAAAGUAAUGUAACACCGGGGCCCAAGAAGAAAGAAGCCAAAGAAAACUCAGCUAAACAAAAGCACAACAACAAUCAAUUCACACACAAUCAAUGUCACAUAUUACUGCUAGUAACACCAUAUACAUGCCUACUUAAGCACACAAAUUUCACGGAAUCUUUGGUUCUACGAUCUAAAAUGUUGUGAUGGGCGCACGAGGACAAAUAAAUGUGUGGAAGAGUUGGUGUAAACAUUGCUACACCAAGUGCUAGCUUAGCCAGGUAGCAACCUGGACUAGCUCGAAGAUGAGGACUGAUACGUAUCUGUCGGAUUUAGGGUUCCAACAGACCCUUGAGGUUCGAACUCUGGGGUGCGCGUGAAGAUCUCUCCUCUACCAACCCACGCCCCAACGCCUCGCUAAGGAUCUAGGCUAGCAAGAUGGACAACACAAGGUAUACAGAGUUUAUACUGGUUCAGGCCACCAUUGUGGUGUAAUACCCUACUCCAGUGUGUGGUGUGUGGAUUGCCUCAGGGGCCGAUGAUGAACAAUACAAAGGAAGAACAACCUCGCGAGGGGUGUUCUUGUGGUGGUGUGUUUGGAGAGGAAUUGCUCCGUCUCUGUCGGCUCUGGGUGAGAUCCAGAUGAGAUGAUCCUCCUACUGUGGUGGCUAACCCUAUAUAUAGAGGCCCUGGUCCACUUCCCAAAUAUUGAGCGGGAAGGGCGCCAACAACGGCCAUUUUGAAGGGGAACAUCUAGUACACUUAUCCUGACUAAAGUUGGUCUUCGACUGCCAAAGGCUCUAAUGAUGACGCCGUAUUGGGCUCCACGGUGACCUCCAUCCUGCCGCUCUGCUGGUCUUGGUCUUGUUGCACCGAAACGGUAGCCUUUGCCUGAUGCCUCGGUACUCCGUGCCUGCGCUUGUCCCCUUUGCACCAAAGGGGAAACAAGGACAGUGCGCAGGCCGGCGCCCGCCUGGCGCCCGCCUGGUCUUGAUCGUCAUGGCUUGCGUCAUGAGCACCUCGCGAGGUACCCUUGCCUUGAUCUCUCCGCCUUCUCGUGAGCCUGCCUGGCGAGGCAGUUCCUGAGGGAGUCCCGUGUCGUCCGCCCUGCGAGGCUUGGCCCCUCGCGAGGGUCUUGAGCUUGAGUCGAUGAAGAUGGGCCGUACUGGGCCACCACUUGAGCCACGCCGCAGGCUGCAGGCAGGCAAGUCUGGGGACCCCCAUUCCCAGAACGUCUAUAGUAGCCCCCGGGCCCAAGGCGCGCUCGGACUUGGCUUAUCAAAGAAGCGAAGGGGCAAGUGCGAAGCGCCGCAGGCCCCAACAGCCUUCGGCCUUGGGCGACGCGUGGCGGUUGAUUGGAUGUGGGCGUCUCCGUUUCCCCACGCCCCUCAUUACGCGCUCGGCUAGGCGGACCCGUGGUUGCACACAGUUAUCCCUCUUUCGCUGUUCGCGCGCUCCCUGUCCUUCCUUCUUCCUCAAGCUCUAGCCUCUGCCUCCAAUCCAACUCGAGAUCUCCCCGCCUUCCCAUCGCCAUGGCGCCAACGAAGAAUGAAAAGGGGAAGAAGCCCGCGCCUUCGCCCCGCUCGCCGUCGGCAGCUGCUCCCGCCGUUGAUCAGUCGAUCAUACUCAACCUCGAAGCUGCGGACAAGGUCUGCUCCGCCCUUGCUUCCAUCUUCAACGAGUGCGGGAGGACGACCGUUUGGCCCCCGUCCCACGCCUCCUUCGAUAGGGUCAUCACGGAGGUCCAAUUUUCACCGAUGCCUUGUGGGCGGGUCUGGUUCCCCCCUUUUCUGCUUUCUUCAAUGCGGUGCUCUCCCAUUACCAGAUCCACAUGAUGCACCUUGGUCCCGAGUCCUUUACUCUCCUUGCUGUCUUCGCCUUUGUUUGUGAGGCCAUGGUGGGCAUUCCUCCCUCCGUUGCCCUCCUGCGCCACUUUUUCUCCUUGCGCCUGAGUGACCCAACUCAAUGCUCAAGGUGCGUGAGCUUCCUCGCCGUGCCAGAGACGGCUGCCUCAGGGAUCAAUUUCGGCCUUCCUCCUCCUGUGACCGGGUUCCGAGAGCGGUGGCUGUAUGUGGAUGUCGGGGUGCCCAGCCCCCUGCUCUCACACCCAACAUUGCCUGCUAUUCCCAACCCAGGCUGGGAUCAUGAGAAGCUCACGAGCCCCCGGCUCGCCUUCGUGUGGCGCCGCUUCGAGAGUUUGAGGGCGCUCUGUGUGACGGCGCCCCAGGUGGUGAAGGAGUUCCUUUAAUGUCGCAUUUCUCGUCUCCAGUGCCACUCCCGUCGGAUGUGGGCCUUUUCGGGGCGCGGAGACCGCAUGAGGCUCCAGGAGGAGGAUCUGGCGCCCGAAGCGUCGAGGACGAUGCUGAAGGCCUUGACUGGCGACCCUUCUCUAUGCAACAUCCGGCACGGGGCCACCCUCUUGUAUCUUUGAUCGGACAGGGCCGAUUUUGUGAGGCAGAUGCCCAGCUUCGACGAAUGGGGGCCGCACCCGGUCGGCCUCAUGGGGCCCCGUGAGAACCCAGUUGCUGUGGUCGCUCUCCCGGUUGCCCACAGCGGUCCUGCCUCAGGUGAUGGAGCAGGGAGGCGAGAACCGUCGAGAGCUGAGGGGCCUGAUGUUGAGAUGCUGACGCCGCGCAGGGCUCCUGAGGCGUCAUCUUCCGAAGUGCAUCCUGGAGUGGUGGCAGAUGAGGAGUCGCGACCUGAGGCUCCUGAGGCUAGGACUCCCGUGGCUUGGACUGAUCUUCAAGAGGCGGCGCCUCCCAGUCUGGCGCCCUUGGCGCAAGUCAUCCUGACGUUUCUUCUACGCUGCAUGCUGGCCCUCGCGUCGGUGGCUUAGGCCGAUUCCGCAUAGACUUCGAGGCCCUCCGCAAGAGGAAGGAGGCCUCGGGUGGCAAUGACCACCCCUGUCGCCCGUUGAAGUGCAGGAAGUAUUUUGCCAUCGACGAGUAAGUCCUUUUCUCUCUUAGCUCCUUACUUUACCAUUCCUUUAGCCGAUUGUGACCUUUCAGUGCCCUUCCUACCGUGUUUGCGGAGACAGCCGAGGAGUCACCCCCCAAGCCUCGUCUUCAUCGCUGACCUCAAGCGCCCCAAGCUCGAGCACAACCCUCGCCGCAGGGCCGACUAGAGAGGCAGGUCGUCCCGCUGGGUACCUUGAGCCUGCGCGUUUGCUGUCCCUCCUUCGCGAGCUUUCCUGGGGCACAUCCAGAUUGCUCCGUGCUCCUCCCCUGAUCGUGGACGACGACUUGCUGAGGUCGAUCUUGGGCUCCACUUCAGGAGAUGGACCGGCGCCGGGCUGGGUCCCUGGCAGGGCCCGUCCGGCGAUCGUUGGGGCGCCAGCCCCCAGCCCCCUACCGAGAGGGGGCGUGCCGCCUCGGGGCCCUCUGCCUACGCCGAUGGCGGAGGAGGACGCGGAGGACGUGCUCAGGCGCGCUCGAGAGCGCAGCGCCCUCCGCUGAGAGUUUCUUCAGAAGGCGACAGAUGUAGUGGGUCAGCUUGGUGUGGAUCUCGCGGGCGAGGAUGCGCGUCUUGAAGCCGAAGGUCUGCGCCUCGCUGAGGAGAGGCGCAGGCCGAAGGUGGCCGUCAUCCUUGCGUGUCACCAGUGUGAUCUUGACAACGUGAAGGCUGAAGCGUCUCUGGCGGCCUCGCGGAAGGCCUGCUCCCAAGCCGUCGAAGAGGCCCAAGAGGCAGAACGACGACGCGAGGCUGCAGAGGAGCACGUGUGGGAGCUCCAAGCCUGGAGCAACUCUCUGGAGCAGCAUGUGGAGCUGCGUAAGGCUGCCCUUGCGUCGCUGAAGGGGGCACCCGUCGAAGGGGUGGAGCUCCUCAAGCGUGAGGAGGCGCUGACGCUGGAGGCUGCCGAGCGUAACCUUGACCUUGAGCGGUUGGAGACGAGGGAGCGCUUGGUGACCCAGGCGGAAGAUGAUGUCGGCGCGCGCGAGGCCCGAGUCCAAGGAGAGAUCGACCGCCGCGUGGCGGAAGCUUGUUUGGGUCUUGAGCGCGAGUAGGAAGGGAGGUUGGAGUUGGUCAAAGCCGAAGCUGAGGGCAGGGCCGCCCUCAGGGUUAAGCUGACUGAAGUGACGCGGCGUGCGGAUUCCUCAGUAGCCGCCCUUGGCACAGUGCAGGCUGAGCUGGCCUCCUCCUGCACCGAACUGCUUCUUCUCCAAUAGAGGGUUGAUGACACCGAGGCCGUCGCACAACGGAACGAGGAUGAGAUCCGUCAGCGGCAGACUCUGGAGCAUGUGCAUGGCUCCAUGCUCCGAACGCUCAGGGAAAGGGCCAACGCAGCCCUGUGCAACAUCUGCGAGGCGGCUGUUGCGGAGCCUCGUGUAAUCAACUACACUGGCAAUCUCCGAUUCUUCACAGAUCUGGUGACGCAGGUGGAGAAUCGCUCUGAUAGGGCCUGCUGGCUUGUUGAGGAGAGGAGCCGAGUCCUGCUUGGGCGUGCCUUCUCUCUUGUCUUCAGCCAUCUUCAGGACAGAGAUCCCCACUUUGAUUUCGAUGCCGCCAUCGCACCAGUGCCCAUAGCCAUCCGGGGCGAUCUGGCAUAGUGGGUGGAGGACAACGUGGAUGCCCUCGUUAGGGCCUUCACUUCUGAUAACAACGGCGUGGUCGUGGCUGCUGAUGAAGGCGGCGUUGUGAAUGAGCAUGGCGCUGAUGACAACGAUGGUGAUGACGGCGACGAUGCCAGUGACGCUAGCGAUGCCUCUGGAGGUGUCCCAGAGGACGCGGUGAGCGACAUGUCCGACUGAUUGCACGCCGCCUCCGCUGCUUACCCUGCGCGGAAAAGUUUGGGCGUGGCCCUGAAGGUUGUGAGAGCAUUUUGGGAGGGGGAGCCCCUCGUGUAAAGGAUUGCAACUAGUACACUUGUAGACAUAACACCGAAUGCGCGCUUAUGCGGAGCCGCUGACCCCGUGGCGGGUCAGCUGACUCGUUUUACCUUUGACUCCGAUUGGCCUCGAGCGAGCCUGCGGAGGCCGCAGUGUCUUGAGUGUCUUCUGGGUGAACCCAUAGAUCUCGCGAUGAGAGCCUUCGGAGAGGGUGUGGCGACAGCGGUCCGGAGUGUUUGCAUGCUUGGCCUGGCCCGGCUCGCGAGGGGCUCAUGAGGGGGAGGCAACCGAUGCUAACUUUGGAUGCAAAGCCGAAAUCAGAACGCGAGAAUGCUCGAACGAGACUAAACACGCCUCCCCUAAACACACGCAAGUCUCAAGCUCAAAUCCUACUAAAAUUCAAAUCAAAGAAGCUUGAAAACAGAGAAAGAGGCAAAAGGCAAAGGCCGCGUCCGACACCUAGUCUAGUCUUCGACGUCUUCUCACCAGCGCGGAGCUAAGUGCUGCCACUAGGCGUGGGCGGGAGCCCCCGAGGCCUGAGGGCGGCUCUCCGGAGACUCCGGGGCAUGUAUAGCCCCAACUCAUUAUUACGUGAGAGUGUCAUGGGCGGUGAGCUUCACAGGCACUAGGCCUUCUUCACAGGUACCGGCCUUGCUUCAUAUUGCCAGAUGAGGGCCCCGCCUUGCGCCACACUCUACCAUCACCGACGGCGACCGGAAACCAAGGGUGACGCCAAUGGGGUAGAGUGGUCGCCAGCGGUUCCCCCGACGACCACGGGUCCUCUGCCGGGGGCAGGCCCUGGGGCACCUCCCCGACAAAGGGCCUACCUCCUGAGAACGCCUUGCGCCACAUGUCAUGGGGAGGAGCCUGGCUCCCGGCCCCUCUCGUGCUGCCCCCGGUGACCUCCUCCCGAGGGGAGGGAGGUUGCCGCACUCGGGCAGCCAUCCACUGCCGUGACCUGAACCUCCUGCGACCCAUGGUUAGCAUAAGCUUGCUCCUGAGGAAUUAGCGGUACUCAGUAGUUGCCGCCGCCGGCACGGCUGUCGAGGCUUCCGUGAGGCUCCUGAAAGAGCUCGGCUUCUAGCGCCUCUUCCUCCCAGCCUGGCCCGAGGAACGAGCCGUGGUCUUCUUCCAGGGCGUACCCUCGAUCCACCAUGUGGGGAACAUAGGCCUCCAGGGCCGCCACCCCGAAGGCCUCGCCGUAGUACUCCGCGCGCCAUGCAGUUCGACUCGAAGCUCCAUCUUGGGGGCGGUAGGGCGGCGGCCCGCUAGGACCAUAGGCAGUGAUGCGCAUGCCCUCGCUUACCAGGGGCGAUGCCGGUGCAGCUUGCUGCCCGGCGCUGAUGGCCAGGCCGGUGUUGAUGAAGCAUUGAGGUGCGCCCGGGGGUGCGUGGGCACGGAUUGGUCGGCCCCGGGAUCCGCCCNNNNNNNNNNNNNNNNNNNNNNNNNNNNNNNNNNNNNNNNNNNNNNNNNNNNNNNNNNNNNNNNNNNNNNNNNNNNNNNNNNNNNNNNNNNNNNNNNNNNNNNNNNNNNNNNNNNNNNNNNNNNNNNNNNNNNNNNNNNNNNNNNNNNNNNNNNNNNNNNNNNNNNNNNNNNNNNNNNNNNNNNNNNNNNNNNNNNNNNNNNNNNNNNNNNNNNNNNNNNNNNNNNNNNNNNNNNNNNNNNNNNNNNNNNNNNNNNNNNCACGCUCCAGCAGCACGUCAUGGCCGCUUUCUUGAAGUCUACACCGCAGCAGUUCUCGCGCCACCAUGAGCGCGGCCUUCAUGUUCGCCUGCUCCCAUCGGGUGUGCGGUGCUGUGGCUGCAGCAUGGCUCGAGGCCCUCGCUACCGACCGUACCUGCCGCGGAGUGAGGGUAGGCGACGACUGACCGCGUGGCCCGCGCCCCGCAGUGCCCUGCAAGGCGCGGGCUGCCUGAGGUGCGGGGUUGAGGUCACCUUGGGCAGGCGGCACGACAUGAGCAGGCCAUGCCGCCCAGCGGUCGAAGUUGGCCAUCGGGUUGCCGGACAUGGAGGCGGUGAAGCGGUGGCACGCAGGACAGCAGAAGGAAUAUUCCGACGCACCCCUACCUGGCGCGCCAAAUGUCGGAUUUAGGGUUCCGGCAGACCCUUGAGGUUCAAACUCUGAGGUGUGCGCGAAGAUCUCUCUUCUACCAACCCACGCCCCAACGCCUCGCUAAGGAUCUAGGCUAGCAAGAUGAACAACACAAGGGACACAGAGUUUAUACUGGUUCAGGCCACCAUUGUGGUGUAAUACCCUACUCCAGUGUGUGGUGUGUCGAUUGCCUCAGGGGCUGAUGAUGAACAAUACAAAGGAAGAACAGCCUCGCGAGGGGUGUUCUUGUGGUGGUGUGUUUGGAGAGGAAUUGCUCCGUCUCUGUCGGCUCUGGGUGAGAUCCAGAUGAGAUGAUCCUCCUACUGUGGUGGCUAGCCCUAUAUGUAGAGGCCCUGGUCCUCUUCCCAAAUAUUGAGCGGGAAGGGCGCCAACAACGGCCAUUUUGAAGGGGAACAUCUAGUACACUUAUCCUGACUAAAGUUAGUCUUCGACUGCCAAAGGCCCUGACGAUGACGCCCUCUUGGGCUCGACGGUGACCUCCAUCCUGCCGCUCUGCUGGUCUUGGUCUUGUUGCACCGAUACGGUAGCCUUUGCAUGAUGCCUCAGUACUCCACGCCUGUGCUUGUUCCCUUUGCACCAAAGGGGAAACAAGGACACUGCGCAGGCCGACGCCCGCCUGGUCUUGAUCAUCAUGGCUUGCGUCACGAGCACCUCACGAGGUACCCUUGCCUUGAUCUCUCCGCCUCCUCGCGAGCCUGCCCGGCAAGGCAGUUUCCGAGGGAGUCCCGUGUCGUCCGCCCCGCGAGGCUUGGCCCCUCGCGAGGGUCUUCAGCUUAAGUCGAUGAAGAUGGGCCAUACUGGGCCACCACUUGAGCCACGCCGCAGGCCGCAGGCAGGCCUGGGGACCCCCGUUCCCAGAACGCCGACAGUCUCCAAUGUAUCUAUAAUUUUUUAUUGUUCCAUGCUAUUAUAUUAUCUGUUUUGGAUGUUUAAUGGGCUUUAAUAUGCUCUUUUAUAUUAUUUUUGGGACUAAACUAUUAACCGGAGGCCCAGUGCCAGUUUCUACUUUUUUUUGCCUAUUUUAGAGUUUUGCAGAAAAGGAAUACCAAACGGAGUCCAAACAGAAUGAAACCUUCGCGAUAAUCUUUCUUGGAUCGAAAGCAAACCAGAAGACUUGGAGUUGAAGUCAGAGAUGUAACGAGGUGUCCACGAGGCAGGAGGGCACGCCUAGGGGGGUAGGCGCGCCCCCCACCCUCGUGGUCCCCUCGUAGCUCCACCAACCUAGUUCUUUCACCUAUAUAUACUCUUUUACCCUAAAAACAUCAAGGGAGGCCACGAAACCACUUUUCCACCGCCACAACCUUCUGUACCCGUGAGAUCCCAUCCUGGGACCUUUUCUGGCGAUCUGCCGGAGGGGGAUUCAAUCAGGGAGGGCUUCUACAUCAACACCAUUACCUCUUCGAUGAAGCGUGAGUAGUUUACCACAGACCUUCGGGUCCAUAGUUAUUAGCUAGAUGGCUUCUUCUCUCUCUUUGAUUCUCAAUACAAAGUUCUGCUCGACAUUCUUGGAGAUCUAUUCGAUGUAAUAUUCUUUUGCGAUGUGUUUGCCGAGAUUCGAUGAAUUGUGGAUUUAUGAUCAAGAUUAUCUAUGAAUCUUAUUUGGUUCUUCUUUGAAUUCUUAUAUGCAUGAUUUGAUAUCUUUGCAAGUCUCUUCGAAUUAUCGGUUUAAUUUGGCCUACUAGAUUGAUCUUUCUUGCCAUGGGAGAAGUGCUUAGCUUUGGGUUCAAUCUUGCGGUGUCCUUUCCCAGUGAUAGUAGGGGCAGCAAGGCACGUAUUGUAUUGUUGCCAUCGAGGAUAAAAAGAUGGGGUUUAUAUCAUAUUGCUUGAGUUUAUCCCUCUAUAUCAUGUCAUCUUGCUUAAUGUGUUACUCCAUUCUUAUGAACUUAAUACUGUAGAUGCAUGCUGGGUAACGGUCGAUGUGUGGAGUAAUAGUAGUAGAUGCAGAAUGGUUUUGGUCUACUUGCCACGGACGUGAUGCCUAUGUUCAUGAUCAUUGCCUUAGAUGUCAUCAUAAUUAUGCGCUUUUCUAUCAAUUGCUCGGCAAUAAUUUGUUCACUCACCGUAAUACAUGCUAUCUCGAGAGAAGCCACUAGUGAAACCUAUGGCCCCCGGGUCUCUUUUCCAUUAUAUUGCAUCUCUUUUCCAUAUUGUUGAAUCUCAUUUACUAUUUUGCAAUCUUUACUUUCCAAUCUAUACAACAAAAAUACCAAAAAUAUUUACCUUAUUAUCUCUAUUAGUUUUCACUUUUGCGAGUGACCGUGAAGGGAUUGACAACACCUUUAUCGCGCUGGUUGCAAGUUCUUGAUUGUUUGUGCAGGUAUUCGGUGACUUGUGCAUCGUCUCCUACUGGAUUGAUACCUUAGUUCUCAUAACUGAGGGAAAUACUUACGCUACUUUGCUGCAUCACCCUUUCCUCUUCAAGGGAAAACCAACGCAAGCUCAAGAGGUAGCAAGAAGGAUUGCUGGCGCCGUUGCCAGAGAGAUCUACGCCAAGUCAAGCCAUACCAAGUACCUAUCAUAAACUCUUCUCCCUUGCAUUACAUUAUUUUCCAUUCGCCUGUCGUUUUCCUCUCCCCCACUUCUAAAAUGAUUUUCGAAAACCCUUGUGUCGUGGAAUUAUCACGUCAGAUGCCCUAGUGUGAGGACUUAGUCAUGGAGCCAUCGCAACAUGAUUAGCUUAAAGGGGUUAAACCGGACAAAUGACACAGGGAGUUUAUACUGGUUCGGCCCCUUGCAGUGAAGGUAAAAGCCUACGAUCCUAUUGUGGUGGAAUUGAUGGGGUUUCCAUGACCAGGGAGCGAAUCCACUUUGCCUGGCUCUCGAGUUGUUUUUUCUUGUCCCUAAUCCGCCGCUAGGUCGUCCCUUUAUAUACAUAGGCUGACGCCCGUCGGUCUACAGAAUCCCGAGGCCGCUUCAUAAAUGUGUCCGGCUCGGUAUCUACUCUUUCCUACCUUACAUUACAAGUUACAUGCCUAUGGCAGUUUAUGUCUAUGGGCCCUAACCCGCCUCUGGGCUUUGGGCUCCCUUAUUAUGUUUCCUUCAUAAGUCGCCAUCUUCUAUAACUUCAUGGGCUUCAAUAUUGGUAGUCUCUCUGUGGAUAAACCAGCCCCUCCUGGGCGGUUUAUACCCACCAGUUAUAUCCCCAACAUUAGGCCCCAGAUUGAUUUGAACCUGUUCAUGUCAAUCUUCAACACAUAGGAAAAAUCCUUCUUCAACACUUAGCAUACGCCUUGUAAUCCGCCAUGGCAUCAUCUUCUGAUAUUAUAGUAAACCGCCAUGACGUCACCAGUUUAUUAAAAAAUCAUACAUACCUUCCCUUUAUUAAUGAGCCUCCGAAAAUCAAGGUGACAGCUCUGGCACAUAUCCAUUUUUUGGGCUCCUCAAUUCUCGUGUCUGUCGCUUAUCCCUUCGCCUUAUAAAUAACGCCGAGGGUCAUUUUUACUUUUCCCCCUCGUGCCUCAUUACUUCUUCUUCCUCCUCGUGUUGACGUAGCGUUCAAGCUCAGCCGCCGCCACCAAGUCUUCGUCCUAGACCUCAACUCCGGCCGCUGCAUCACCCUGAGCUUACCAAAAAAUCACGGUGCCUCUCUGCUGCUCCCGUGACACCGGUAAGUCUUCUUUCCUUCAACCCUAGAUCUGCCAUUAGGGUUUCUGUAUCCAUAUGUGUUUAUUAGUGUUCGCCUUUCUUCUUUGCUUCCCCUAUCUUGUAGUUUGUUGAUGCAAGGCCUAGUGACUAUCGCACGCGGUACUGAUCUUAAUACCCAUUUUUAAUAUUUGAAGGCCUCCCCUUUUGCAAGAGAUCCCAUCUGAAUCCAUGAACUGCUCUGCUGUCACAACUUAGGGUUUCAGACUUUUUCCUCUUUUUUGAACUGCAUUUGAUCCAAAAUGAUAGCAUCGAUCUGUAAAACCUGUUUCUGCAACACUUAGUCACUUUUCACUCAUAGAUCUAAAAUUUGGCAGCUGUGCGGGCGGUUUAACUUUUGAAUCAUAAUCCUCCAGGUACCAUUAGUCCCCUUUUAAACUGCCAACUGCUUAUCUCUGCAAACUGACAAUAUAUCUCCGGUUUAUAACUCUUUCAUUCUUGAAUACUUCCUGCCCCUUUACUUUUUACAAUUGAUCAUGACUGCUUAAACUGGCACCAAUCUUCCUCCAUGUCUUAUUUAACAAAUGGCCAAACAAUUUUAUUCUUGCAACUGGGUUCCUUCCCGGGUUACAGAAGAACAGCUGAAUGGGUGUGUUGCAACCGGCGCUUUAGCAAGUAAGGAAAUCAUCCACUAGAGGGUCCCCUGUCCAGAAGAUCCUCCUGAACCCAAGGAUGGAGAGGUGAUUGUAUUUGCUGAUCAUCUAGGUCGAGGGUUUAGCCCUCCUGGAUCAAAAUUCUUCCCUGACGUGCUUGCUAGCUUCCAGAUCCUCCCUCAAGAUAUCGGACCGAACUCCGUGUCCAAUAUUGCAAUUUUCAAGUAUUUUGCGAGGCUUAUCUGCAAGAAGAACCUACCGUUGAGUUAUUCAGAGACUUCUUUUACUUAAACCGCCGUACUGAAUUUACGGAUGGGACCAAUACUAAACUUGGCGGAGUUUCAAUUCAGAAAAGGAAGGAUGUCAGUUUCCCUCACACCAAGCAUCAUAGCCACUCCAAAGACUGGAAUCAAACUUGGUUUUAUUGUCAAAACACAGCUCCAACUGACAAAAAUCCUUUGCCGGGUUAUCGUGCUCACCGGCUUACCAAUACACAUCCAUUUCCACAACGACUUACUGCAAAGGAACGAGCUAAGUAUGCACCAUAGCUUUCAAAACUCCGAGCCUUUAUGGCGAAUGGUUUAACUGGCAUCGACUUUGUCCGUUGUUGAGUCUCUUGGAGUAUCUUGCCCUUAAGCCGCCGCCCCGGUUUAAUGUGCGAGUACACAGGGGAUGUCAAAGACCCUCAACGACACAUUGAAAUUCAGCUAACUGACAACAAGAUUACUAAAGCUGGCAAAAAGAUGUUGGAUGAACCGAUAUCCGAGUGCAUCAAGACAGGGCUUAGUCCCUUCUGUGUUUCCAAUAAACCGCUAACGUUAAGAAUUGCAUCCUUCUUGUCUUAAUUCGCCCCCUUUUAAAUAUUUCCUUAUAACUUCUUGUUCAUCUUUGCAGGGUGAUGAUCCAUUCUGGAAAAAGAAGCCGCAGGAUAAACUGGCGAAACCGCGGGAUAAACCGGUGAAAACACCUCGCCCAAAGACCAAAGUUACAAAGAAACCCACAAAGAAGAAAACUGCUGAAUCCCCUAACCCGACCAAUGAUGAAGAUCUUGAUGAUCCGGAGUCAGAGGUAGAACUUGAUUCUAUUGGUUCUUUUUUCAUACACCUUAUUGACAAUGAUCAUUAUCAGGAUGAUGUGGAGGCUAGCCAUGCUGAUGAUGUAGAGGUAAUUAUCCUUUCUUCCGAUUCAGAUCCUUUGCCAACACUAAAAACCCAUCGAGCAGUACAGAAAGUAAAUUUUUCACACGCUCUAGCUUAUUUGGAUCCACACUUUCUUUUGAGGACACAACAACAUGAAGCUCGCCACACAACCCGGCAUAGCGGCCAAGUGGUUACUUCCUUCGGUUUACCGAACACUCCGGUUCGUAAACGCCACCAAGAGGUCUCUUGUACUUCUGAUACACCUUGUCCCAAGACGGGUUAUUUCCGAUAUCCUCUUAAUCCGCCUGACUAGAAUUACCAGGGAACCUCCCAUUCAUCUUUUGGUGAAUCAACAGGGAUGAAGCUUCCAACCCUUAAAACGGUUCCUGGGUGAGUAGAAAUUUUGCUAAUCCGUCAUACCUUUAUAUUUUUGAUCCUUGCACUAUUCUGAUGCAUACUAAUUAUUUUCCAGGGCAAAGCCAGAGCCAGAAAGAAGGCCAAAGUGAACAAACCAGCUGAAGACCCCAUUCGGGGUGAACCAGAAAAGACUCCUGAACCGUCACACCCAGAUAUUGAUAAUAUUCCUGAUGGCCCGUCGUUGCUGGAUCAAGCCAUGGAAGCUGAGCACAUGGAUAUUGAUCCAUCAGCUCACGCUGAUGAUCCGCCAAGCCCGGCUAAAGGUGCUAAUGAUGAUGUUGUCAUUACUAGCACUGGUUACACCUCUCCUGGCCACCCCAUAGCCUUGUCCAAACACAACGCCAAAGAGGAAAAAACUGCUGGUGAUAAGGGCAAGUGGAAAGCAGAUUUGGACAGCUAUGCUCACCUCAGCGCCCAAGACAUUCAUUCUGGGAUUUUGAACUGUCUGUACACAAACCGUGACUAUGAAGCCGGUUUAGUGAACAUGAUGAAGGAGCGAUAUGAGGUAAAUCCCGUUGAACUCUUCAUAAGUAUUCCUUCCUUCUGAUCUAUUUAUAAUAUUUACUCCGGUAGCCCCCAAGGGCCGGUUUGGCAAUGCCCAUUCAAACCAGGACUUCAUAAAGUAAUGAUUCUUCAACUUUUGCUUGUGUAGCCCUCAAGGGCCGGUUUAUCUCUUCAAGAUGAACCGGGACUUCAUGUUGUAAGGCUCACCCUUCUUGUUAAAUACCUUUAGAAACCGGUUUACCAUCAUAGGAAAAAAUUCACAACUGUGUUGUUGAGGAAAUAGGCAUUAGUCCCCAAGUGCCAAGAUUAAUACUUGUAUUGAGCCUUGGGACUUUACCAUAUUGUUGAUAAGAAGCGAUAGGCAUUAGCCCCCAAGUGCCAAGUGUAUAACUUUUUAUGUGCUUGGGACUUCAAAUUUGUUCUGCUAACUCAUAAAAUACCUCUUGUAGGCUGAGCUGGACAAAACAGAAUCCCAAAUCGUCGACCUUGAGGAAAAUAUCAAGACCCAGCAAGCAGAAACCUCCAAGGCAGGGGAAGAGCUGACUGGUGCUUUAGAGGCCAUGGAACAAUUGAAGGAGAGCUUCAAGAAUGAGCGUCUAGGCUGGGAUGCAGAAAAAGCAACUUUGCAGAAGAAAGCUGAAGAUGCUGACACAACUCUUAAACCGGUGGCGGAAGAGUUAACCAACUUGAAACAACAAAUAAAUGCUAUGACUGCUGCUGUGUUUGGUAAGUAACUUCUUCUCCACAGUUGAAAUUUCACUAUUCCAUAAAUCUCCGGUUUACUGAUGUCUGCGACGAUGCAGGAUCUCGCAUUACGCAUUUGGGCUCCGAUAUGCAGAAGAAGCUGAAGGCUGGCUAUACAUUGAUAGAGCAACUGUAUACCGGCGCACAACAGAUUAUCUGCACAACUCCUUACAAUAAACCACCCCCAACUUUGAUCAAGGAUACCUUAGAAAGGCUGUCAAUGAUGCCCGCCUGGCUUGAAGAGAUAAAACGAUCAGCUGCAAGGGCCGGCGCUCUUACCGCACUAACCCGUGCCAAGGCGUGGAUAUCCGAUCUUGAUCCGGCUGACAUAGGGGAUGGCUAUCCAAGCAUCAAAGAGGAUGAAUUAGAAUUUAACAAUGAAGAUCUUCGGGCUUUUACGAAAGAGAUGCGCCCGUUAGCUAGUAAGUUGACUGAAGAAACCGAUCUUUCGUUUCAUCAAUCGAUUUAUGAUGCUCACAACAAGAGGGUCGAUACGCCAAGCUACGAAGCUCCCACUCUUAUUCCGCCAAUUCGUAAGCAUACUUAUGCCCCUAAAGUUGACCCCUCCAAUCUUAUGAGUGAUGAAGCCGUGUUUAGAGCCUUAACUGGGAUCGAUUGGUCAACCAUUGACUUCCAGCCACCGGAUAGAGGAGGAAGAUGAUCCGGCACAAGAUGAUCCGCAAUCAUCAAGCUAGCCUGCCACUGAUGCAUAAACUGGAGGCUGGUUACCUUCUUCGUUUUGCAAGACUUAUGCUUUUGGGCAUGAAAAUGCCGUGUAAUAGGCUAGUUGAAAACUUCUUGGAUCUAAUGUGCCAUCGUGCACUUUGCAUAAUACUGUUAAUCCGUCAUGAUUAUGCUAUGUCUGCUUAUGAUCCUUAGCAGCUUUAUUCAAUCAUGCAUGCAACAAGUUUAAAGUGUCCUGGUGGUUUAUCGCCGGACGGGUCAUAACACCCAACAUAAAACCAGGGUUUAUAACCAAGGUUGUACUUUUAACAAAAUAUGAAAUAUAUCAUACCUGUGAUAUUGAAUCACAUCGUUGGUUUACCAACUUAUUGUAGGAAGGGUGAUAACCCAAAUUUGGAGUAAUGAUAACUCCCCCAUAUUUUUCGGUUUAUAAUGAAAUCGUGUUGGGUUGUAAUAAACACCGGAUUAUAACUGAUCUUGCAUUGACAACUUAUAGUUGAAAGCCAAGCCGGGUCAUUGACACCGGUCAUCUUUGUAACUUUGUACUUGGCAACUCAAAAACCAGACUGGGUCAUAAGACAGCGGUUUAAACAUAAACCUCAUAAAAAGAAAAGAUUUGCCAAAUAGAAUCAUGGGAAGAUGCGAGGCUUUUCAUGGGCUGCCAGGCCACUGAGUUAAACCAUUUUACAAAGCCUUUUAAGAUGGACCUCACAUUAACCAAUCGUCGUUUUAACUUUGACAAGUUCAGGGUCUAUAUAAGAUUAACUUGCCAAACAUUCGACGGGUCAUACCAGGAUUACCUGGACAGAGUGACUUACUUAAAAAGGCAGGAUAACCUGGGGUUUUAGGUGAAUACACCUGGCUUCCAAGCCUGGUUUGAUAGCCUAUUACAAGGGUCACUAAAACUCUUUCUUGCUGUGCAAAAAGAGCCCCCAGGUAACAUUUUGAGCUGUGCUUAGUGGGCGCCUAUGUUUGAGUUGUGCUUUGCAACAAACUCUCUUUGGCUCCUUAUGAUUUUGGGUAUGAAGCCCCCAAGCUUUUUUUAUUGCUUUGUAAGCCGGAUUAAUGGACAAACAGAACUCCGCUUUAUAAACAAAAGCCCCCAUGUAACCAAGAAACCUUUAAGGAAGAACGACAAAGGCCUCGCUUUUGCAAGGAUGACAGUUUAUUAUAUUGAUCAUAAUAUAUACAUUGUCAAGAAUAUGUACAUAAUAGGAGCCUAUGGCUCAGGUGUAGUAAGGUUGAAGAUGAGCAAUAUUCCACGGCCGGCGGGUCUCCUCCUCCGAUUUGCGUGAGUCUUUGUGCUCUCGAACAUCGAUAAGGUAGUAUGACCCGUUGUUCAGAUUCUUGCUGACCACAAAGGGUCCUUCCCAAGUGGGGAUAACUUGUGCAUAUCGGUCUGAUCCUGGAUAAGCCGGAGCACUAAGUUGCCUUCUUGAAAAGUUCUGGUUUUAACCGGACGGCUGUGAUAAUGCCGCAGAUCUUGCUGAUAAAUCGUCGAACAAGCUGCUGCUAUGUCCCAUUUUUCAUCUAACAGGUCCAAUGCUUCUUGGCGUGCUUGUUCGUUGUCCGCUUCAAUAUAAGCUGCCACUCGAGGCGAGUCAUGGCGAAUAUCACUGGGGAGAACUGCCUCUGCCCAUAAACCAUGAACAAAGGCGUAUAACCCGUAGAUCGAUUGGGGGUGGUAUUAAUGCUCCACAAUAAAGAAGACAACUCUUCCACCCAACAACCCGGCGUCCUCUGCAAAUGAACCAUAAGCCGGGGCUUGAUGCCCUUCAGGAUUUCCUGAUUAGCUCUCUCAGCUUGACCAUUGGACUGUGGGUGAGCCACUGAUGAUACAUCAAGCCGGAUGUGCUCACGUUGACAAAAGUCCUCCAUAGCACCCUUAGAGAGGUUUGUGCCAUUAUCUGUUAUAAUGUUGUGUGGAAAACCAAAGUGGAAAAUCACCUUCUUCAUGAAUUGAACCGACGUGGCUGCAUCACACUUGCUGACUGGCUCCGCCUCUACCCACUUAGUGAACUUAUCAAUCGCCACCAGAAGGUGGGUCUUCUUAUCCUUGGACCUCUUAAAAGGCCCUACCAUAUCAAGCCCCCAAGUUGCAAACAGCCAGGUGAUUGGAAUCUUUCUCAAUUCUUGAGCCGGAACAUGAGCUCGGCGUGAAAACUUCUGACAACCAUCACACUUUUUCACCAAGUCCUCAGCAUCAACAUGAGCCGUUAGCCAAUAGAAGCCGUGACGAAAAGCUUUAGCCACCAAGGAUUUUGAACCGGCGUGGUGACCACAGUCGCCUUUGUGGAUCCUACGCAAAAUCUCACGACCUUCUUCAGGAGAAACGCAGCGCUGAAAUGCCCCCGAGACACUGCAGUGAUGUAACUCGCCAUUGACAAUAGUCAUGGACUUGGACCGCCGGAUUAUCUGUCUGGCCAAAACUCCAUCCUCCGGUAACUCGCCCCGGUUCAUAUACGCCAAAUAUGGAACCGUCCAAUCUGGGAUAAUAUGAAGAGCCGCCACCAACUGAGCCUCCGGAUCAGGAAUAGCCAAGUCCUCCUCUGUAGGUAGCUUGACUGACGGAUUAUGCAAAACAUCCAAAAAAUUGGGUGUAACCGGCUUACAUUGGGAAGCCAACCGGCUUAAAGCGUCCGCCGCUUCGUUCUUGCGCCAAUCAAUGUGCUCAACCUGGUGACCCUUGAAGUGCCCAACAACAACAUCCACCUCACGUUGAUAAGCCGCCAAAUACCAGAAACUUGCUGAGCCACCAAAUCAGAGUCCCCGAAGCAUCGUAUCUGGCUUAAGUUCAUUUCCUUAGCCAUCUGAAGACCGUGGAGCAGGGCCUCAUACUCAGCUGCAUUGUUAGUGCAAGGAAACAUCAAGCGGAGAACAUAACAAAAUUUGUCACCUCGAGGGGAAGUAAGAACAACUCCAGCCUCGAGCCCUCCAAUUUCCUGGACCCGUCGAAGUGAAUAGUCCAGUAUGUGUUAUCCGGUUUAUCCUCUGGUGCAUGUAACUCUGUCCAGUCAUUGAUGAAAUCCACCAGCGCCUGGGACUUGAUAGCUGUUCGAGGCAUAUAUUUUAACCCGUGAGGUCCAAGCUCAAUAGCCCACUUAGCAACUCGGCCAGUUGCCUCCUUGUUUUGGAUGAUAUCUCCCAAAGGAGCAGAACUAACCAUAGUGAUGGGAUGACCCUGAAAGUAUUGCUUAAGCUUCCGUCUCGCCAUAAAAACUCCAUACACAAGCUUUUGCCAAUGUGGAUAUCUCUGCUUUGACUCAAUGAGCACCUCACUGAUAUAAUAAACCGGCUGCUGAACCGGAUACUCCUUACCUGCCUCCUUGCGCUCCACCACAAUAGCCACAUUGACAACCCGGGCAUUGGCAGCCACAUAUAACAACAACUUCUCUUUAUCGACCGGAGUAGCAAGGACAGGUGGCUCGCUAACUGCUUCUUCAAGUCCUCAAACACCGUAUUAGCAGCAUCACUCCAGAUAAAGUUGUCUGUCUUUUUCAUCAUCUGAUAUAAAGGGAUAGCCUUCUCUCCCAACCGGCUGAUAAACCGUCUUAGUGCCGCAAUACGACCCGCCAGACGUUGAACAUCAUUGAUACACGCCGGUUUAGCCAGAGACUUAAUAGCCUUGAUCUUUUCUGGAUUAGCUUCAAUGCCCCUGUUAGACACCAGAAAACCCAAAAGCUUGCCUGCCAGAACACCGAAGACGCACUUGUCUGGGUUAAACAUCAUUUUAUAAACCCGGAGGUUAUCAAAGGUUUCCUUCAAAUCAUCUAUCAGCGUCUCCUUUUUCCUGGAUUUUACCACAAUAUCGUCCACAUAAGCAUGAACAUUGCACCCAAUUUGAUCAUGAAGACAAUUCUGCACACAUCGUUGAUAAGUCACCUGGAUACUCUUGAGCCCAAAAGGCAUAGAUACAUAGCAGAAGGCUCCAAAGGGAGUUAUAAAAGUUGUUUUCUCCUGGUCCUUAACUGCCAUCUUGAUCUGAUGAUAACCGGAAUAAGCAUCCAAAAAACUCAAGCGCUCACAACCCGCCGUAGCAUCAAUGAUCUAAUCAAUAUGAGGGAGAGCAAAAGGAUCAGCUGGACAAGCCUUGUUCAAAUCCGUGUAAUCCACACACAUGCGCCAAGUGCCAUUCUUCUUAAGCACCAGCGUCGGGUUAGCCAACCACUCCAGAUGAAAAACCUCAAUGAUAAACCCAGCCGCCAAAAGCCAGGCUACCUCCUCACCAAUAGCCUUGCGCCUUUCUUCAUUAAAGCGGUGAAGAAACUGCUUGACCGGUUUAAACUUGGGAUCAAUAUUGAGAGUGUGCUCAGCGAGUUCCCUCGAUACACCUGGCAUGCCAGAAGGUUUCCAUGCAAAGAUGUCCCGGUUCUCACGGAUGAACUCGAUGAGCGCGCUUUCCUAUUUCGGAUCCAGAUUAGUACUGAUACUGAACUGCUUGGAUGAAUCACCAGGAACGCAACUAGCUUAGUCUCAUCAGCCGAUUUAAACUUUAAGGUCGGGUCAUGCUCUGUAGUUGGCUUCUUUAGAGAAGUCAUGUCUGCUGGAUCAACAUUGUCCUUGUAGAACUUCAACUCCUCUACUGCGCAAACCGACUCAGCAUAGGCCGCAUCACCUUCUUCACAAUCCAAAGCAAUCUUACGGCUCCCAUGUACCGCAAUGGUCCCCUUAUGACCCGACAUCUUGAGCUAUAGAUAAACAUAAUAGGACCUUGCCAUGAACUUAGCAUAAGCCGACCGUCCAAACAGGGCAUGAUAUGGGCUCUAGAUUUUCACCACUUCAAAGGUUAAGGUUUCUGAUCUGGAAUCACGAUCAUCUCCAAACACGACCUCUAGAGCUAUCUUACCAACCGGGUAUGCCGAUUUACCAGGUACCAGACCAUGAAAACAAUGUUUGACGGUUUGAGAUUUUUAUCUGUCAGUCCCAUGCGACGAAAGGUUUCAUAAUACAAGAUGUUGAUACUGCUCCCUCCAUCCAUGAGCACCUAGGUGAACUUAUAACCUCCGACCUGAGGCGCCACCUGAUGAUGUUAUGUACCUAGGGUAGGGUCAUGGACCUAUCUAGGAUACCAUACCCAAGGACAUCCUUAGACGAAGCUACCUUUCAGUCGACCAAGAGGGACUCUACUCGACCGGCUAGAAGACACUCGACCAUGAAGACUCACUCGACCACCAGGAGUUCAUGAUCUACUCUGUAUCCAAACGGUCUGUAAUUAAGUAGUCUUAAUGGUCAUGAUGACACUUUAUGUAGGGCGUUACCAGUAACGCCCGGCCUUAAUGUACUUUAACCCUCUGCUACGUGGGCUGGCUGGGGUCCUGGUGUCCUCUAUAUAAGCCACCCCCUCCACUGGUAGAAGGGUUCGCACCCCUGUAACUCAUAUACGCAUAAACCAGUCGACCGCCUCCGAGCUCCGAGACGUAGGGCUAUUACUUCCUCAGAGAAGGGCCUGAACUCGUUAAACACUCGUGUGUACAACUACUCCAUAGCUAGGAUCUUGCCUCUCCAUACCUACCCCCCAUUCUACUGUCAGACUUAGAACCACGACAGUUGGCGCCCACCGUGGGGCAGGUGUCUUAGCGACUUUUUGGAUAAGUUGCAAUUUGUCCGAUUGCCUUCAUCAUGGUUUCCGGCGGAGCUCUGGUCGAGGGCCGUGAGAUCCGUCUCGGUGCGCUCGCUUUCAUCGCCGACGACUCCACUUGGCUCCAGGAGGCACCACUCGACAUCGACACGCUCCCCGUCCGCGGGGCGACGCACUUUCGGGCGUGUGUCCGUGGCGUCCUGCUGCGGCAGCCGUCGACCCCAUACCGGUUGACUCCUGUGCCGUCCUCCCUCCCUGUCUCCCGCCAGCGCAAGCGCUCUGGUCGGUCGAGGCUCCAGCGAUGGGUGAGACACGCAAUGGCUCGCCAAUCGGCCACCACCCAAGUCGCGGCAAUUAAGCUCGACGAAUCUCUCUACGGCCUGUUCGACUGGCUCCAUAGAGACUGCAUCCGAGUGCGAUAGCAGUGAUCCAGCGGCGGAGGUCCUGAUGGUCAACGGGCCUCGUAGCCCUCCCGGUUUCCCCCGCAACAACGGGAUGGACGACGGGGGCGAUCCCGCUCAGGCCCACGAAGAGUAUCAGCCCGAGCCACUCACUUCUCAGCAGAGGGAAGAACUUCGCCGCCGGAACAUGGAUGCCCUGCAUACUCCCAUUGCAGGAGAAACUCCUGAGGCUCGUGUCCUGGAAGAGGUGCGUUUGGCCAAUUUGGUUGAACGCACUCGACUGGAGAACCUCCAGCGAGCACUCGACGAGCGUGCGCGUCAACGAGUACCCGACUCUAGCCGACGUCAGCUCUUUCCGCAACCGACACAGGUAUAUCGAACCCCGAUUCAGAAUUUGGCAGCUGCAGCCCGUAUAAUGGAGUCAAUUCAGCCCUCUCAGUCGGAGGCUGGAAGAGGCUUGAUGCAGAUCAGAGAUUUGCUCUAGGCGGUAGGAGAUCAGAAUUCAGUCGUGUCACAGUCGCGCAACAGGAUUCACAGUCGAUCCAUCGCUGCGAAUACUGUUCAGUCGGCUCACAGUCCAAGGUCGCCUCCGAGGCGCGUGGGACGUGAAGGCCGGCGGGACCACUAUGAUGAUCGAUUUGAUCGUGAUGACAGGCGUCGAGUGCUCACUCCUCCCACGAGAAGUGGGUCUAACGCCCAUCGGCAACAAGAUGACAGACGCCAGCUCAGUGUUGGGCGGAGAGCUCCAGUCGACCCCAGAGAGCCAGGCUUUGACACGAGAUCCAUCAUCGUGCAAGGUUUCGUCGACCGGAACAGAGCUCAUAGAGGUGGCCAUGACAGAGAUGUGCCCACAAGUAGCCGAGUCCACGUUUCAGGUCCAGAAUGCUUUAGCAGAGCCAUCAGAGCCGCAGUGAUACCCCCCAACUUCAGGUUGGCGACUGGAGUGAGUAGGUUCACCGGAGAGUCUAAGCCUGAAACUUGGCUUGAAGACUACCGAGUGGCUGUUCAGAUUGGUGGCGGUAAUGAUGAGGUGGCCAUGAAACAUUUGCCACUUAUGCUAGAGGAUUCAGCCAGGGCGUGGUUGAAUCAGUUAGCUCCUAGCAGCAUUUACACCUGGGAAGAUCUUUCCCGAGUGUUCAUCAGGACGUUCGAGGGAACUUGCAAGCGACCGGCCGGAUUGACAGAGCUGCAAGUUUGCAUACAAAAGUCGAGUGAAACUCUGAGAGAUUACAUCCAGAGAUGGAUCACUUUGCAUCACACUGUAGAGAAUGUGUCAGACCAUCAAGCGGUCUGCGCCUUCAAGGAUGGUGUCAAGAACAGAGAGUUGAGCCUAAAUUUUGGUCGAACUGGAGAUAUGACCCUGAGUCGGAUGAUGGAAAUAGCCACCAAGUACGCCAAUGGCGAAGAAGAGGACCGACUCCAAAGUGGCAAGUACAAGCCGAGUCAGUCGGAGAAAGGAAACUCCAGUCGGAAGCAGAAGCGUAAGGCCGAGCCAGCUGCUCCUGGAGAGGCUCUGGCUGUGACUCAGGGCAAAUUCAAAGGGAAGCCCAAAGGAUCUUGGAAGCCCAAGAAGGUAAAAGAUAAGGAAGGUAAUGACGUGAUGGAUCUACCGUGUCAUAUCCACACGAAGAAAGACGAAGAGGGUAACUUCAUCUACCCAAAGCAUACCACUCGCCAGUGCCGGCUCUUAAUCCAGCAGUUUUAAGGAAAACAGCCGAAGGACAAGGAGAAGGAGUCGGACAAGGCUGAGGACAAGGAGGACAGUGAUGGAGAGUACCCUCAUGUCAACUCCACUCUGAUGAUUUUUGCUGAUGUAGAGAGCAAAAGUCGACUGAAAGUGAUCAACCGUGAGGUCAAUAUGGUCGCCCCGGCGACACCAAGCUAUCUGAGAUGGUCGCAAACUCCCAUCACUUUCGACCAGUCUGAUCACCCCACUCACAUUGCCACCCCUGGGAGGCAAGCGCCGGUGGUCGACCCAGUCAUCGAAGGCACUCGACUGACGAAGGUACUGAUGGAUGGCGGCAGUGGAUUGAAUAUACUGUAUGCAGAGACGCUCAAGGGAAUGGGCAUUGAGAUGUCCAGGCUCAGUUCCAGCAACAUGAGUUUUCACGGAGCCAUCCCUGGAAAGAAGGCUGAGUCACUCGGCCAAAUAGCUCUGGAUGUAGUGUUCGGCGACUCGAAGCAUUUCCGCAAAGAGAAGCUGACAUUUGAAGUCAUGGAUUUCCGAAGCGCCUACCACGCUAUUUUGCGAAGACCAGCCUAUGCCCGCUUCAUGGCUCGACCAUGUUAUGUGUACCUCAAAUUAAAGAUGCCUAGCCCCAAAGGCAUGAUCACUAUCACUGGCAGCUAGAAGAAGGCAGAAGAGUGUUUCCAGAAAGGCUCAAAGAUUGCGGAUGACCAAAUAACAGUGGUAGAGCUGGAGGAAUACAAGAAGAAUGCAGAUCCGAUUGAUUUGCUGCGGGCCAAGAAGCCCGCCACAGAGUCAACAUUUCAGUCGUCUGGAGAGACGAAGCCAGUUCAUAUCCACCCGACUGACCCCAAUGCAGCACCGACCCAUAUUUCCACAACACUCGACUCUAAAUAGGAAGAAGCGCUCAUCCAGUUCCUCCGUGAGAACUGGGACAUCUUUGCAUGGAAGCCAGCUGACAUGCCGGGUGUUCCCAGGGGGCUGGCUGAGCAUCGCCUUAGAGUCGACUCAAAAGCGAAACCUGUUAAAGAACAUCUUCGACGGUCCACCAUUCAGAAGAAAAAAGCCAUUGGCGAGGAGGUGGCUCGACUCCUUGCAGCAGAGUUUAUCCGAGAGAUAUACCACUCCGAGUGGCUCGCCAAUGUCGUCAUGGUUCCCAAGAAGGACAACUCACUUCGCAUGUGCAUUGAUUUCAAACAUAUCAAUCAGGCCUGCCCGAAAGAUCAUUUUCCUCUCCCUCGCAUCGACCAAAUUGUUGACUCGACCGCAGGGUGCGAGAGAUUGUCUUUUUUAGACGCUUAUUCCGGGUAUCAUGAGAUCCGUCCGUAUGGACCUGACGAAAUCAAAACAGCUUUCAUCACUCCAUUCGGGUGCUUCUGCUAUAUCACCAUGCCAUUCGGCCUCAAGAAUGCCGGAGCCACGUUCAUGAGAAUGAUUCAAAAGUGUUUACUCACUCAAAUCAGUCGGAAUGUGGAAGCGUACAUGGAUGAUAUCGUGGUCAAGUCGCGAAAGGGUUCCGACCUAUUGACUGACCUAGCUGAAACAUUUGCCAAUCUCAGAAGGUAUGAUAUCAAGCUCAAUCCAUCGAAGUGCAAAUUCGGAGUACCUGGCGGAAAGUUACUCGAUUUUCUCGUUUCAGAACGAGGAAUCGAUGCUAACCCAGAAAAAAGUUGGCACCAUACUCCGAAUGAAAUGCCCUGUGCGUGUGCACGACGUCCAGAAGCUUACUGGAUGCUUGGCCGCUUUAAGUCGAUUCAUCUCUCGCCUCGGUGAAAAGGCAUUGCCCCUUUACCGACUGAUGAAGAAGGCAGACAAGUUCGAGUGGACUCCAGAAGCUGAUGUAGCGUUUGCCGAGUUAAAAACUCUGCUCUCCACCCAGCCGAUGCUUGCUGCUCCAAUCAACAAAGAGCCUCUGUUGCUUUAUAUUGCAGCCACAGGACAAGUCAUCAGUACAGUACUUACGGUCGAGCAGGAAGAAGAAGGGAAAGCCUUCAAAGUUCAGCGCCCAGUGUAUUAUCUCUCUGAAGUUUUGACCCCAUCGAAGCAAAGAUAUCCUCAUUAUCAGAAGCUCGUAUAUGGGAUCUACAUGACCAUGAAGAAGGUUGCUCAUUAUUUCUCUGAUCAUGACAUUACAGUCGUCAGCGACGCACCAUUGUCAGAGAUUCUGUACAACAGAGAUGCAACUCGUCGAGUGGCUAAGUGGGCGAUUGAACUCCUUCCCCUUGAUGUCAAAUUCGAGGCAAAGAAAGCCAUUAAGUCCCAGGCUAUAGCAGAUUUCCUUGCCGAGUGGAUUGAGCAACAGCAGCCGACUCAAGUUCACUCGGAGCAUUGGACCAUGUUCUUUGAUGGCUCUAAGAUGUUAAAUGGUUCUGGUGCUGGGGUUGUUUUGGUUUCCCCCCGAGGAGACAAGCUCAGAUAUGUGCUCCAGAUCCACUUUGAUUCCUCCAACAAUGAAGCAGAAUAUGAAGCACUCUUGUAUGGGUUGCGCAUGGCCAUUUCACUCGGCGUCCGUCGCCUUAUGGUUUAUGGCGACUCAGAUUUGGUGGUCAAUCAGGUGAUGAAGGAGUGGGACGUUAGAAGCCCAGCCAUGACUGGAUACUGCAAUGCAGUGAGGAAGCUCGAAAAGAAGUUCGAAGGGUUAGAGCUCCACCACAUACUCCGACUGAAAAAUCAAGCAGCUGAUGAUCUGGCGAAGAUAGGAUCCAAGAGAGAAGCCAUCCCCAGUGAUGUGUUCUUGGAGCAUAUCCACACUCCGUCAGUCAUAGAAGAUCCUUUUACCGAUGAAGCUCCGCAACCUAAGAGUGUUACGGACCCGACUGAGGUUGAAGUCCCAGCAGUGGUCGACCUGAUCAUGGAAGUUUUAGUGAUCACUCCAGAUUGGACAGUACUGUAUAUCGCGUAUAUCUUGAGGAAAGAACUCCCGGAGGACGAAGAAGAGGCUCGACAGAUCGUCCGCCAAUCUAAGGCCUUUACCGUGAUAAGAGGACAGUUGUACAGAGAAAGCGCGACUGGAGUUGGUCAGAAAUGCAUAACACCGGAGGAAGGUCGAAUAAUCCUUGAUGACAUCCACUCGGGUACCUGUGGACAUCAUGCGUCCUCUCGGACCAUCAUGGCCAAAGCAUACCGAGCCGGAUUUUAUUGGCCAAGAGCGAAUGAAAUGGCGAAGGAGAUAGUCGACAAGUGCGAGGGAUGUCAAUUUUACUCCAACAUGUCACACAAGCCCGCGUCAGCUUUGAAGACUAUACCACUCGUCUGGCCCUUUGCAGUGUGGGGUUUGGAUAUGGUCGGUCCUUUGAGAACAGGCAGAAGCGGUUUUACCCAUGUGCUGGUAGCAGUCGACAAGUUCACUAAGUGGAUCGAAGCUAAACCCAUCAAGAACCUCGAUGCCGGUACUGCUGUCAGCUUCAUCAGAGAAUUGAUAUUCAGAUAUGGAGUCCCGCACAGCAUCAUCACUGACAACGGGUCAAACUUCGACUCCGAAGAGUUCAGAGUUUUUUGCACGUCUCAAGGCACACGAGUCGACUAUGCUUCAGUCGCUCAUCCACAGUCGAAUGGACAGGCAGAACGAGCAAACGAUUUGAUUCUCAAAGGGUUGAAACCCCGUUUGAUGCGUGAUCUUAAGCAUGCAGCUGGUGCAUGGGUCAAUGAACUUCCCUCGGUGCUUUGGGGGUUAAGGACCACGCCCAACCGGUCGACUGGAAGAACUCCAUUCUUCUUGGUCUACGGAGCUGAAGCAGUCUUGCCGAGCGACCUUCUCCACAAUGCUCCCCGGGUCGAGCUCUACACCGAAGCUGAAGCAGAACAAGCGCGGCAGGAUGCAGUCGACCUUUUAGAGGAAGAAAGGGAGAUGGCUCUGAUCAGAUCGACCAUUUACCAACAAGACUUGCGUCGCUUCCACGCCAAAAACGUGAAGAGUCGAGCCUUCCAGGAAGGAGAUUUAGUUCUCCGAGUGGAUCAGCAGAAACCACACAAGCUUGCUCCUUCUUGGGAAGGUCCCUUCAUCGUCACCAAGGUUCUCCACAAUGGAGCAUACCGUCUUUACAAUGUCGAGCAUCAGAUCGACGAGCCCCGAGCUUGGAACGCGGAGCUUCUCCGCCCCUUUUAUACUUAAGUAUUCACUCGGAUGACUUGUAAUAAAAGUACUUCUGUAGUUUAUUUAUCAAAGACAAGAGCUUUAUAAUUUCCCCAAUAACCAUUAUUUCUUUUGUCCACACAAAACAAUCCCCCAGUGGGUGGCUUCGUUGCGAAUCCAAUUCGCCCAAGUCUGUAAAAAAAAUCCUAACCGAGUGGUGAGCCAGUCUCCCACACGAAGGCUUAGCUGCGAAAUCCGUUUCGCCUAAGAUAAACAAAAUCCUACCGAGUGGUAAGCCAGCCUUCCACUCGGAGGCUUAGCUGCAGUCCAAGUACUCGCCUAAGAUAAACAAAAUCCUACCGAGUGGUAAGCCAGCCUUCGACUCGGAGGCUUAGCUGCAGUCCAAGUACUCGCCUAAGAUAAACAAAAUCAUGUCGAGUGGUAAGCCAGCCUUCCACUCGGAGGCUUAGCUGCAGUCCAAGUACUCGCCUAAGAUAAACAAAAAUCCUACCGAGGGGUAAGCCAGCCUUCCACUCGGAGGCUUAGCUGCAGCAUUGCGCUCGCCUAAGUACAAAUACAACAUGUGCUCUGCAAGGAGGACGAGGUGCAGGUAGACUGCUACCCUCUCCUUCCGAGCUACGCCACAAGUACAACGUGCGCUCUGCAAGGAGGACGAGGUGCAGGUCGACUGCUACCCUCUCCUUCCGAGCUACGCCACAAGUACAACGUGCGCUCUGCAAGGAGGACGAGGUGCAUGUCGACUGCUACCCUCUCCUUCCGAGCUACACCACAAAUACAACGUGCGCUUUGCAAGGAGGACAAGGUGCAGGUCAACUGCUACCCUCUCCUUCCGAGCUACGCCACCAAUACAAAAUCCUACUGAGUGGAGAGCAGACCUCCCACUCGGAGGCUUAGCUACAACCCAGUGCUCGCCUAAGUUCUUGAAAAUCCUACCGAGUGGAGAGCAAACCUCCCACUCGGGGGCUUAGCUACAGCCCAGUGCUCGCCUAAGUAUAUGAAAUCCUACCGAGUGGAGAGCAGACCUCCCACUCGGGGUCUUAGCUACAGCCCAGUGCUUGCCUAAGUUUUUAGAAAUCCUACCGGGUGGAGAGCAGACCUCUCACUCGGGGGCUUAGCUGCAGCCCAGUGCUCGCCUAAGUUCUUGAAAAUCCUACCGGGUGGAGAGCAAACCUCCCACUCGGGGGCUUAGCUGCAGCCCAGUGCUCGCCUAAGUUUUUAGAAAUCCUACCGAGUGGAGAGCAGACCUCCCACUCGGGGGCUUAGCUACAGCCCAGUGCUCGCCUAAGUGUAUUGGGGAACAAGUCGACUGCAACGAGCGCUUCGCUUUAACCUGCAAAAGACACCUCAAACCAAAUGCAAACAUAUUCAACAUCGAAUCCAAGUUCAGAUAACACCUAACGCAACCAAAAGUGCUCAGGCGCUAGGCCUGUUAAGGUUUGUCGGUUACAAAACUCACUCGGCAUACCGAGGCAAAUUUAAAGUAUCAAGCUCAGAAGUUUUUUACCCCUCCUGCGGAGGGCUGGAAGGUGCAACAAACUCGUCCAGAUCAAUUCCAUCUGCAAUCCGAGUGGCAGCAGCAAUGAAGGUCUCCAUGAAAGAUCUGAAAUCGUGCUUCUUGGUAUUGGCCACCCUAAGAGCCACCAGCUUGUCCUCUCGUGCAUCCUUGCAGUGAACGCGGACUAGAGACAGAGCAACAUCCGCACCGCACCUGGCCGAAGACUUCUUCCACUCCUACACUCGACUUGGGAGCUCGUUCAGUCGAGUCAUCAGAGACUCGAGGUCGCUUUGGAGUGUCUCUCUUGGCCAGAGUGUUGUGUCGAUGCGAGAAGUUGCGACUUUCAUCCUUGCGAGAUAGUCGAUGACAGCAGCAACACGAGAUUCAAGCCGGAGCACAUUCAUGGCAACUUCAUCUUUCACGGGAGAGUUGAUGGGGUCCAGGUUUACUUCCAGUCGACCAGUUUCCUCUUCAAAGUUCUGGCAAAAUUCUGCAAGCACAACCACCGAGUCAAGACAACAGUCGGAGGUUACAGUUAAAAUAUUUGUUUGAUACAAAAUAUUACCUUCAAGCAUGAGGAACAACUUCUUGGCGAGUCCACCCAGAUAAGCCUCCAGAUUGUUCUUCUUUCUCAUCAACUCACUGGCCUUGUCAUUUAGGGUGAUCUUGUCACUUUUCAGUCGACUGACCUCCUGGUUGGCAGCAUCAAGAGCAGCUUUCAGAUUGGUGUUUUCUUCUUCAAGCUUGGUCACUGAAGCCAGCUUCUCAUAUGCAAGCUUGGUCUUCUCUAAAGCAGUUUUUUGCAUCUCAGCCAAGUCAAGUUCUUGCUUCUUCAGGGCAUCCCUCACUUUGUCUGCAAAGUUACAGUGAGAUUAGAUUCGGAAACAAGUGAGAGGCAAAGACAGUCAUCAAAGGCCUCACCAAGCAUACCUUUAGCUUCCUCCUUCGCCUUCGUCAAGUUCUCUUGGGCCAGUUUCAGAUCGAGCUCGAGCUGAAUGUGUUUGUUCUCCAACUCAGUAUAGCAAGCCACAAGGUCACAGGAUUUCUACGAAGAACCAAUCGACAGAUGUCAAAGACAAUUCACUUCCGAGUGAGUAAGGAAAAAUCAUAGCAUUUCUAAGACUACGGCCGAAUACAAACUUUCGACCAUAGUCUCGGGGACUACACCCAGUGGGUGCACUCAGCAUGCCCCCACUAGAGUCGACCAGUCGACCAACAAAAAAAAAC